rnacentral:lncRNA from 1 species
UGACCGGUGAAAUCAAUGUCGUAGAUUGGUGUACCGUCGGGAUGCAAGAUUCCCCAAUGCCUCUGUGUUCCGGAACCGGAUUUCUGGUUUUCGUUGAACAAUGAGAAAACAAAUGUCGGUAUAGGUAAAGCGGGUCUAGCUGGUGUACCGAUUGGUGGAAUUGCGGUCAUCUUCUUGAUCAAAUUCCGGUUAUACGUCGCUGCGUUGAGUAUAUUGGCUCCGGUUUCAUCGAUGUCCCCGGAAUUAGGCCACCCGGUUUCGGAGAUCGCAAUGCGGAUGUGUGGGUAACCGAGUUUGAGCAAAAAAAAAAAUGAAGAACAAGAGAUUUUGAGAUCUGGAAAACGCAGACAAAAGGUUGAAGAUGGGGGUAAAAUCGUAUUUUGUCAUUCAUUAAACUAAAAUCAGAAAAAUGAUGCAAACUUUCACAUGUAUUUGUAUCUUUUUCUAUAUAUAUAUUUGUGGAUUAUUAUUUCAUUAUUAAAAUCGUAACUAUAUAUAUAAAUAUUAGUAAAGUAUUUACUACAAGAAAACAUGUUAUUACCGACUGCAAAAACAGUCGCUAAUCAGUCACAAAACAUGUGUUUACGACUAUUUUGCGACUGAAUUGCAUAGUCGGAAUACCAUGCAUCGCUAAAAUAAUCGGUUGCUAAUCAGUCGCAAUUUACGACUAUUUUACGACUGAUUAGCGACUGAUUUGUGAUUACUGUUAUUAGUCGCAAAACAGUCACAAUUCAGUCACUAAAUAUUACCACUAAUAUGCGACUAACCUGCUUCUUCGUUUACGACUAUUCUACGACUGCUCUUAAGUUGUUAUAUGGUUGAUGUUGUAGUCGUUUUUCAGCCGUAAAAUUAAUUAAAAUAUUUUUUUAAAAAAAUUAUAAAUUUUUAAUUAAUUAUAUUUUUUUAUUAUUUAAUCAAUUAAUUUUUUUUGAUUAAUCAAUUAAAACACAAAAUAUCGUUUGUAAUUGAAUUGAUUUACAAUUGAAAUGGUUUACAAUUGAAAUCGGUUUAAUAUAAACAUAUAGCAGUAAAAUAAUUAAAUCUAACUAAAAAAACUAGAUCUAGGGUUCUUCACGCCAUUUACGGUGGGGCUUUUUCACAGCCAUUGACGGCGGGUCUCCGGAGCUUGAACAUAGGAGGCAAGCUUGAACGGUGAUGAGCCUGAGCCCGAUACGAGAAGACAGACGGUGAGCUUGUGAAGAGGUGAGGAGAGGCGGGAAGAGCUUUACCGUAGACACAACGGUGGUCGUCAUCGUCUUUAUGUAGCUUCCGCCUCCACAGCAUCUGUGUAGCUUCCGUUGUCUCUGUGUAGAUUUCAUUGUCUCUAUGUACCUUCCGUCGCCGUCUAUUAAUAGCUUGAGCAGAAGUGACGAGAAGGAUUGAGCAUAAGUGAGGUGGAAAUGAAGAGCUUGAGCUUGAAGACGAACACCGGUUUCAGUGCAGAAAGAAAGAACAGGAGAGAUAGAGCUGAGAUGGAGAGACAGAGAAGAGAAGACGAAAGAGAUAGAACAAUGAUUUCUAAGUUGAAGAUGAAAGAGGAAGAAGAUUGAUUACUCGUGGAAAGGAAGAGAGAUAUGAGAGAGAUGUAGACCAUUGGAUUAAGAAUAAUCAAAGGUGGAGAUUAAAAGAUUGGUUAUCCUCGCCAAUUGGUACUCAACCAAUAGAAAAUAAAAGGAUGGAUUGCUCUUUGUUUCAGAAGAAAAGAAACACACACAAAAAAAAAAUGAAUCUAGACCAUUAGAUUUAAGCAGGUUCUUCACGCCAUUUACGGUGGGUCUUCUUCACAGCCAUUGACGGCGGGUCUCCGGAGCUUGAACAGAGGAGGCAAGCUUGAACGGUGAAGAGCUUGAGCCCGAGACGAGAAGACAGACGGUGAGCUUGUGAAGAGGUGAGGAGAGGUGGGAAGAGCUUUACCGUAGACAACGGUGGUGGUCGUCGUCUUUAUGUAGCUUCCGCCUCCACUGCAUCUGUGUAGCUUCCGUUGUCUCUGUGUAGAUUUCAUUGUCUCUAUGUACCUUCCGUCGUCGUCUAUUAAUAGCUUGAGCAGAAGUGACGAGAAGGAUUGAGCAUAAGUGAGGUGGAAAUGAAGAGCUUGAGCUUGAAGACGAACACCGGUUUCAGUGCAGAAAGAAAGAACAGGAGAGAUAGAGCUGAGAUGGAGAGACAGAGAAGAGAAGACGAAAGAGAUAGAACAAUGAUUUCUAAGUUGAAGAUGAAAGAGGAAGAAGAUUGAUUACUCGUGGAAAGGAAGAGAGAUAUGAGAGAGAUGUAAACCUUUGGAUUAAGAAUAAUCAAAGGCGGAGAUUAAAAUAUUGGUUAUCCUCGCCAAUUGGUACUCAACCAAUAGAAAAUAAAAGGAUGGAUUGCUCUUUGUUUCAGAAGAGAAGAAACACACACAAAAGAAAAUGAAUCUAGACCAUUAGAUUUAAGCCAAUUUAAGAUAAUCAACGAUUGAGAUAAUAUCAUUUAGCUAGAGUAUUGACCGAUAUAUACAAAAAGAGAAGCUUUUUAUUUAAGAGAAGAGAUUAUAGAUUAUAUUUAGUUUUAUUUUUAUUUUUAUCCUAAUUUAUAUAGAGAAGAAAUAUGAUUAAUUUGUGUAGGGUUUGAUGUUAAGUUUGAAGUUUUGGUUAGUUUUUUUUUUUAAGUUUGUGAUUUUAUGUUUGGAGUUUAGAUUAAAAGUUAUGAUAUAGGGUUUGAGGGUUAAACUUAAAGUUUGGAAUAUUAUAGUUGAAAAUAAUAAAAUUUUCUUUUCUAUUUAUAUAUAGUUUGUUUAUAAAUGGUCUAAAUUUAAAGUAUUAGACAUCAAAUUCAACAUUUGUAAAAUGUAUGUUUAAGAUUUGGUGUUCAAUUUUGAAGAUGUUAGAGUUGUUUGGUUUAGAUUUGGGUAUAAGGUAAAUUAUUAAAAACAAAAUUUAAAGCCUAAGAUUAAUUUAUAUUUUUUGGAGUUUAGUUUAAAAUUUAAUGUAUAUAGUAUAUAUGAGGUUUAUAUUUUUAUUAUAUCAUUUUUAAAAAAUAUUUAAAGUUUAAGUUUAAUUUGAAUGAUAAGAUUGAAAAGAUUAAAUUUUAUAAUGUUAUAUGUAGGUUUAAAUUUGGGGUUUAGGGUAUAGAUGUUAAGAUAAGAGUUUAGGGUAUAGAGUAUGUAGUCGCAAAAUUAGCGACUGUUUUGCGACUACAUAUUUUGAUCGGCAAUGUAGUCGGUAAUUAACAACUGUUUUGCAACUACUUAAUAUAUAUCCUGCCAAUCAGUCGUUAUUUAGCGACUGUUGCGUGCCAAUAAAUAGAGACCGGCUCGUAACAUUCUUUCCCAGGAGCCAAAGCCGCACACGUUGUGUUGCUUCGGCCACAAGCCAUCCUCAAAGCUUCCUCAAGCUCAGCCUCCUUGGCUCCUUCAACAGGUACGCACCACAUUUGACCCUUGUAAGGAACAUUGUUCGUCGGUUUAGGCAAAGGGUUAAAACCGGUUAAGGGUUUUUGACCGGUGAAAUCAAUGUCGUAGAUUGGUGUACCGUCAGGAUGCAAGAUUCCCCAAUGCCUCUGUGUUCCGGAACCGGAUUUCUGGUUUUCGUUGAACAAUGAGAAAACAAAUGUCGGUAUAGGUAAAGCGGGUCUAGCUGGUGUACCGAUUGGUGGAAUUGCGGUCAUCUUCUUGAUCAAAUUCCGGUUAUACGUCGCUGCGUUGAGUAUAUUGGCUCCGGUUUCAUCGAUGUCCCCGGAAUUAGGCCACCCGGUUUCGGAGAUCGCAAUGCGGAUGUGUGGGUAACCGAGUUUGGUCAUGGCCAAGAUAACCGAAUCCAACAUUUGGUCUACGAGAUUAUGGUAAACCAAACCGGUACGAGGAUCGGUAUAAGUUGAAUUCCCUUGGAAGAGAGCAAAAUCCAAACUGGUAUUCAUAGGGUUUCUCAACCAACGGUAAUAAGGUUGAAGAUUGAUGAAGAAGUAAGAGUUUGUUCCGUUGAGAAACUUCAGCAACGGCAACAUCAACGGUCCGGCUAUAUCUUCCCGGAACGUUGAGUUCGACGGUGGAAACGUCGACCGGAGAGAAUCCAUAGGUAAAGGUGUACCGACUUUGAUGUUGUGAAUGCCAUGAGCUCUGAGAGCGUUCACGAUUUUGCGCAUCGCCGGUACGAGAUUGGCCGUUAUGUUCCUGUCUUGGACGGAGAGGAUUUCGUUUCCGACAAGGACAAAUCGGAUUUGGGUUUGCGGAUAGUAAGGGAGGAUAUUUGUUUUGACCCAAUCUUCAGCUGUGGUUUGGUUGGUGCCGAGGGAAGUGAUCUGGUGGUUAUGGACGGUUAUGGAGACGUAGAGAUUGGUAUGAGAGAGGAGUGUUAGAGUCUCUGGAUCCGCGUCGUAGAGCUUGACAUGACCAGCUUUGAUGGAUUUGAUGAAAUUGAUUGAUUGGUAAGGUGAUGGGAGGUCUUUUCCUUGUCUACCAUAGUUGAUACCAAUCUUGCUUGCCAAUGCUAUCAUUAGUUUCCUCUCCAUGUACCUGUGUCGAUGCUGGAAUCGAGCCGCGGAGCAACAUGAACCUGUAAAACCAAGAAAAUUAUGUUCAUUAUUGGAGGAAAAAAAACGGGAAAAUGUAUAACAUAUUUUAAUUUAUUGAUGAAGAAGAUGACUUACUUGAAAAGUAGAUGAGAGUGAAGAGAAAGAAAGCAACACCAGACAUGACUUUCUGUGUUUGGUUCGCAAUGUGUUAGUGGUGAUCAGAUUCUGAUUUGAGUGGGAAUUGUGUGGAACUUGCAUCGACGUAUUUAAGUAGGAGUAGGGUGUAAGUUUAGUGUGAAGGAAGCUUAUAGAUUAAUAUUGAGUCAUGCAAGAAUAGCUUCUUUUUGGCUUUUGGUUUCUUCUGAAAUUGUAGCAUAGCUCAGUUCUUUUGUGUUAAAAGAUUGUUGGUUGGAUGGUUCAAAUUGAACCAAGACAAUCUUUAUCCAAAUUUCUCACUUUUAUACAUGUUGUCAAUUGUACAAAAAUAAAAAUCAAUACAAUGGCAACUGUAGAUUGAAAAAGAUAUAUUAAUAAUAGUUUUGAGUUGUGAAGACCUUUUUUGUUUAGUAGAUUGAGUUGGGAAGACCCCUGUUCAAAAACGCGUCCGCCUGGCCGUUUACUCGCCCGAUUAAAUGGUGAUCGGAAAGCUACCGUGGCGAGGAGGAGGUAAUCGGUGGUUCUAGGCGCUGAAACUAAAAAACUUUGAAAAUCGAAAUUUCAAGAGCUAAAUCGGCGUCUAUCUCAUGAAUCUAUUAUAUUUAGGUGAAAUUCACAAGAAUCUGUUGUGAAAACUAUGAAAUCGUGCAAAAAAAAAAAUGAAGAACAAGAGAUUUUGAGAUCUGGAAAACGCAGACAAAAGGUUGAAGAUGGGGGUAAAAUCGUAUUUUGUCAUUCAUUAAACUAAAAUCAGAAAAAUGAUGCAAACUUUCACAUGUAUUUGUAUCUUUUUCUAUAUAUAUAUUUGUGGAUUAUUAUUUCAUUAUUAAAAUCGUAACUAUAUAUAUAAAUAUUAGUAAAGUAUUUACUACAAGAAAACAUGUUAUUACCGACUGCAAAAACAGUCGCUAAUCAGUCACAAAACAUGUGUUUACGACUAUUUUGCGACUGAAUUGCAUAGUCGGAAUACCAUGCAUCGCUAAAAUAAUCGGUUGCUAAUCAGUCGCAAUUUACGACUAUUUUACGACUGAUUAGCGACUGAUUUGUGAUUACUGUUAUUAGUCGCAAAACAGUCACAAUUCAGUCACUAAAUAUUACCACUAAUAUGCGACUAACCUGCUUCUUCGUUUACGACUAUUCUACGACUGCUCUUAAGUUGUUAUAUGGUUGAUGUUGUAGUCGUUUUUCAGCCGUAAAAUUAAUUAAAAUAUUUUUUUAAAAAAAUUAUAAAUUUUUAAUUAAUUAUAUUUUUUUAUUAUUUAAUCAAUUAAUUUUUUUUGAUUAAUCAAUUAAAACACAAAAUAUCGUUUGUAAUUGAAUUGAUUUACAAUUGAAAUGGUUUACAAUUGAAAUCGGUUUAAUAUAAACAUAUAGCAGUAAAAUAAUUAAAUCUAACUAAAAAAACUAGAUCUAGGGUUCUUCACGCCAUUUACGGUGGGGCUUUUUCACAGCCAUUGACGGCGGGUCUCCGGAGCUUGAACAUAGGAGGCAAGCUUGAACGGUGAUGAGCCUGAGCCCGAUACGAGAAGACAGACGGUGAGCUUGUGAAGAGGUGAGGAGAGGCGGGAAGAGCUUUACCGUAGACACAACGGUGGUCGUCAUCGUCUUUAUGUAGCUUCCGCCUCCACAGCAUCUGUGUAGCUUCCGUUGUCUCUGUGUAGAUUUCAUUGUCUCUAUGUACCUUCCGUCGCCGUCUAUUAAUAGCUUGAGCAGAAGUGACGAGAAGGAUUGAGCAUAAGUGAGGUGGAAAUGAAGAGCUUGAGCUUGAAGACGAACACCGGUUUCAGUGCAGAAAGAAAGAACAGGAGAGAUAGAGCUGAGAUGGAGAGACAGAGAAGAGAAGACGAAAGAGAGAGAACAAUGAUUUCUAAGUUGAAGAUGAAAGAGGAAGAAGAUUGAUUACUCGUGAAAAAGAAGACAGAUAUGAGAGAGAUGUAGACCAUUGGAUUAAGAAUAAUCAAAGGCGGAGAUUAAAAUAUUGGUUAUCCUCGCCAAUUGGUACUCAACCAAUAGAAAAUAAAAGGAUGGAUUGCUCUUUGUUUCAGAAGAGAAGAAACACACACAAAAGAAAAUGAAUCUAGACCAUUAGAUUUAAGCCAAUUUAAGAUAAUCAACGAUUGAGAUAAUAUCAUUUAGCUAGAGUAUUGACCGAUAUAUACAAAAAGAGAAGCUUUUUAUUUAAGAGAAGAGAUUAUAGAUUAUAUUUAGUUUUAUUUUUAUUUUUAUCCUAAUUUAUAUAGAGAAGAAAUAUGAUUAAUUUGUGUAGGGUUUGAUGUUAAGUUUGAAGUUUUGGUUAGUUUUUUUUUUUAAGUUUGUGAUUUUAUGUUUGGAGUUUAGGUUAAAAGUUAUGAUAUAGGGUUUGAGGGUUAAAAUUAAAGUUUGGAAUAUUAUAGUUGAAAAUAAUAAAAUUUUCUUUUCUAUUUCUAUAUAGUUUGUUUAUAAAUGGUCUAAAUUUAAAGUAUUAGAUAUCAAAUUUAAAAUUUGUAAAAUGUAUGUUUAAGAUUUGGUGUUCAAUUUUGAAGAUGUUAGAGUUGUUUGGUUUAGAUUUGGGUAUAAGGUAAAUUAUUAAAAACAAAAUUUAAAGCCUAAGAUUAAUUUAUAGUAUUUGGAGUUUAGUUUAAAAUUUAAUGUAUAUAGUAUAUAUGAGGUUUAUAUUUUUAUUAUAUCUUUUUUAAAAAAUAUUGAAAGUUUAAGUUUAAUUUAAAUGAUAAGAUUGAAAAGAUUAAAUUUUAUAAUGUUAUAUGUAGGUUUAAAUUUGGGGUUUAGGGUAUAGAUGUUAAGAUAAGAGUUUAGGGUAUAGAGUAUGUAGUCGCAAAAUUAGCGACUGUUUUGCGACUACAUAUUUUGAUCGGCAAUGUAGUCGGUAAUUAACAACUGUUUUGCAACUACUUAAUAUAUAUCCUGCCAAUCAGUCGUUAUUUAGCGACUGUUUUGCGACUAUAGAUGCCGACCAAAGUAUGUAGUCGCACAACAGUCGCUAAACAACGACUGAUUUGCGACUGAUUUGUUUAGUCGCAAAAUAACGACUGAUUUGCGAUUGAUUUGUUUAGUCUCAAAUAAGUCGUAAAACAGUCGCAAUCCAGUCGCAAUAUUUUGCGACUACAUAAUCAGUCGCAACAUGCAGUCGGUAAUUUCAUGCUUUCUUGUAGUGAUUAUUUUAUCGUCAUAUCCAAAGAUAUUGUAAGAUUUCACAAAUUUAGAAAGUUUUUAAAAAAUUAAACUUUUCGCUUCGUAGAUUUAUAUUAUCGAGUAAAUAAUUAAACAUUUAGUUUUUGUUUAAUUUUUAAAAUAAACCAUAUAGUUUAAAAUUUGUUUUCAUUGGUUUAAGGUAGUAAAGAUUAAUCAUUAUUAGAUGAUAUUAUUUUUGUUAUUUAAAAAAAAUCUUUAUAAUUUUAAAAUUUAACAUCGACAAAUAUUUAAAUAAUUAACAUAUGGAGGUAUAGUAUUACAAUAUUAAAUUAUAUCUAUUUAAUUUAUAUUAUCUAUAAAUCCAAUAGAUCAUCUAUUGUUUAAAUCUAAUUAUUGAUAGCCCAAUAAAAAUUUCUUGUAGGCCCAAAAUUUAAAUGAUAAGAUUAAAGAUUAAAUGUAAUAUGAAUUUUUAGGAAUAUGUCCAUUAGGUCCAUUUUUUAAAAAAAUCACACAUGAAUCAAAGUUGUGACUUCUGUUUUAAUAUAUAAGAUGAAAGUCCUAGACAAGAGCAAUGCAAUAACAGGGGAAUUUUGAUAGAUGGGAAGUAUAUGAAUGUUGGUGAAUGAUAUGACGAAUAGGGAGUAUAUGAUCUGAGUACAAAAAGUUUAUAAUUUUGGUGUCUAAAAUAUGGAUACCCUUCGUCUUUAUCUUCUUGUUCCUUUUAUAGGUGGUUGUCCGUGAAUUGUAAAGUCAUCUGCAUCGGUAGAAAAAGUUUCAGUUUCUCAAAAAAAUUAUUUUUUUUUUUUAUUUUUCAAAAUCAUUUGAACCAUUAAUAAAGAGACAGUUGCAGAACCAACCAAUCAAAAAUAUUUUUAUCACAAAUCCAUUCUUCUUUUUUACUUUCUCUUUUUUCCUUCUGAAAUUUUUUAUAUUUUUAUAUUUGCUAGAAAUGGUGGAAGAACUUUCACUCCGCAUGCCCUAUCGGAAGAUAUAUGGUGUCUAUUUAGCACCAUCAAUGCCUCUUUAAUGAUUUGAUCAAAAAACAAUGAUCUGAUCUCCUUUAUGUUUUUGGUUGACCGGUUAUUUUUGCGUUGACUUUCUCCAUAACCUAUAAAGGCUUCGAAUGGUAUGCAGAUCAAAAAUAUGCAGAUCAAACACAAAAUGCAGAUCAAGCAGAAUAAAUGCAGAUCAAGCAGAAUAAAUGCAAAACAAAUACAGUUCUAACUGUUUAAACUAAUUUACGAAUUAGCAUAUUUGACUAAAUGUUAAAAAUAAUUUUGUAAGCUAAAUAUCUAAAAUACAAAUACAAACGAAUAUCUACUUGUACAGAACAUGUUAAUUUUUAUUGUGUAUUACUGAAUAUUAAUUUUUAACUUAUUUCUAAUAAAUUAAAGUUUUCAUAAUUUAUUUAAAAACAAAUAACAAUGUACCUUGAUUUUUAUAUUUUAUUGGAUAUACUUUGAUUUUUUUUUAAUAUUAGAAAAAAUAGUGUGCAUAAAAUCAUUCUACAGAAAAAUUAUAUAAAUUUUGAACAGGACUGGGCAAAAUAUCUGUAAAUUUUGAUUCGAUUCAUUAUCCAUUUCGAUUCGAACCGAAAAGUAGAGAUAUCCGUAAGAAACAAAGUAAAUCACAAAUAUUAAUAUUAAUAUUUUUAAGAACAAAUAUCUUGUCUGAUCCGUUAUAUGCAUAUAUACAUAUAUUUAAGGAAUUAUACAUAAGUUAUAUAAAUAUUAUAUUUUAUAUAAGUUUUACAGUAUUUUAUUUACUGAAUGGUUAAUUAUUCAUUAGAAUUUUAAAAAGUAAAUAAAUUUUUAUUUUAUAAUAAAAUAUUAUUAUUUUAUAUUAUUUUUCAAUUGUUAUUUAUUUUAUAAUUUUUAUUUAUUUUACGGAUAUAAUAGGAUAUCCGGUCAAAAUCUACAAUUUUCCGGAUAUCCGGAACAUAUAAUAUCAUGAUGGGCACAGAUUGAAUCCGAACAAAUAAUUGAUUAUUCUGAAGAAACGGAUCGGAUCACGAAUAUUUCUAAAAACCCGGAUAUCCGAUUUAUGUCCACCCUUAUUUCUGAAUAUGUAAAUUAUAUAUAUACAAGUGUUUAUCAAAUUUAAUAAUAUUUAAUAUACAUAUAUAUCAUUUUUAAAUAUUUGCAUAAGAAAAUUCAUCUUAAAUUUGUUAUAAAAAACAAAAAAAAACUUACACUUAAAGAGGAAUUGUAAUUUGUGAAGGAAAGAAAUAAUGUAAUAUAAAAUAUUGAUAAGUAAAGGAGAAAAGGUAGUCGUUUAAAAAAAAAAUCAAAGAAAACUUUUCAUUGGGCUCCUGUAUUCGACCAGUCCACUUUUCCCUAUUACAUGCGGAUCAGUUUUUUUGUCACAUAAAUUUUGUUGCAUGCAGUUUUCUUAAUUUUUUAAUACUAUAAUUUCUUCUGCACUUUUAAUGGUGAUUGGAAAGUGCAUAUCAAUCUGCAUAUUAUUUUUUCCUGCGUUUGUACUGCAUUCAUACUGCACUGCAUUCAAACCCAAAGAGACUUCGUUCUUCUUUGAUUUGUUAUUUUAUUAAUGAGUCUUUUGAUUUGGGACAGAUUUUUGAACCGGGUUUGAAGUGGGAUAGAUGACUGGAUGGCAUUAUGGUUAUUAUGAACCGUUUAAUUUUUGUACUUUACAUGUUUUUAUUUGAAAACAAAAAAUAAAUUGAAAUAUUUAUCCAAUGAAAACAAAAAGUGAAAAGGGAAUUUCCUUUUUCUUUGACCAAACUAAGCCGGAGAAGGAAAACACCAAAACUGAGCAGGAGCAGGAAAAAAAACCUAAAAAAUUCUCUCUGUAUAAAGAGAUUAUAAUUUGCUUUUACAAAAACAAAAAUUUCUCUCGAGGCUCCUUGGUUUUGAAAAAAAGCUUGAAACAUGAGAAUCCUCCGCAGGGAUUUUGUUCGUGAUGGACCAGGAAGCGCUAAACUGAUGGCGGAGGACUCGGAUGAUCUCUGGUUUACUUAUAACUUAAUUGGCCCCGGCGAUAGUGUAAUGGCUGUCACAUCGAGAAAGGUUCUGAGAGAGAGAGGAAAUUCUAAACGUGUAGACUCUGAACGUGUUGACUCUAAACGUGAAGACUCUGACUCUGAUCAACGUGUUGACUCCAAAAAACGUGUAGGCUCUAAAAAACGUGGUGACUCUAAAAAACGUUUAGACGCUGAGCUUGACGACUCUAAACCUCUAGUGUCUGAACGUCUGACACUGAAGCUAGAAGUACAAGUUGAGGAGGUAAACUAUGACAAAGACGGUGGUGUUUUGCGCAUACUUGGGACGAAUAUCCUUGAGAACGAGCACGUACCGCUUGGUGCAUACCAUAGUUUGGAGCUCGUGCUGAAACGACGUUUUCUAUUGAGGAAAAAAAUAUGGGACUCAUUGGCUAUUGAUACACUCAACCAGGCAAAACAUCGUAUCUCCAGUGAUGAUUUAGCUGUAGUUCUAAUGCAAGAAGGACAUGCACAAAUCUUCCUUGUCGGAAAAAGUGUGGGUGCACCAAUAGAAACAUCAAUUCCUAAUCGUAAGCAUGCUGGUUACGAGGCUGCUUUGAAGAAAUUCUUUGAGAACGUUGUGCGUGCCUUUGUGAAACACGUUGACUUCAGUGUCGUUCGGUGUGUAGUGAUCGCAAGUCCUGGCUUUACAAAGGAUCAGUUUCAUCGCCACUUGUUGUUGGAAGCAGAGAGAAGACAGUUGAAACCUAUUACUGAGAACAAAUCACGUAUACUUCUGGUGCAUGCAAACUCCGGAUAUAGACAUAGCCUUGGAGAGGUUCUGUGUGACCCCAAAGUGAUGAAGAUGAUCCAAGAUACAAAAGCAUCGAAAGAGGUGAGCGCUUUCAGGGAUUUCUUCACCAUGUUCGAAAAGGAUCCAUAUCGGGCAUGCUACGGACCGAAGCAUGUGGAGUUUGCUCAUGAACAAAAGGCAAUCCAAACACUUCUCAUUACAGAUGAGCUGUUUAAAAAUUCUGACGUGAAAGAAAGGAAGAAAUAUGUGGAUUUUGUGGAGUCGGUGAAAAAAUUAGGAGGAGAGGCUUUUAUAUUUUCUUCGAUGCAUGUUUCAGGUGAACAACUGGCAAUGCAUACUGGAAUUGCAGCUCUUCUCAGGUUCCCUUUACCAGGUCUCGAUGACGUUGAGAUGUAAAGAUAUUCUCGAUUUUAGAAAACAAUAGGCCUAGUUAUAGUACUAGAAUAAGGGAGUUUGAUCUAGCUCGAUUUUUUAUUUAUUCUGUUUUACAAAAUUAGAUAUUAUAUUGAAACCGUUUCUGUUAUGGCUUAAAUUGAUUUGAAUAUGAUUCAUUCAGUUCUUGAGUUCCAAAUGUUUUCUCAUUUUGUGGACCAACAGUGCUUAGAGAUUCAAAGAUUUGUUUACUUAAUCAUACAAUCUCCACAUGAUAUAUAACCAUGUUUUGGUUUCACUGGGACGAUAUUGUUGAAAAAUAUAUUUUGAAAAUUAUCUAGUUUACAUAUAGCUACACCACUUUAUAAUACUAUUUAACUAAAUCAUAUAAGUAUACUGGUUACUGGAAAUAACGUUUAUAAUAAAAUCAAACUAUAUUCCUUAUUUCAGUUUGGUGUAGGUCAGUUUAAUCAGAUUUUUGUCAUAUUAAAAAAUUUAAACACUAAAACCAAAAAAAAAGGAUAAACGGUAGGGCAAAUCUCCAAAAUAGCACAUUUCUAAGUUUAUGUCACAAAAAUAGCCCUCAAAAACUAAAAUGACAAAAAAUAGCAAUUUAUAUUUUGAAAAAUUUAAAUUUUUUUUAUUUUUCAAAAUUUGAAAUCUUAUCCCAAAACCCCACUCCCCAGCUCUAACCCUUAAAACCUAAAUUCUAAACCCUAAAACCUAAAUUCUAAACCCUAAACCCUAAAUCCUAAACCCUAAACCCUAAACCCUAAAUCCAAAACCCCACCUUUUAACUCUAAACCCUAAACCCUAAACCCCACCCCUAAACUCUAAACCCUAAACCCUAAACUCUAAACUCUAAACCCUAAACUCUAAACCCUAAACCCUAAACCCUAAACCCUAAACCUUAAACCCUAAACCCUAAACCCUAAACCCUAAACUCCACUCCUUAACUCUAAACCCUAAUGUCUAAAUUAAUUUACCAUUGGGGUAUAAGUGUAUAUUUAUCUAUUUUGGUAAAAUAUUAAGUGCUAUUUUGGUCAUUUUUAUUUUUAGAGCCUAUAUUUGUGACAAAAACUUUUUUUUGUGUUAUUCUUGUCAUUUUCUCUGAACGGAAACCUUUUGACAAAAAAAAAAAAAGAGGAUAUACGGAAACCUACAAAUAAGUGGUGGAUGGCAUUGGACUUUGUUUUGGAAAAUAAUAUGAGAGACACAUUUGCGUCUUAAAAUAAACCUAAUAUGUCUUAGAACUGUUUUUACUUUCAUUUUCCUAUUGCUACUUGGUUUAAGAGCACCAACCGACUCAUAAUGGGUUUAGAAAGUCCAAAUUCUAUUACAAAAAAGAAACUCCAAAACCAAAACCAACUAAGAUCACCAUUAACCCUAGCACCCGUAAUAUAGUUUUUAAUCACUUUUUUAGUAAUAAAUGGGUGUUAAGCACUUAAUUUAAUAAACCUCUAAAUUGUUGUCCUCCGAUGCAAGUAUCUUAUUUAGGGGUUCUUAAAAAAAAAAUUAAACAUUGAAACACAAAACUUUUCAAGCACACUCUACAAGAGUUCACAAGAAUACAAGUAAGACCAUCGUAGUCAUGACAAGAGACAUGAAUCAUAAAGAGUAGAAGUAUUUCGAGACACAAAACAUUAAGAUAAGAAGUGGAUACCUUGUUGAUCCUGAGCUUGAACAAGACCAACAAUAGCAAAAGCUCCUAGUACCAGCAACAAUAACGCCUUGAACAAGACCAAUCCUGAGCUUGAACAAGACCAAGCAACAAUAACGGCUUGAACAAGACCAAGUUGAUCAGUCUCUCGAUGUAAAAGUCUCAGCAGCACUGUAUUGUGUAAUUACUGCUUCAUAAAAGUUUUUGUCCUCAAGCCAUUUCGUCCACACUUUUCUUCUAAUAAGAGCUUCCGCAGGUUCACUACCUGAUAAUGUACCAGACACUAGAUGGUUGUUGAAUGACCUACUGCAAGAGGAUAAACGACCACAAUAAUUAGGUAGAGAGUGUUAAUUUAAAAACUUGAUCCCUAUCACAUUUGUGUUUCAAACAAAAUCAUGCCUCUUGAUGCGGCCAUCAGAUCAGCAACUGAACCAGAGGUCAACCCAAAGCCCUACUUAACCAGCCAAGGCGCCAGCCAGGACAUACGUUCACUAAAAGCGCCAUAUCUUACAAACCAGGAGGGUUUAAAUGAUGAGGAUAAUUUUUAUGGAUUCUACACUCAAGAGGGAGUCCAGGCCAACUGGAAUCGGCCCAAAAUAUUUAGGGAUAAAGAAGUUAUGAAUUUUACAAUUCAGAGGUUUUUCAGCCUGUCCAUCUGCGAGUAUGCGACUUUAGAAAAGGAUUCAAGCCCAAAGAAGAAGAGGCCUGAACCAAAACCGAUCAUAGGAGUCAAGAGGAGUUUAUUAACUUUACAUAAAGCCCAAGAUCUCGAGAAAUGGCCAAGGAAAUUGGAAGAUAUGAUCAAUUUCCCAAAACCGGCCAAACCAGCUCUACACUUGCCUUAUUUGGAAGAUUCGGGAUUCACAUCAAACCAACCUCAAGAAUGGCAGCCAGGAGACCUUCUAAGUCAUUCAGAGGCACUCCACAACAUCCUAGGAAGCACCAUGCCACGCUGGAUCAGGUGGAUCCCAAUUAAACCAAAAGAUCAAGCCGGUUUGCAUCAAUUGGCCAAACCGAUAUUAUUUAAGGAAUGUCUUCUACUCCUUCAGUUUGGUUCGACCCAAACGUAUCUAUGGAAGCCAGGACAUAAUAUAAACCAUCCAGAAGACAUCCAAGAAGUCCUCAGCUGCACCAGCACCCAGGAGAUCAGGAGGAUCUCUCUUCCCAUCAACCUUCCAUAUUUGGCAGCAACUACACUAAAUGCUUUGAAGAAGUCUCUACAGAUAUUUAUUCAAGACCAACGGCCAUAUUCUCCAUCAAGGCAACUCAGAGACAUGUCAGGAAGACUUCUUGACCGUGGCUACAUCCAGAAGCUGUCCAGAUACAAGAUCAUCCAAGAUUCCUUUUUGAAGGCACAAAUCGAGCUAACGGCUAGUUUCCAUGGAGCCAUCAAAACCUUCUCAUCCAAGACUUUUAUUUCGAUUUAUUUUCUUUCCUUAUGUCAUUUUCAGACUGUUAGAGAGUCUUUUUUCAAGCCUAUAAAGCUCUAGUCUUUGUUUCAUUGUAGAUCACCCCAUUUUUAAAGUAAUAAGAAUUAUUCAGUUUUUCUAGUUUUCUUAAAACUAUUGAGUUUGUGUGAAGUAACUCCAAAGCACCUUGACUUAUCAAGGCUCCUUUCCAUAGAGUCUUGUGGCGUCCUCAAUCCCCCAUCCUUCCAUUCCAAUUCGUUUGCCAAGCUUGAGAGUGAUACACAUCCAGCAAGCAAAGCACCAUCUCAAUCCACUUCAAUUUUCAACUGAUUAGGCUGAGAGUGUCACACGACCAGCAGCCUAAUUCCAUCAUAUCUAUCUUUAUUUAUCUUGUUUUAUCAUAUUAGAAAUCAUAUCUCAUUUGUUUUUGAAUUUGUUUUCAGGAUCAUAACUUGCAUUCCAUCAUAUCGCCCAUCCGAUCAUAUCUUUGGUCGAUCCAUCAAGCUUCCAUCAACCAUUUUGCCAUCCCUGAUUUCCAGCCUGCAACAUUUGGUAUCAGAGCUCAAGCUCCUGAAUCAGGUCCAUCUAUCCUUGCAUCAUUCAUAUUUGCUUGCAUUUAUUUUUUCAUUCAUAAACCAAAAAAAAAAAUCCAUAAAAACAGUUUUUGCAUUGUUAUUGUUCUUAAGAAAAGAAAACAAAAGAGAAUAAUUUUCUUGCAUUUGAUUCACGAAAUUAGUUUGAAAUUAUUGUCUAGUUGUUUGCAUUCAUUCCCCAGCUCCACUUGCCAUUUUUAGAUUUUGUGCAUUCAUUUUAGAAAAGUCAAAAAAAAAAAAAUUCUGCAUUCCAUAUUUGUUUCUUGUUUUGAUCUUGCAUAAAAAUAAAAAAAUAAAAAGGCAUAGCAUUUUAUUAAAUUUCGUGCAUACCAUAUUUGUUUCAAAAGUUUGUUAUUGGCAUUCAAAAAAAAAAUUAUUCAGCUUAGUUUAUAUCAUUUUGGGUUCAAGCAUACAUAUUUGUUUCCAUUUUCGGUUACUUGCAUAAGAAAACUCAAAAAAAAAAAAAAAAUUCAUCAUUGUUAGUUUAAUUUCCAUAUUUUCUUUCCAUUUGUGUUUCUUAUCAUAUCAUAUAGUUUAAUUUUGAGUUUACAUUCAGAAAACCAAAAUAAAAAUUAUUUAUUGCAUAGUUAUUUUAUAUCGGUUCAUAUUUACAUAUUUUAUCGGUUUAGUUAAAUUGCAUCAUUGCAUUUGUCUUAUUUUGGUUCUACCAAAACUUCCAAUACUUUCACUUGCUCUUUGAGAUUGUUUUCAGGAAGCAAUGGAAGAGGAGGGACAGGGCCAAAACCUAAAGGCCACAUUGAGCCAACAGUCCGUAGCUCUACAAAAGCUCCAAAUUAAGAUUGCUCAACUGGAGAAAAGAAAUCAGGCACAAGGCCAACGACCCCAGCAAGGAAAAACAAGAUGUGGAGAUGCACCAGGGGCUAUAUAUGUCGAGCCCAAGCCACCAGAUCCUUCAAGGAUCAAUCAGACUCCAACUUCUAAUACCCACAACCCUUUUGUUGUUAAUUCUCGGUUUGAUUAUAACUCUUUUGCUGAUAAAAUUGAACUCUUUAAAUUUUCAGUAAAAAGAGGUUAUCUUAGAUGGGAGAGGAACCUUGAUGAAUGGUUUCACUUCAACAACAUCCUGAGGAAAGAAAGGCUAGCUUAUGCUAUUGAUCAACUUAGAGAAGAAGCCUUUAAAUGGUGGGUACAAGAAGAAGAUGAUAGGCGGUUUUACAAUGAGCCAACUAUCAAAACGUGGAGAGCUCUUAAGGAAGUCAUGAGGGAUAGAUUUGCACCAGAGUUUACAAGUUCUGAAAUCCAAGAACUAUUCCCAAGGAGGUAUCUAACUCAUGGUUUCAAAGAAGCAAGAAAAAUUGUGGCACAAGAAGGUCAAAGAGUCUUGCCUCAACAAGACUACUUUCAGCCAAACCAAGGGCACGCCAUUGUACACUGCUUAGACCAGAAGAGUGACAUCCCAGAGGCCAUGAAGAUGAGUAAAAUUGUCGGCCAAAACACUUUGAUCAGGUCCAAAGAAAAACAGGAGCAUGCUACUAUGCAAGUAAAGGCUAAGGUAAGUCCUAUACUUGAUGAUAUUGUUCAUAAAUCAUCUACCACAUGUAUGAUGCACUUGUCUUUGUCCAAGAGUGUUAUUACAGGUAUUAAAGAGUCUAGAUCCCACGGAGAUGACACACUAAGAGCAAACCUUCUAAUGGACCAGAAGGAAAAGCAAUCAAAUUUCCUUAAAGAAGCAAAACCAGUAAUAAAAGUAUCAAACCAAGGCAAGUGUCUAACACAUCCUUUAGCUACUGGUUUAAACGUGAAUCUUCUUGGUACAGGGGUACCAGAUGAGAGCCAUAUUCUUACUGAGGUUACAAGGACCGAACCAGUACAUGAGCUCAAUCAAAAUCCACACUACAAGUGGAAACCGAAAUCUGAACAAAAGAUUGUUCAAGUGCCAAAACCUGAGGUAAAUUUCACUCUAGAUCAUCAUGAUAUUAUUAAUUCCAUGACAAGAUUAAUGCACUGUCUUGUACAAGGAAAAGUGAAAUUAUUACAGGAAACCAAGGUGAGUACAAGGCAAAGAAAGAACAAGAAGUUCUUGCUGCCACAACUGAUUUAAGGGUUAAUUGUUCUAUGUUUAUAUCAUUUUAUAAAUCCUUUUAUUUUGGUAUAAUAUACUUGUCUUUGCCAAGAUGUUUUGAUCCAGGUAUAAGUCAAGAAGAACAUAAAAACCGAGCUGAGCUAUCACAAAAAGAUGGUCAUACCAACCAAGGUAAACAGUUGCAAGAAAGGAAGCCAUCUAACCAAAUCUGUCCAAAGAAGAAUAUCAUUCUUCAUCAUGCUGAUGCACCCAAGGUAAAUCCGGCCAUAACACAUUCUGUUCAUAAAACUCCAGUAUCAGAUAUAAUUCACUUGUUCUUUGUCCAGAAUGUUAAAAAAAUUUCAGGUUGCAAAGAAGAACGCUUCAAAGAAAUCCCACCGGAUAAUCUUUUGUUGCGAGGAGGAUCCAUCCCAGAGAUGGUCAGAAUCGAGCCUACUAGGAGUAUGAAGGACCAUCCACUGAAGAAGAGAGGCAAUGCCAAAGUCCAUAGAAGAGGCGUGAUCAUAUCCUAUUUGCUGAAAGAAGAGCCACCUGAUGCACAAUCCAUCCCCAAACCGAAACAAUAUCAAGGUAAGACCUUAGAAUCUCAAAAGAAUAUGAAAGCUGACUUGCUCUAUCUUGGUACAGGUUAUCCAGUUUCGAGGUCGAAACUUUGUCAAGGGGGAGGGUAUGAUGCGGCCAUCAGAUCAGCAACUGAACCAGAGGUCAACCCAAAGCCCUACUUAACCAGCCAAGACGCCAGCCAGGACAUACGUUCACUAAAAUCGCCAUAUCUUACAAACCAGGAGGGUUUAAAUGCUGAGGAUAAUUGUUAUGGAUUAUAAACUCAAGAAGGAGUCCAGGACAACUGGAAUAGGCCCAAAAUAUUCAGGGAUCAAGAAGUUAUAAAUUUUACAAUUCAGAGGUUUCUCAGCCCGUCCAUCUGCGAGUAUGCGACUUUAGAAGAGGAUUCAAGCCCAAAGAAGAAGAGUCCUGAACCAAAAAUGAUUAUAGGAGUCAAGAGGAGUUUAUUAGCUUUACAUAAAGCCCAAGAUAUCGAGAAAUGGCCAAGGAAAUUGGAAGAUAUGAUCAAUUUCCCAAAACCGGUCAAACCAGCUCUACACUUGCCUUAUUUGGAAGAUUCGGGAUUCACAUCAAACCAACCUCAAGAAUGGCAGCCAGGAGACCUUCUAAGUCAUUCAGAGGCACUCCACAACAUCCUAGGAAGCACCAUGCCACGCUGGAUCAGGUGGAUCCCAAUUAAACCAAAAGAUCAAGCCGGUUUGCAUCAAUUGGCCAAACCGAUAUUAUUUAAGGAAUGUCUUCUACUCCUUCAGUUUGGUUCGACCCAAACGUAUCUAUGGAAGCCAGGACAUAAUAUAAACCAUCCAGAAGACAUCCAAGAAGUCCUCAGCUGCACCAGCACCCAGGAGAUCAGGAGGAUCUCUCUUCCCAUCAACCUUCCAUAUUUGGCAGCAACUACACUAAAUGCUUUGAAGAAGUCUCUACAGAUAUUUAUUCAAGACCAACGGCCAUAUUCUCCAUCAAGGCAACUCAGAGACAUGUCAGGAAGACUUCUUGACCGUGGCUACAUCCAGAAGCUGUCCAGAUACAAGAUCAUCCAAGAUUCCUUUUUGAAGGCACAAAUCGAGCUAACGGCUAGUUUCCAUGGAGCCAUCAAAACCUUCUCAUCCAAGACUUUUAUUUCGAUUUAUUUUCUUUCCUUAUGUCAUUUUCAGACUGUUAGAGAGUCCUUCGUCGAGCCUAUAAAGCUCUAGUCUUUGUUUCAUUGUAGAUCACCCCAUUUUUAAGGUAAUAAGAAUUAUUCAGUUUUUCUAGUUUUCUUAAAACUAUUGUUCUAAGACUUUUGAGUUUGUGUGAAGCAACUCCAAAGCACCUUGACUUAUCAAGGCUCCUUUCCAUAGAGUCUUGUGGCGUCCUCAAUCCCCCAUCCUUCCAUUCCAAUUCGUUUGCCAAACUUGAGAGUGAUACACAUCCAGCAAGCAAAGCACCAUCUCAAUCCACUUCAAUCAUCAACUGAUUAGGCUGAGAGUGUCACACGACCAGCAGCCUAAUUACAUCCUAUCUAUCUUUAUUUAUCUUGUUUUAUCAUAUUAGAAAUCAUAUCUCAUUUGUUUUUGCAUUUGUUUUCAGGAUCAUAACUUGCAUUCCAUCAUAUCGCCCAUCCAAUCAUAUCUUUGGUCGAUCCAUCAAGCUUCCAUCAACCAUUUUGCCAUCCCUGAUUUCCAGCCUGCAACACCUCUGCACUGGAUCACAUCCUCAGACUUCAAAGUGUUCUCUUGUCCACAAUCUACCAAUUCAGAAAAACAAGUUUAGCAAACUAAAUCAUUCAGAACUUGUGUAAUGUCUGAGGCUGCUUGGGAUAAGCUUGAUAAGCAGAGCUCCUCCUCAAAACAAUACAGAAACGUACUCAAAAGAGGCAUGUCUUGACAAAUCACCUUUUCUCAUAUGAUGAUAAGAACACGUUUAAACCUUUCAAAAUCACAAAGCUACCAUCUUUAACAGACGCGAUACAUAUGGUAUUAUCAAGUUCUGAUUCAAAUUUUUCGAUGAGAGGAAGAAGAUGGUUACCUCCGCAUACGUAAGUAACUGGUUCUGGCUGUUGAUCCAUGAUAACGAAUUGAAUCCACAAAGCUAGGGUUUAUGCAGUGACGAGAAAAGAGGAUCCGGCGACGAGAGAGGUAGGAGAAGUCCGAAGGCAGUCAGAGACAGCCUGAAACGAGGUCCGAGCAGGUCGCGACACAACUCCGUCGGAGGUCUCCGGCUUCGAGACGUGUGAUCGAGAAAAGAGAAAGCGGCAUCGGACGAUUUCGUCGAGACAGAGGAAGAACGGUGAUUGUUUGACACAUGUUACAUAAGCAACGCUUCUUGUGAAGCUUAAUUAAGCAGCGCUUCUUAUUUAAUUACACAAUUUUCUUUUUUUUUACCUAAAAACACUAAGCAACCGGGUUAAGCGUCUGCGUUGUUGAUGCUCUAAGUCUACAUCGAAUAGAGCCCAAAUACAUCAAAAAUAAAGUAUAAUACACUUAAGGACGUGGUUAGACCAUAGAUGGGCCAUGGAGGUCGAUCAUUUAUCUUCAUGGACCGAUAAGGUCUUUUUCAGCCGAAUUUUUCCUAGGCGCUCGUCCAUAACUUGAACAAAGUGUUGAAAUUCUUCCUGAUAAGCAUUGAGACGUGAACAUAUAGUUGGCCCAGCCAAGGAAACAAGUGGAACGAGAAUAUCCUAUUUUGGGCCGAAAGAAUCUUGUUUUGUCCAUCUUCAAUUCUAGUCUGAUCCGACACCUUCUUGACUUGAUUGGUUUGUUCCUCAAGCCCACUUGCACGAGGAAACUGGCAUCCAUAGGUCAUACUGAGCUCAAACAGGUUGCUCCUCAUCUCCUCUCUGUUUAGGUCAUGUCGGUUGCACCUUUAUCUCCAUGCGCAAGUUCGUCCAGUUCACCCGUCGAUGAUUCAAUCAGCUCGUCCUCUCCAAACUCGUCCAGUUGGUUGCAGCUUUCUUGUUCAAGUUGUUUCCAAGCCGUAUCAAGAUUGAUUUCUCUAUCUCGGUCCGGAACCUCAUGAUCAUCCCAAUAAGACUUUGAAACAGUCCUUUUAGCCAAGCAUUGAUUAGUAGCUUAGCUAAUCCCUUCACUGGACUUCAUGAAGUUUGAAACUAAUCGAGCUGAUCAGGAUCGUAUCACAAGGGGUAAUGCUAUAAGUGAAGAAGUUCAGACGAUAGAUAAGACUAUAACAUGGAAACUUGUAGACAAACCCUGUUGGGAAUCCAUGUCCAACUCUAUAUUGUUUGAUUAGUAUGAUAUUUUCCACUUUGGGUCUUAGUCAAGUCUGCAUGGUUUUACUUUUGGUUUUCUUCCCAAAAGGUCUCGUGCUAAUUAGAGUUGGACAUCUCUUUAUAUAUUAGACACUCCUUGUCUAAAUUUUCAAUGUGGGACUUGAAUUGACAUCUCUCAUUCUUCCCCUCAAAUCAAGGACCACACUCUUCUUGUGUCCUUUUCAUUUUAAUGAAAUUCCCUGGCACCUUAUCUUGUCGCGUCUUCGACAUCAGGGUCUUAAUCUCUGCUGAACCUCUCUUUCCACCUUGAAGGGUUUCAUUCCUAUUCGAAGGGUAUUCUGGUAUUCUUGUAGAUUUCGUCAACUUGACUCUGAUGCCAAUAUUGGGAAUCCAUGUCCAACUCUAUAUUGUUUGAUUAAUACGAUAUUUUUUAUUUUGGGCCUUAGACAAGCCCGCAUAAUUUUACUUUUGAUUUCCUUCCCAAAAGACCUCAUGUUAAUUAGAGUUGAAUAUCUCUUUAUAUAUUAGACCGUCUUUGUUUAAACUUCCGAUGUGGGACCCCACCUGAAUUGACAUCUCUCAGACCCAUAAACAAAAGUAACAUCAUUUUGAAGCGGUUAUAUUGUAUCAAGAGGGAUGCAUAUGGACGUAUAAUAAAGUACAAAAAAAGGUUCACCAUGAAUGGUUUAAAGCAAAGUACAACGAGUUUGGAAUUAGACCAAACCACAAUUAAAAGGAAGUGUUGAAGGUAACUGAGUUUAGUAAAUGGGUGAACCAACUAUUAUUGAAAUAAAAACACCAAGUCUAAGUAAGAAAUACAGUAACUGAAUAUGGUCUCCAAAAUUUAGGACCUGCUCUACGAGGAACAACUAGAAAUUAUCGUAUAAUAACUAUAGCACUGAACAUAUGUAGUUCGAAAAGGUGGAAUAACAUGUGCUGAGAGUUUGUUUGACUUAUGAAGCUACAAGAAUCUCCAUGGCGUCUUUUGGGAGGAUGGUAGUUUCAAGAAAAACACGAGGAAAUCAAGAUCGGUCAUGGGCAUAAUUCAGCCAAACACUGGUUUAUGACUCAAAAAUUUUGUGUAUUAAAAUUAUUACUAAAUCAUCUACAGUUCUGAAAAUCUUAUGGCCGGUCCGGAGGAAUUGGAGUUCUUGAAGUGGUGAUCUUACCGUUUUAAAUUGGUUGGUUCGAUUCUACCGAACCGGGUCCAUACUGAGACAUUCUUCUUUUUCAGGUUUCUGUAAACGUUUUUGCACUCUUGGUUUUACAUUUUACUUAAUAAAUUAUUAUUCAAGGUUUUUUUUUUUUUUUUUUGAAACACUAUAUAAAACGUUUAAAAGAUGCAGUAAUAGAAAAGUUGGAGUUUGAUCCAAAAAAAAAAUAGAAAAGUUGGAGAAGAACGAAGAAAGACCAUAUCUUCACUCGUCUUUUAACUCACUCUUUAUUAACCUUAUAAAACUAAAAAAGAAGCAAAUCACCCUUCCAUAAAUCCCUUGAGAUUCAAAUCCGAGGGUCCACCUUCCGCCGCAGCAUCAACGGCCAGCGUCUUCCACCUCGCCGCAUUCCUUCUCAUCUCAUCCGCGUCUUCUCCGCCUCCCAUCACCUUCUCCAGACACCAUCUCAACUCAUCUCCAUCCACGUGUCCUUCAUCCCCUUCCUUCACUCUCACUCCAAUCCCCCACACAUCCUCCACAAGCUUAGCAGUCGUGCACUGAUCCGCGAACUGCGGAAACGCCACCACCGGAACACCGUUCUCUAAGCUCUCGAGAGUCGAGUUCCAACCGCAAUGAGUCACAAAACACCCCACCGAGGGAUGCGCCAAAACCGCCGUCUGAGAGCACCACCCCACCACCAGACCUUUAUCAUCUCCUCUGAUCAAGUCCACGAAACAACUCUUCUUCUCUUCAGCUUUCGUCUCCUUCACCACCCAUAAGAACGGUCUUCCUGUGGCCAACACGCCUCUAGUGAGCGCCUCCAUGUGUUUCUCCCACAAACCGUCGCCGUGCGAGCCUAAGGACACGUAAAUCACCGACUUCUCGGCCUUCGAGUCUAGCCACUUGAUGUAAUCCUCGUCUGAUGAUCUGAAAAGAUCGGCUUUACCGGUAGAAGAAUCGUCGGAAGAGGAAACCAACGGUCCGACCGGAAUCAUUCUGAGUUUCUCGACGGAGGUUAACGCUUCCGGUUCCAGUUCGGUGAAAGUGUUCACCAAGACUUUGGGGUUCGACUCCGAGUCGAGAGCUUCGAUGUGUUCUCUCAGCGUUACAAGAGCGGACGGUAACACAUUCGACGGCUGGAGAAACGACGGGAGGUCUCGGGUGGAGAGCGGUGGCAGUUUCUGUAGUUUAAUCGGUUCAGUGUCGAAGAGGUGGCUGUGAGAGGCGUUGAAGUAGUAGUAGUAGAUGUCGAGUACAGUGGCGGGCUCAAUCCAGAGAAGCGUAGCCGGGAGGUGAAACUCACGCGCCACCGUAGAAGCCCAAGGGACGAGCACCGAGUAGAUAACGCCGGUGAUUGGCUCUGUGGCGGCGUUUCCGUCGAGAUUGGCUCUGAUGAUGUCACUCAGGGCGUCUGAGCCACGGCGUUUGAACUCGGACAUGUAGUUUUUCUGGUCCUCGAAGGACUUGGGACCUUCGUCGAAUCCAUCGGAGAACCAAGCGUAGGACAAGCCUUCGGUGGAAGGUGGCUCGCCCAUACGACGGAGAGCUGAGAUGGUGGUCGCGUAUGUGAUGGUUGCUCCGUGAUGGAUGAGGCGGUUGGCUAGUUUUAUCGCAGGGUUUAUGUGACCUUGCGCCGGGAAAGUUACAAUCAAGUAGUGAGGACGAUGACUACAACCGUUAACCGAGUUGGCCAUUUUUAGUGUUUUGAGGAUGUCGAAGUUUAAAGGAACACACGAAAGGCUUUUAUAGAUAACUAGAACAUUCAAACUCUAUUUAUAGCAAAACAAUUAUAUAUAGUUAAUCAAUGAUUAAGUAUAAAAAACGGUAAAGGAUUAUGACUAACUAAUUGAUCAUCUUUACACUGUUCUGUCUCGGACACAACCGGUGGUUGAGAAAAGUCUUUUUGUGACGACCGAUGAGUAAAAGAGCCAACCGACGCGACAAGUAAGAAGACGGUAUAAAUAAUAUCUCAACCUCCACACCCACCAACCAGACCAUUGUGUAAUAUAACAGACCUAAUUACUUACACGGGAGAUUACUUCAAUACAAAAACUAUACGACAAUAGUGAUAAUUUAGAUAAACCAUGUUAAAUUACAACUAGUGAAGUGAAUUCUCCAAAAACUGAAAGUAGUCCUGUUGUUUCGAGGCUUCGGCAUAGAUUUUUGUUUAGUUUUCUAAUUCACCAAAUCUAAAACGCUUUUAAUUCUCUUCGUCUGACCGGUAGAUGAGAAGUGUCUUUGUGAUGAUUCUACUUUUAGCAUGCGGAAGAUCAAUUUAACACCGAAAUCAGCUCAUCAUAUCAGAGUGUACUAAAACAGAGAUUACAAACUUUUGAAAUAAAUCUCCCAUAAUAAAAAAAAACUAAAACUGAAACUACUAAAGCCGUCUCUUUGAAAAAGAAUCUGGUUCGGUUUUUCUAAAAUAGGAGAGUUUAGUGUUCAAGGUGGAACACAUACUCUGUCAAGCGUUGCAGCUUCGAAGAAUCCACCUUUUGCUCUCUUUUAAUCGCUUGCUUCUUCACGGUCACCAUUUGAGAUGCUGCAUCCACUGUCCAUCCUUUCUCCACAACAUCUGUGUAUAUAUCCAACAUACAAAAAUACACUUAUAGAUUUCUCAUUCCGAAACAAAGAUGGUUGAUCUAAGCUAUGACAUUGCGAGUAUUGUCCCAAAGGAUAACUUUUUGAGUCUAGUUUCGUUAUAAGAAUGAUUAAGUUGAAAUCUUAGAACUGAUGAGGCCGAGGAAAUUGCAGAAAAAGAAAGCUUACAAGUAGUGGCAUCAUCUUCUGUCAUCCCUAGGAAAAGAGCCAAAUCAAGGAUGGUAAUUGUGGAGUAGGCAGACAACAAAAGCUGAAACAUCCUUUUUGUGUAAACAUCUUCAAACAAAACCAAACACAGCUACAUAAGUUUGUCAGCUUAGUUCAAGAAACCGUUUCAUAAUAGCUAAUGGUAUACAUACCUGAGAAAGCAGCAACCAUAUCUUUAGCAUCUUGACUCCAAUCAAAACCCCGGAUAGCUUCAUAUACACCAGCAUAGUCACGUGUCCAGAGCUUCUGACCAAUCCUCCAAGCAGCAGCAACUUCAGGCUUGCUCUCCUUCACACUCGUAGGUAUUGUUUUCCAUAGGAAACGUGCACUAUCACUGCAUUAUUUUUUUAUCAUUCCAGAAUUAUCCAGACAAGCAAAAUAGCACACAUCAAAAAGCAACUUAGUCAUGUACAAAGUAGAGAACAGCAAAAUUAUAGCUCUAUAAUCAAUCAUAGGAUCUACAAUUUCAACUCGAAGCAGAAAGAGCAAUUAAGAAUCGCUAUAUUAACGGCGAAAACGAUAUAAACAAAGAAGUAAAGUAAUUUAAACAGACCAAUCGUCAAGGUAGAAGUAACCGAGAAGAUGGAUUGCGUAAGGCCAGUCAUCCUGGAAUGAGAUUCCUUCGGCAGAGACCUAUUUGAUUACAAUCGAACGAAGGAUUAUCAUUGACGAAAUCCAUAAACCCUAGCGAACACCAGAAACAGUGAUAACGAGAGAAAAAAUUGGGACCUGAAGCAUGAGAGUAUCGCAGAUGUCGGCGAUUUUAUCAAAGGAUUUGACGGCUAAAGCAUCGGUAACAGGAGAGAGAUCCAUGACUGGUUUACUCUUGGAGAUUUGCGAAGGGGGGGACGAUCGCUAGUUCUUCACAAACCCACUGUAAAGGAAAAGAAAAGAAAAAAGACAAUUUGUUCUCCGGUUAUAGGUUUUAUUAUUUAUUCAAAUCCUUUUCAAUACGGUUAGUUUAAACCGAUCCUAAUUCAAUUUAAACCACGCCAAAAAGUUGAACCAAUAUAAAGUGAUAUACCAUGGCGUGGGUAUAGAAAAUACGGUUUGCAUAUACCAAUUCUGGCUGUGUCGGGUCAUGAUCCUGGUUCAACAGAAGCAAGAGAAACCAUACAAGCUGGCAUUCAUGGACGCCUUCUUGGAGAAACACAUGAAUCAUGACCAACUUGCAAAGGUCAUCAGAGAUGUCAAAAGAAAUAUAUGGCUCGACAUGCUCAAUAUCAUUAGGCUUUUCUAUUUUUAUUCUCAUCCAAAUCUAGUUUCUUCUGAAAUAAGCUUUCCUAGCACUAAAUAUCUCUAACAUUAUCUAUCUAUGAUUCAGAAUCAAUAAAUAGGAUUUCAUGGAAAAGGGAGUUCUGUAUGCAAAACCAUCUUCUAUCAGGCUCUAGUUUUAUUUACAAAUUAGGAUAAGACAUGCGUCUUGCACAAGGUAAAUUUAUAUGAAAAUUAUUUAAGAAAUAUCGUUUGGAAAAUUAAAAUUUAUAUUCUUGAUCGAAUUAAUAUUUUUGGUCCCUAAAUAAUUUUUUAAAAAGUUGAACCAAUAUAAAGUGAUAUACCAUGGCGUGGGUAUAGAAAAUACGGUUUGCAUAUACCAAUUCUGGCUGUGUCGGGUCAUGAUCCUGGUUCAACAGAAGCAAAAGAAAUAUAUGGCUCGACAUGCUCAAUAUCAUUACGCUUUUCUAUUUUUAUUCUCAUCCAAAUCUAGUUUCUUCUGAAAUAACCUUUCCUAGCAUUAAAUAUCUCUAACAUUAUCUAUCUAUGAUUCAGAAUCAAUAAAUCGGAUUUCAUGGAAAAGGGAGCUCUGUAUGCAAAACCAUCUUCUAUCAGGCUCUAGUUUUAUUGACAAAUUAGGAUAAGACAUGCGACUUGCACAAAGUGAAUUUAUAUGAAAAUUAUUUAAGAAAUAUCGUUUGGAAAAUUAAAAUUUAUAUUCUUGAUCGAAUUAAUAUUUUUGGCCCUUAAAUAAUUUUUUAAAAACUUUUUUGUUAAUUACAUAAUUUGUUUACUGAUAAGCUGAUCCGAUUUUAAAAUAUUUUAAGUCAAAAAAUCGCUUAUCGCAUAAGAACCUAACGUUUAGGCCGAAAAAUCUCAUGUCUACUAUUUGGUUAUAAUGAAACUAUGCCAGUUCGGUUUUCUAUCAUGAUUUAGCAAUUUAAAAGUUAAUUAUGGUUAUGAGACGUUUACGUUCACGUGCCAAUCCUAUCUAUCUUCAAUAUUUUCUCAUUUUUGUGUCGCUUUUUUCAUUUUGGUUAUUGCUCGAUAUAAAUAUUGAUAUUUGAGUUUAUUUUCAUUUUUUUAUUUUGUUUUGGCAUGAGAUUUAGAAUAUGUUUAAGUUUUAAAAUUAUUAAAAAGAUACAAGAUUUGCGUCUUGAGCAGAAUAAAAAAUUUAUAUUUAUUACUUAUUUUAUGUUUUCUGCAUAUUAUGAAAUAAUAAAAUAAUAAUUAUAUCUCAAAUUAGUGGAAACAGAAUCUACACUGUGGGCUGAGACACAAAUAGUGAAUGAAUAAAGGACAACACCACAAAUAGGGAAUAUGAUUUUGCCGUCAAUUCCAGGAAGAUGAUGUUUCACAGAUGGGUCAUGGAAAGAGGGGGAUAUGUAUUCAGAACAAGGCUGGCUUAGUACCUUAGAAGGUUUUGAUGGAUUGUUGGGGGCGAGGAAUGUUAGGGCCAGUCUUUCUCUUCUUCAUGCGGAGAUGGAAGCGUUCCUUUUGGCUAUGGAAUGUAUGAGAAAUUUACGUCAGUUUCAGGUUACGUUUGCAACGACUGCUCUCAAUUGGUGAAGAUGGUUUCAGAACAGGAGGAGUGGCCAGCAUUUGCAAAUUAUUUGGAAGAUGUCAAGACCCUGAAAGAGAACUUCAUACGAUCAGAGAUCAUCUAUGUACCAAGGACACAAAAUACAAUGGCGGAUAGACUAGCACGCAGUGUUAGACAGCAGCCGUCUUUUGUCGUUCACAUGGAUGCAGAUCACCCAGUUUGGUUUACAGAGUUAGUAUGAGUCUCUAAAAGUUGAUGACAAAAAAAAAUUUAUUGAAUAACUAAGAAAUCAAUUACUAUUAUGUAAUCAAACGACCGAUCUUGUUUAUUCGCAAUCAUUAUAGAGUAAAUAAAUCAAAACAAUCAAUCUUAUCUAUCGUAUAUGAUAUAUAAUUAAAUUUAAAUGAUAUUAACAUAUAUAUAGUAUACUUUUAAUAUGAAUUUAUAUUAAAUGAAGUUUCUACUCAUAUGAUUUUACGAUUAUUUGCAUAUUUAUGUAACAAAAUUUUACACCAACGAUUUUUUUUAAUGUGGAAUGUUUAGUGGUUUCAAUAUUCUAUAAUCAUUUUAAAAAAAUGAAGAUUUCAAAAUUAAAAUAUUAACUUUUCAAUAUAUGUUCAACACAUAUAUCAAAAUAUAAGUAUGUAUUUCCAUAUGAUAUAUAGUUUAAUUUAAACAAUAUGAAAUAUAUGUAUAUAUAUUAACAUAAACACCUAUUAAAAUAAAAUUGUUUAUUCAUAUGAUUUUAUAAUCAUGUUAUCUUAUUAUAGAAAAAAAUUUAAAUUUGAUCACAAAAUUUUGUGUGAGACUUUUAGCUAUUUAAUAAUUUAUACUCGUUUUGAAAAAUUCAAAAUACAACAUCUACAAAAAGAAUCUAAAUUUUUAUUAUAUGAUUAAUGUAAUUGUGUAAUUUAUUUUAAUAAUAAAUAAUCAAACAAAAAUGAUAGAAAGUAUACAGAUUGUUAGCAAAUCUUUAGUAUUUAAAAUCAUUAAUUGCUAUAUAUAUCUUAAUCACAUUAGGUAAUUUCGUAGGUUUUAUUUAAGGAAAGAAUAUAAAAUAAUUUCAAUUUGAAAAAUGAAUAGUGAAUAAUGGACAUACUAUAUAAUAUAACAUUCUCUAGCAAUUUAAUUUUGGACUAACAAAAUUUUCAAUUGAUUCUCAAGCCGUCACGUAAGCAAAAAUUAGCAUUAUAAUUACGUGACAACGCAGAAUGAUACUUUUUUAACUAGUACAAACUACAUGUUAUAAUUUUUUAAAUGUUUCUCUAUUAAUAUAUAGGGGAUCUCCCAAAAAAACUUUAAAAUGUUUUUAUGACGUAGCCUACAAAGAUGAAAAUAAUAUUUCAUUAAAAAGGUAAAAACCAUUUGUACCCUUUUCAAUAAACAAAUAAAUAUUAAAUAUGAUUUUUUUUUAAUUUUGGAAAAAGAAUAUUAAAUACUUUUUUCAAAAUUUUUGCUUUCGAACUUUUUUCCUUACACCCCUUUUCCAAAAAUAUUUUAUUAAAAUUAUUAUUAUUCAUUUAUGCUUUAAAUUUUUAAUUCUAAAUCUUAAUCCCAGAACCUAAAUCCACGUACCUCAAAAUCUAAACUCUAAUUUGGAGCACUUUGGAACUUGAAAAAAAACUGAUGCUCAAAAGAUCAAGCAAAGCAAGUACUUGAAGCCAGUGUCCAUCGACACUAACAUUGGUGUCGGUCAACACCCUUUGUGAGCAAGUAAACCCGACGUGUUUUAGUAAAGUUUCAAGAAAUACAAUUUGACCUAGAAAUUUUCUUUAUUAGUGAUGUUCAUUUAGCAGACGCAGCUUCUUGCAGCUGUGGUUGAGACUGCGUUAUGUUUGUUUGGUUGUUGUUCGUUUUGCAGACGCAGCCGCAACCGCAGAUUGUUGUUCGUUUCGUAGACGUUGUAUGUUAACGCUGACGCUGGACGCAGAUUAAGUGUUGUUCGUUUGGCAAAAGCUGCGGCUAAUUUCAUUUAAUUCAUAUUUUAUUUUUAUAAAUUUUUAUAACUGUAUUUUAAAUCAAUAAUAGGACAAUUCUCUCAAAUAGACCAUUUUUAAGUUUUUGUCACAAAAAGAGCACUCAAUGAAAAAAAUGACCAAAAUAGGUUUUAGUAAAGAAGCAGAAAAACUCUUAUACCCUAGAUAUAUAAAUAUAAAUUAAAAAAUAAUAUUUUUUAUAGGUUCGAAUUAUAUGGUUUCAAAUUUGAACUUUUGUAUAAAUUUUAUUUUUCAAAAACGUUUUUUUCCAAAAUAUUUUUAUUUAUUUUUUCAAUUGUUUUUUAAAUUCGAAAAUCUUUUUGAGACUAUUUAAAAAAAAAAUUAAUGUCUAGAUUAGUUAACCAUAGGGGUAUAAAUAUAUAUUUAUUUCUUUAAUGAAACAUUUUGGUCAUUUUGAUUCUUAGGGGCUAUAUUUGUGAUAAAAACUUUUUUUAAAGCUAUCUAAAAGUGUUUCUCUAAAUAGCAUGUAGUUUAAAUAUAUUUACAUCCAUAAAAUAUUAUAUUUUAUUAAUAAUAAAUUUUUAGUCAAAUAUAUAAAUAUAACAACAUUUUUGUCAUAAAACAUAAGCUAAAUUUAAACAAAAAUAAUAUAUCAAAAUAUUUAUCACAAAACAAAAUCUAAAUAAUACAUAAGUCUUAAGUAAAUAAAACAAAUAUUAAAUGAUAAUCAAAGUUAUAAGCAAAAAAAAACCAAGUCAUUAACUAAAAUAUUUAAUACGCUAAAUUGUCUCUACUAUAUUCAUUUGCGAUGUUCUUACGCAAAGCCUUCAUCGCUUUAUCACCGGUUGGCUCAUAUACAAUAUGUCCACCACCACCAUCAUCAUUAUUAUCUUCUUCUUCAUCACCAUCAUUAUCAACUUCUUCUCCUUCUCCAUCAUCAUCACUUUGCCAUUACACAAAAUCACAAUCUUCCCGAUGUGAAUCACGUAUGAAGUUGUGUAGUGCCAUUGUCGAUGUUACCAGCUUUAUCCAUUUGAACAGACCAUACUUUGGAUGCUUACAAUUCAAAAUCUCUCUUUUUGCUUUCCAUACUCCAAAUGUCCUCUCAAACAGUGAUCUCAGAAGUUAAUGCUUUUGGUUAAACAACUCUCAUACACUAACUGGUGGUCCUCCUCUAGCAAACUGACCAAGAUGAUAUCGCAUAAUACGAUGCGUACCAAGAUACCCUAUCCUGGUAAGAUAUCCUGGGUCAACUAGAUAAUACUUUCUAGGAGGAAGAUGUGGGAAAGAAGCCUCAUUUCUCGCACAAUGAGUAAAGACCUUUGUAUCAUGUGCUCUACCAUGUACACCGAGAUAUGCAAAUAUAAAAUUCAUAUUAAAGUUAUAUAUAGCAAGAUCAUUCAUUGUAGGAUUUUACUUUCUUCCUUUAUAUGCUUCUACAUUUUGACUUGGAGGGCGAACCGGCACAUGAGUUCCAUCAAGUGCUCCAAUACAAUGUUUGAAAUAAGGUCAAUAUUGAUCAUCAUUCUUCAAAACAUGAUUUACUCUUGCAAACUCGCCUUAUUGUGGUUUUAGUUUAUCCUCUGCAAACUUGAGAAGAGCACUCAAGAAAUCAUCAAGCUUUCUUUUUACAAUAUCCAAUGACCGUUGAUACCUUUCACAUAUAUCCUCAUAGUCUUAUCCUGAUCAACCACCUUAGGAAACAUCACAACAAAUUCCUCAAUGUAGACAUUGUGAGAGUCUUGUAAUUCAUAUCGCUCAGUUAGCAUCUUACACAAAGCUUUAAAAGUUCUUUGAUUUAUUCGAAAAAUAUCAUAACAUUGCUGAUCAAAUUCAUACAUAAGUUGUUGAACAUGACACAAUCCUGCUCCUCAAUCUGUUGUUGAACAUGACGUAAUCCUAUGACUCAAUCUCUCAGUAGUAACCACAUCAAACAAACCAAGUUCAUCAUCAUAAUCACCAUUCUCAUCUUCUAGUUUUAAUCUUUCAACCAUCUACAAAACAUUGAAUAAAUCAUCAUCAAAAACAAAUUAUCAAAAUGCUAUAACAGGCACGCUAUAAAAAUAUUGAGUGUCAAAACACAGCACCAACAAUACAAGAAUUACUAAGACAGUGGAGUCAUAAGACAACUAAAGACAGAUUCGUUUUAACACAACACGAAAACAUUAGUUACACAUCAUAUAUCUUUUAUUACACAAGACAGAUUCGUUUUUACACAACACCAAAACAUUAGUUAUACACGAUAUCUAAGACAGUUCCAUAGCAUCAACAAACUAUAAAAACAAUUAGAAACAAGGAUCAAGUCAGAUUUAUAUUAACUAUAAAAAUAAAUCAAAGAUCAAGCCACAAAAUACAUAGUUUCAUACAUAGAUCAGACCAAGAUCACAAACUAUAUAGCGAUACCAAAAGUUCCAACAAGUUCCAUACUAGUUCCAACAAGGCAUAGUUUCAUACAAAGAUGCCAAAAGUUCCAACAAGUUUCAUCAAGUGCAAACAAGAUUAGACGAAGAUCACAAAAGGGUUUAGACUCCAACUAACUCAAAUUCACAAACUAGACAAUCAUCACGUUUAUCUUGGUCCUAAGCUCCAGAAACUUAAUCUUAUCUUUAGCUAUUUUAAACGUUAUAAAGCCCCUUCGGCUCCCUUCACUAUCUAUAAGAAGUUCAAUUGCUGCUUCGGGCAAUAGAGACCACUGCCUCACUCUAAGCAAUGCAUUCAAUAUCUCUAACACAUUCUCAACAGUAGAGGCAUGUUCACGCUCCGACAUUUGUUCCUCUAUCCUAUUCUUCACCUCAAGAGCUUCAGUCCGUUUUACACAAGCGUCUAUAGAAAUAUCUUUCUAUAUACGCUUUCUUUUUGCUCUUGAACUUCUAGCUUGAGUUUGUUUCUGAGUUUCUGUCUGAGCUUGUGUCUAAGUUUCUGUCUCGAGUGCUUGAGUCUCUGCUGCUGGAAUAUCAACAGAAUCAGCUUCAUCACCAUCAUCUCCACCCACUCUAGAAUUCAAACUUGCUUCUCCAUGUUGAGUGUUCCUUCCUUCAGGUCCAGUUACUACAACACCAUAAAGUUCCUCUUCAAAUAGAUUCAUAUUAACAAUCUCUUUGCAUAUGGAUUUUCUAAGCACAUACCACUCCUAUAUUACAAAAAGAAACAUAAGUCAGUAGCAGCAGUAGUAGACAAAGCCUAAACAUCUCACUAUUACUGUGUUCCCAUUUUUAGCAACUGAAAUUAAUUUAAAGCAGUUAUAGAAAGCUUAAACUAACAACACUGAAAAGUGAGCAAUUGCAAUUAAUAAAGCAUAAGUAACAAAUGUGAAGACAAAUCAGAGCAUCACAAUAGCAGGAAGAUCAAACAAAGAAGACAAUUCAAUCAGUAUUAUGUAAUAAGAGCUGGAACACUUGAACUAAACUUGCACAGAGGAAGCAUAUCAAGUCUAAAAAUACACAAAAGAGAGAUAAGUGAAAUUGACCUUUUCGCGUUCAUUCCACCAAUCAUUUGACAUCUCAAUCCUUCCCAUCUUAUUAAACCCAAGUCAUGUCCUAUUGUGAGUCAUCUUCCUAAACUUGGUGUAUUUUUUCCUACAGUUGUCUUACUUGUUCGGGUAAAUCUUCCAAUUGGGAUAUCCUCUAUUAAACCUCUCUUCAAAUAUCUUCAUGGUGUUAUGUUUCCCUAUUUUAUUCGUUGAUGUACUCGUUCUAUUUCUUUUUUUCUCUCUUCCACAUAAAGUUGAAAAAAAACCUAGUUUCCUCAAGAAGCCAAUUCUAAAACACACCAAAUUUAGUGCCAAAUUAAUCAUUAAAUCAUAGAAAAUGAACAAAGACAGAAUCUGUUUACCAACUAAAACCAACCAAAACUUAAUCACAAGUGUGUCUUAGGGAAUGUAGCAAUAAACAAUUAUAAAAACAAAGCAGGACACAUACCAUAAAGCAUAAACAAACAAAUAUUUACCAACUAGGACCAAUGAAUACUUGUCUUUAUUACUAUCUAAAGUACAAAGACAUUUCACAAAUUAAGUAAGUAAAAAAUCUGAGCAAGCUAGUAAAGUAAACCGUUGAAAUAGGUAAGUCAGUAAGAACUCAAAGAAGAAUUUAAAGAAGCAAAGAUGUACCAAUGAAGAAUUCAAUUAGAAGCCAUAAACAUUAACAGAUCAAACAAGCAAACCCAUCAAAAAUCGAACCUUUAAACAUAAAAAAUCGCAAAUCAGAGAAAUCAACAAACAUCUGAAUCUCAAACACAACCUAUUCUAGUUUAAAGACACAUCAGAACACAAAAUCAUCAGUCAAUGAUCUUAAAGAGUUCAUCAGUUCCUACAAAACAAUAGACCUCGAGAACAGCGACAGUCAGAGCAAGCUGGAGAGGAACAACGGUAGUCUGAGCAAGCUGGAGAGGAUUCUAAACGGCUUUACACAAACCUAAGCAUCAACAAAAACAGAAACAAUCCAUAAGACCUUACAAGUUCAACAAAUCAAAGAAACCCAUCAAACAUCAUACCUCAAGACUCGAGAGAGUGAGCUUGAGAGGGUCGUCGGGAGAGUGAGCUUGAGAGGGUCGUCGGGAGAGUGAGCUUGAGAGGGUAGAGACUUGAGAGAGUGAGCUUGAUAGGGUCGUCGAGAGAGUGAGCUUGAGAGGGUCGUCGAGAGAGCUACAACUUCCACAUGUCGAGACUCGAGAGUGAGAGCCUGAGAGGAUAACCCAAAAAUCUGAGAUAAGAGAGAUCGAAGGCUGAAACGAUGGAGAAGAUUCUGUGUCGAUGGAGAAGAGGUUGUGUCUAAUUCAGGAACGCAAAAUUUUAGUCGCAUACGCUUUUAAAAUCAGCGUUAAAAUUUUAUCGCCGCAGCCGCAUGUACCGGCGUCAAUCAAACGAACAAGCUUUAUGUAAAAUAUAGCCGCAGCCCCAGGUAGUUGUGUCUGCCAAACGAACAUCACUAUUUACAAAUGAGUCUCAGACGUAUUUUAACAUAUAUUAACUAUUCUAAAAACUGUUGUUUAGGCUACACUUUAUUUUAUCUUAUAGAGCUUUAGAAAGACAAGAAAGAACUUCUUUAGAAAAAAAAAAUUGGGAAAAGUGUCAAUUUCAACGCCAACAAUUUCAGUCGUGCUAAAUACAACCCGAAUAAAUAGUUAGUGCCAAAUACGACAUCAACUCAAUUAUAAUUCAAAAAAAAACUAUCUGAACUUCUUAAAAUAUGCAUAAAUCUACAUUGACUCUAACAGAAGCUAUUCAACCGUUAACAAGCUAAAACAACGUUAUUUUGAUUUAUUUUUUUAUUUUUAUAAAUAUGUUCAUUCUGGGAUGAAAAAGACGUAGUUUGUCACUAUUGAAAUUGUUGAGGGUUGAGGAUGUAUUUGGCAUUGAGUAUUUGUUCGGAUUGUAUUUGGCACGACUGAAAUUGUUGGGGUUGAAAUUGACAUUUUUCCCGGAAAAAAAAAUCAGCCUCUUUAAUUUCUUACUUUUAUUUAUUAAUACAGUUUAUUCAGAUUAUGAUUUGUGUUUUAUUUGUAUGUUAAACCACCUGUUAGAUUUAGGGUUUUUUCAAAGAAAUGAUGCAUUGUUAGACUGAAUUGUUAAAGUUAUUUUAUAUUUUGGUUGUUCUUAUUGUUAGAUUUGGAUUGACAACCUGAAAUCUAGAUCUUAAGAUAAUUGGUAGACACAAAAGUGUUAUUGAUUGCAUAAAAAUCAUGAAUGAGCUAAAUAUAUAUUUGCAAAAAAAAAAAUUGUUUAAGGAUUUAUUGAACUUAUCAAACAUGAUCUUAAUGCUUAUUACUGGUUAAAAAUCGAGGAUAUAUAUAUAUAUAUAUAUAUUUAUAGAAUCUAUCCGCAACCAAAGUUAAUUGAUUUGAUUUUAGUUCUUUGAGAUCUAUAAUUAUUCUUCAUAAACCCUUAACAGUUAAUUUUUCUACAAUUUUGAUUUACCUGUGAAUUUCCCCCCUUAGUUUAGCGUAUUUCUUAAUCGCUUACAAACCAUUUUAUUUACUGCUAUUUACUUGCUUACUACUUACUUGUCUAGUUUAAUUCGAAACCAGAAAUCUAAUAUGUGAUAUGAGUCUCUGUGAAUACUAUCCCUAAGUAGUACAUUGCACCUCUGAAUUGCAGAGCUGCUCAUUUUGGAUAAUUUGACCAUAUCACAUGUCAAUAGAGUCCUUUGCGAUCAUAUUUUAGCAAGUUGCAUAUAACAAGAAGUGGUUGUUAAAAUGUUUACUACAUAUGUUUGUUUGUGAUCUUUGUGUCUUCGUAAUUUGAAGCGUUUGAUUCGGUUGUUUAUAUUUUAAAAGCAGGAAAUAGAUUUAUUGACCUCGAGAAUGUACAAUGGAAACAUAACAAAGAAGAAACAAAUCUUUAGAAUCAAAGAGAGGAAACUGCAACAAGCAGACACAUAAUCAUAUGGGAUGUUUAUUGUUUUUCAUUAGACUCUUGACCUCCUGCACUCAGGAGGGAAUCCUCUAGGGAACCUUUUGAGAUCAGAGCAAUAAUUAUAGAUCAUGAAGUAUUUCUGCACCCAUCUGAGUCUCCUCCUGCCAUAUGCAUUGAGCUCAUUUGCCGUUUGCAAUUCACUAUCACUUAAAGAAGUCUUGAAUUUGGGAUCACAUCCUGAAGAGACAGUGCAAGCCGCAGCGUUGAAUCCUCUGUAGUAAGCUGUGAAAGGAGCCUUGGACCAGUCAGUUUUUACCAGACCGCCUCUUGUAGCCCAAUCAUCUGCAUUCCACAGACUCGAGUAGAUCAUCAUUGGUUGGUUCUUUGGGAAAGGAACACCAAGCUUCUCUGCAUUGUUGAACACUCUUAUAGGCAAAUUGUCCACCAAGAAUCUGCACAGAGAGAAGAGUAACAACAAGAAAAAGUCAAGAUCUCUUUUGUAGUGUCAUUGCAUCUAGAAACAAAGUGUUGAAGUGAGAGAUGGAUGGAAUCUUUACAUGAUGUGUUGUGGUCUCCAGACAAUAGAGUAAGUGUGGAAGUUCUUGGUUGGGUCGAACCAGAGAUAGAACUGUUGUUCUCUGUUGCCUUUCCCUUGAGCAAAGACAUUGGUGUGAAGAACAUAAGGCUUACCUGUCUCAUUCCCUAGAAACUCGAAAUCUAUCUCAUCAUGCGUUGCUCCUUGUGACGACAACUGCAAAUUUUAUUAACAUUUAGAAAGAAUUUAUUCAAAUUUUUGUAACAGUGUAAGUUUCGAGAACGUACGUAGUAAGUAGUGACGGUACCGGCUGAGUUACCGGCGACGAGUUUAAGCUGCAUAUCGAUACGUCCGAAUAGAUACUCUUUCUUGGAUUUGAACCCCGACCCGGAAACCCGGUCCAGAGACAGAGACAACAUGUUUCCUCCGUUGAAGAUUUUCCCCCUGUGGUCACCCCACGUGAGGUCGAACUCAUUGAAGAAGUUGCCUGAGUAGGCUGAACCGAACAUCAUUACCAGCAGAACUGCCACCAUGACGGUGGUGAAGCUCGAGCUUUGACCCAUUUGGGUUUUGAUAGUAGAAAUGAAAGUUGAGGGGGUGUAUUUAGUAAGAUUUGAAAGUAAAUAAGAUGAUGGGAGCUUUAUGUUUUGGUGUGAGAUGGUUUUUGAGAAGGGGGAUAUGAAUAUAUAUAGCUGGAGCCUGCAGAAGUCUCGGGAAGCUAAACUUCACCACAGUUCGUUUUUUUUUAACAUAUACUCUUUGAUUUAUUUUUGAUCUUUUUCAAUAUAUUAUAUUUCACUGUUACAAAUGUUUAAUGCAAAGUCCAUUAUUCUUCUAUGGAUCUAAGUUUAUGAGAAGUAUUGAUCAAGUCCCAUGACGGAUUUUCAUGUGGAGUAGUAGUAAACUCAACCGGUUAGCCCAAAGUUUACAUAUCAAUUACACAAUUGCUAAUAAAGAAUCUCAUAUUCUGAAAUGCCAUGUCAUUUUUUUAGAUAUGUUUCUUAUACAAAUUAUACAUGAACGCUACACAUAAGACUUCAAAAUGGGAACUAAUCAACCACUGACCUACCAUAGUGUUGGGCAAAUUUUGUACAUGUGAAUGAAUUGACUGAGUUUGAGGAUACACUUGAAACCAUUCCAGUUACUUAUGGAGUUCUUUGAGGGCUUCUUCAAAUGUUUAUUGCAUUAUUUAAAGUCAUCAUUAGCAUUUCCUGUAAUCUCGUGAAAGCCUACUAAUAAGAUAUGAAUGAAAUUUUUAUAAUGUAAAGAAAAUAGAGAGAAUGAAAGCUGUCUAAAAGAAAGACAACAAAAAAUUAUGUGAAAGUACUUGGUGACUAGACUGGUGAGUACGACGCAACCACUCAGUGGAAAGCUGUUGCCAGCUCUUCUGCUUCACCAAUUAAACCUCCAGCCUAGACAUGGACAUUCGGGGUCCCAAUCGGAUUUCGGUUUAAUCCAAUCGGGUUUCGAUUUUUUGGGUUUAUCAAAAUCAGCCUCAUUCGGAUUAUAUGAAGAUUCGGUUCGGGACCGGUUCGGGUUCUAUCGGGUUCGGGUCGGGGUUAGUAAAUCUUCAAAGAACCAGUACAACCCGAUGUACUUUCGGAUUCGGGUCCCAAUCAGUUCUUCGGUUUAAAUGUAUCUGAUUUAUAUCUACUUCGUAACCAAAAAAUAAGUAAAAUCGGUUCUUCGGUUUUAAAAUACUUGAUUUGUACAUAUUUUGUAACCAAAACAUAAAUAAAAUCGGUUCAAAAAAAAAAGGAACAUCAAAUAUGAUCAUUCAAAAUCAAAUGAAAGGUAAACAUAGUUAUUGAUCGAAAGAAAACCAAAUAAAUGAAAGCAUAAAACGAAAACAAAGUUCUCAUGAAAUAAAAAACAUUAUUCAAUGAAAACAAAACCAAAAUCUAAAAACUUCAACCUUCAACCAUCAAUUUUCAUAUAAUAGGUAAUUAUUUUAGAUAUUCAAUAUCUUUUGAAUACAUAUUAGGAAUUGAGAUCAUGUUUGGCACAAGUUAUUUUGGGAAUUUUGAAUGUUUCGGAUUCUAUCGGAUAUCCAUUUAGGUUCGGGUUCGGUUCGGAUAAUACCCAUAACCCGAAAUACCAUAAAACAAGAUCCAUUCGGUAUUUAUACCGGGUUCGGAUCGGUUCGGAUUCAUUUUUAUCGUAUUGAAUUCGGUUCAGGUUUUCGUGUUCGGUUUAUUUGCCCAGCCCUACUCCAGCCACCGUUGCAUUUGUCUCUUCUUUUUUUUUUACCUUUUUUCUUUUAAUCUACAUUGAAAUGGAUCACCAAAACCGUUGUCUUUUAAAUUGUUACUGUGUUAAAAUGAUAUUUUAGAUUUUUACACAAUAAUAUUGCUUGUUUUUUAUGGUUUAGUUUUAAUUAUUUUAUAAUUUUAUUUAUUUUCCAAUAAAAUUCUACAAAUCAUAUUUUACAUUAUAAUACGUAUUUUAAUAUUAAAAUAAUAACAUGCAUUAAUUAAAAUUUAAAUAUUAACCUCACAAAAACUUUUUAUAGCAUUCUUCUUUUAAUUAUAGAGGAAAAUUUAUAAUUACAUAAAAUUUGAAAGUUUAGUAGGAAUAGAUGCCGCUUGGAUAUAUAUCGAAUCCUCGGGAUUUUCAUAUUUUUGAAUUUUUGUGCUCAAUCUUAUACGCUCCAUUCAAUUGUGUAUAUUAGUCUAUAUUUUCGUCGGAUUCAACUAUUACUUCUUCAGUUUCGGAUAAUUUUGUAACUUAGUAUGAGACAUAUUUUGGAUCCAUGCUCUUUUAGAUUUGUUUAAUACUUCUUUAGAUUUAGAUUUAGAUUUUUACAUAUUGGAUCAAAAUGAUUAUAAAAUUGAAUAUCUGAAAUAUUCUUAUUUAAAUUUCAAUUACUUAUUGUGGAUACUAAUUUUGAUUUUCAGAUUCAGAUUUUUUUAGUUUUGAAUUCUACUGGGUAUCGAUAUACACAAAAUACUUCUAAGCACUUUUAAAAUUAGGAUCGGAUGCAGAUUCAUAUUGUUCGAUUUGAAUUUAGUUCGUAUUUCGGAUACAUCUACCAAUCCCAAAUAAAUAUUUUAUUUAAGGAAGGGGGUAGGUAAUAAAUCAUUGUGUAUAGUGAUAAACGAGGACAAAUGUUUAUGGAGAACCAUAUAAAUGAUUAUGUCCUGCCUCUUGUUUCAGGCUCUAAUUACGGAUUUUCCAUUCUGCAGAUUGGCAGAGCUUUCCCAUGCAUUAUAAUUGAAAUCAAUCAAACCCAUUGUUCUGUAUUGAACUCUCUCUUUUCUUAUAAAAAGGUUAUAAUGAAAUGAGAAAGUGGACAAAACUAAAAGGCAAAUAAAUAAUGGGAGUGACAAGCUGGCAUGGACAUGGCGUCUCUCUGUACUUUGGUUUAUAUCCUGUCUAAGUUUUGCCACGUAUCACUUCCCUCGUACCUUCUUCACGUGUGACUGUGCCGUAAGGUUGUCUUCGGUCUCUAUCUUCCAGCCCGCAUGGGCAUCCCAUCGAGUAAAACUUCUCGUAAGGCUGGUUUUUUUGCUAAGUAUGUUAAUGUCAUGGUGGACGUUCGGGUACCCAUUCGGAUUCGGUUCGGAUCUAAUCGGGUUUCGGGUUUUCGGGUUUAAAGAUUUCAGCCUCAUUCGGGUAUUUCUAAAUUUUGGUUCGGGUUCGGUUCGGAUCUUUGCGGAUUCGGUUCGGGUUCGAAUAAUCCAUUUAAAUUAUUUUUAAAAUUUUAAUAUUCAUUAUAUGCUUAAAAUUUCUCGAAAUCUAUAAAACAAAAUAAUAUAUUACAUAUAAAUUUGUAUAAUAUAUGUCAAGAUACCUAAAAUUAACAUAUAAAUUGGUUUGAUUUGAAUAUUUGGAUUGAAAAUCAAUAGAUAUUUCAAGUAUUUUGGUGUUUUGAAUAUAUUUUAGUUAUUUUAGACAUUUACUUUUGACUAUUUAUGUAUAUUUUCAAGUAUUUUAGACAACUUAAAAGUAUAUUAUAUAUUUUGGAUGUUUUUAACAUAUAUUAAAUCUAAAAUUAAGUAAUAUAUUUAGGUAUAUAAAUCUAUUUCGGUUAUAUUCGGGUACCCGAAAUAUUUCGGUUCGGGUCGGGUUCUGUUUCAGUUCUUUAGAUACCAAAAUUUUGAACCCGUUCGGAUAUUUAAUCAAUUUCGGUUCGGGUUUGUUACUACUUUUUCGAAUCGAGUUCGGUUCGGAUCCGGGUUUUUCAUAAGGCUGAUUGUAUAUUCAAGAAUAGAACGAUACUCACUUCACUUUUCAAAACAAAUGUAUUGAGAAAAUACAAAAGGAAACACAAUUAGCGUCUUAUAUAUGUGGCCUUAAUCAACAUUUAUUUAAAUUUCCGUUUUUUUUUUUUACUUUUCCGUUUAGCAGUCUAUUUUUUCACUUUAGUAGGUAACAUUUCAUAGGUUUGUUGAAUAAACAUCAAGUAUACACAAAAAAAAAAAAGAACACGAUAUCUCAUGCUUUCGAUUCGAGCUUUGAAGCCAUUGAUAAAUUGUAAAUUGUAGGCGAGUAUUAUUAAUUCAUUAGAGCAUAUUAAAUUUCAUGCAUGACCGGUGGAUUUUGUUUGAAUGUGUGCAUUUAAAGAGGCAACACAUUCUGGUUAUUAAAAAAGAUUUUAGGGAAUUUUAAAAGUAUAUGGUUCCUGAAAUAAAUAAAUGAAUAGAUAGCUGGCAAAUAAAGGAAUAUGGAUAUGGUGGUGUGGUCCAAUCAAACCUGAUCAACUCCAAAUGCAUGCAGAUUCAUGGAAUGGGCAAGUCAUUCGCAUAGUAUGUGUAUGUAUAGAGAUUCAUGAUCACAUCAAAUAUUAUUUUUUUGGGAUCACCGAUAUUGGCCUUAUUUCACCAAACUUUUAAUCGUUAAAAAUAAAAAAAAGUAAAAUAUUAUUUAAAGUUAGUGUUAUUGAAUCUAUGAGUUUCAAAUGUAUUUUGAAAUCACUAUUAGAAAUAUUUAGCAAAAAAAAACUAUUAUUGGAAAUAUACCAAAUAGUAAAUUUGACGUAUUUUGGUAGAACUUAUCAAUUACAAUAUCAAAAUCUAAGUUAUUGUUUUAGAUAAGAUUUUAAAAUGUUUUAAUUCAAAUUUUAAUUUUCAUAAUGAAUUUAAAUUAUCUAACAAUCAUUAUUUUCUUUAAAAAAAAUUGCAAAUUUUAUAUCGAAUAUAAUUUUCUCGUAAUAAUUCAAUUUUAUUAUUAUUUUGAAAAAUUUAUAUCUUAUUCAUCUUAAUAGAUUAUAAUUAAAUGAUUUAUGUAAUAUAUAAUAUAUUCUACCAAUAAUAUUUUUUUUAUCAGGGUCAGAUCCAAUAUGUUCAGAUAGAAUAAUUGAACAGGGUUAUAGUUAUCAAAUUUAUAUUAAAAUUUUAAUUAUUUAUAAAUAUUAUGAAUUUUAAUUAACUUGAAACUAUAUAAGAUCAAAGUCCGACUAAUUUGGUAGAGGGUUAUUAUCGAUGAAUUAAUCUGAGUCUGUGUUUUUUUAGUGAGGCAUUUCAUCUUCGUCUGCCUACGUAGUACCGAUUUAGUUUUUUUUUUUUUUUUUGCAGAAUAAAAAUCUAUAACCUACAUAUUUAUGUUUUUUUAAUAUUAACAUAUUUAUGUUUUGCCCAAAUUCUUCUUCUUAUCAUUAUACUAUAAAUAUUUAGUUAUAAAUAUAGGGAUUUAUUGAUUUUAUAAGAUUUACUAAUGCAUAUCAUUUAUAUACUAAAACACAAGUCACUUGCCUAAUAAAACUUUAACACGGGGAUUUUGUUUUCAAAAAGAAAAAGCAAACAAUGCCAAUAAAAAACUCUCGGUUCUCAUCUAAAACUGCAAGAAACUAAAUUUCUAAAUUUUCUCAGACCACCACAAGACAAAUUAUUAACCUCAACUUUCGACACGUUUCUUGCUUCUAAAUUUUCUCACAUCACGUUUUCAAACGGUUUCAAUUUUCAACUAUUAUACUCUCUCUGUUCCUGAAAGAAAGAUUUUCUAGAGUAUUCACGCAUAUUAAAAAUAUAAUAAAUGUUUACAAUUAAAUUUAUUAUUUAUGUUAUUAUACAUUUUUCAAUAAAUAUCAACCAAUAGUAUUCAACCAAUUCAAAUAUCUUCAAUUAAUGUUUCUUAAAAGUAUACAACUUUUAAGUAUUAACUACUAAAAUUACCUUAAAAUUUUAGAAAAUCUAUCAUUUUGGAAUAAAAAAUAAAUAUAGAAAAACCUACUUUCGGGAACGGAGGUAGUAUAACUUUAAAGCAACUAUUUUUUUACUCUUCAACUUUUUUUCCCUUAGUUUCUUUUUCAUCUUUCUUCUGGUGUUUAACUUCUCAGUGUAGCAAAAAUCUACCCAAGUUUAUGUAUCGCUUUUAUUAGCAUCUGUUAUUCUCUAUUUCUCAGUUUAACACUCUAAUGCUUUAAGUUUUGUGCAUGAUUCAAGUUGAAUAUCAUAUUUAAGAAUAUUCGGGUUCCAACUUCAUUCUUAAAAAAAACCAGAGCUUUGUCAACAACUUAGAAAAAAGUAAAUAUAUCUGAAACUACGUACUAUGUAUAAGUUGAGGAUUUACAAAUUUGUUUGUUAUGGUUUACAAUAAUGCUUUCUUAUAACAUAUACAUUCAACUAUUUUAAUAAUCUGUUUAUAAAUAUGAAGUAUCACUAAUUGAAAUUUGGAAUAAAACAGUCGAUUAGUAUACACAGAGAAAUUUGGAAGAAACUAAAUUUCUAAAUUUUCUCAGACCACCACAAGAUAAAUUAUUAACCUUAACUUUCAACACGUUUCUUGUUCCUAAAUUUUCUCACAUCACGUUUUCAAACGGUUUCAACUUUCAACUAUUAUACUCCCUCUGUUCCUGAAAGAAAAAUUUUCUAGAGUAUUCAUGCAUAUUAAGAAUAUAAUAAAUGUUUACAAUUAAAUUUAUUAUUUAUGUUAUUAUACAUUUUUCAAUAAAUAUCAACAAAUAGUAUUCAACCAAUUCAAAUAUAUUCAAUUAAUGUUUCUUAAAAGUAUACAACUUUUAAAUAUUAACUACUAAAAGUACCUUAAAUUUUUAGAAAAUCUAUCAUUUUGGAACAAAAAAAUAAAUAUAGAAAAUUAUACUUUCGGGAACAGAGGUAGUAUAACUUUAAAGCAACUAUUUUUUUACUCUCCAUCUUUUUUUCCCUUAGUUUCUUUUUCAUAUUUCUUCUGGUGUUUAACUUCUGAGUGUAGCAAAAAUCUACCCAAGUUUAUGUAUCGCUUUUAUUUGCAUCUGUUAUUUUCUAUUUCUCAGUUUAACACUCUAAUGGUUUAAGUUUUGUGCAUGAUUCAGGUUGAAUAUCAUAUUUAAGAAUAUUAGGGUUUCAACUUCGUUCUUAAAAAAAACCAGAGCCUUGUCAACAACUUAGAAAAAAGUAAAUAUAUCUGAAUCUACGUACUAUGUAUAACUUGAGGAUUUACAAAUCUGUUUGUUAUGGUUUACAAUAAUGCUUUCUUAUAGCAUACAUAUUCACUUAUUUUAAUAAUCUUUUUAUAAAUAUGAAGUAUCAAUAGUUGAAAUUUGGAAUAAAACAAUCGAUUAGUGUACACAGAGGAAUAUGAAAGAGAUCGAGAAGAAUCUAAAAAUGCAAAUUCAAAACAAGUAAUCUAAAAUGUGUUCUUUUAUUUUAGAUUGAACAUUCAUUUUACUACUGGAUUUGGAUAUCAAAUGUAUGUAGAAAUAUUUUCAAUACUGUUUAAUGUUUUUUUUCAAAUUUAUUAUAUCAAAAAAUAAAGAGAAAAUUGCUAAAAGAGAACAAGAAAACAGCAUAGUUGUCCCUAUGGUAUAAAUCUUUUUUUGUCCAUUUUUUCUCCGUUUUACCCUUUCCAUAUGUUAAAAUUAAUGAAAUAAAUAGUUAUAUGAAUCAGAAAAAUUAUUAAAAAUAUAAACAAUUAAUAAAACACCCAUUUACACAAACACAUAUUUUUUUUGGGUUGAAAAACAUAAUAAAUAAUAUUUUUAAAUUACGUUCUACUAAAAGUAGAAUUCUGUUUCUACACAAAACGGGUAAGUAGAAAAUGAAUUCUAGAAUGAACACAUCCAUCUACUUGUUUUAGAACGUACAAACUACUUUUUACUAUAAUUCUAAAUAUGGGGAAUACGUAUUCUACUAUUUGUAAUGAUCGCUACUUUUAUUCAGAAAACUGUUUCUACUUUUAUUGAGUAUUCUAAGUUAUCAGGAAUGCAAAAUCUAAAACAUAUACGAACGUCCACAUAGUGUAGAAAUUACAUUCUGGAAUUUUGUUAUGUUCUACACAGUGUAGAAGGUGCCUUCUACGGAUAAAAAAACUGAAUUUUCGAAAAUUAAGGAAGUUGCAGUUUUUAAAAUAUUCUCAAAAUAUUCUAACUUCCUAAAACGUGUUUUCAUUGAUUUGGUUCGUGAAAAAUUAAAAAAAAAAUCGAUUUUGAAUGUUCUUCUUCACCAAUCUAUGAUUUUCCAAUGAUUUCUCUAUAGUUUGUCUUGUGAUUUUUACAAACUCUUGUUCUAUGAUGCAUAUCUAUACAACAUGUGGUGUUUGGGAGUUUGGAGCAACCACGGGAUGGGUUUUUACGGCUGAUGAGAGAGGGGCUAGGCUACUGUUAUUGGAAUCAACUUCUACCUUAGAGGAUUUUAAAAGAAUGGUUUUGGAAGAUUUUGAUAUGGAAGAAGAUAGCUUACCCGAUUUGGAGUUGAGUUAUCUACCUAAUGAGUUGAUCAAUACAUCAACUUGUCCGCCUGUGAUCAUUGCAAAUGAUCGACAGCUUCAGAAUUUUGUUUGUUUUGUUCAAAAGUGUGUUUCUACUCGAUUGUGUGUAACAUCUAAAGCCAAAGUUGAGAAUCUGAAUGAACCAGACUUUGAUCUUAACAAGUCGCCAGCUGAUUCAACUACUGCUCAAGAGGAGGGAAACUCGGUUGAUAGGGGGAAUGAACCAGCUCCUGUGUUUGUUGAGAGGCAGUGCGAGGAAAAGAAAGAAAAGAUUAGAAGAGUCGAAGUUGAUGAGGAUGCCUAUCAUGCCGAUACCAUGAUCUCGGCCAAAGAGGACGUACAUAAGAUGUCAAAGUUUUCUGUGCUCAAUGUUGUUAAGAAGGGACAAUUGUUUGAGAACAAAACUUUGCUGAAGGCGACUUUUGAGAUAUGUGCAAUGAAGCAUAACUUUCACUAUGAGGUUAUCAAAACGGAUAGACAACUUUGGUACGUUAGAUGUGAGGAUAAUGCAUGCAAUUGGUGUGUUCGAGCAGAGUGUUUGCAGGAUUCUGAAUAUUUCAUUAUCAAAAAGUAUGUCGGUGAACAUACAUGUGCACCUUCAAACAAAACCAAACCGGGUAGGACUGCUUCGGCCAAAACUAUAGGCAGUCUGAUUAUGCAUAGGUAUGAAGGGGUUAAGGAAGGGCCGAAAUGCAAUGAUAUAAUACAGAUUAUGCUUAUGGAUCAUGGCUGUGAGAUCACGAAAUCUUUAGCAUGGGAUGCUCGUGAAUAUGCGGUUAAUGCUGUUAGAGGUAUACCAGAGAGAAGUUAUGGAAAAAUACCGAAAUACUUGCACAUGCUCAGAGAGGCUAAUCCGGGAACACAUUCAUCGUAUGAGAUUGACAGCAAAGGGAGAUUUCGGUACCUGUUUAUUGCAUUUGGGCAAUCGCUACGAGGAUUUAACAGAGUCAUAAGGAGGGUUAUUGUGGUUGAUGGCACUUUUCUGAAGAACAAAUACAAAGGAGUUCUAUUGGUUGCAACUGCUGUAGACGGAAAUUCUAAUUUGUAUCCUCUUGCAUUCGGAGUAGUCGACUCAGAGAAUGAAAAUUCUUGGGAAUGGUUUAUGAGACAACUAAAUAGUGUCAUUGCUGAUGAUCAUCAUUUGGCUUUCAUUUCGGAUAGACAUGCGGCCAUUGCUAAGGCGCUUGAGACUGUGUAUCCAACAGCUAAACAUGGUAUUUGCAUUCAUCAUUUGUUGAAUAAUGUGGUAACAUAUUACCAUGGGAAAGGACUUGUUGGGUUGGUUGCAAAGGCGUCCAAGGUUUAUAGAGUUGCUGAGUUUGAAAAGAUAUUUGCUAAUGUGUGUAAUAUCAGUCCGGCAAUUGGAAAAUACCUAAGGGAUGCUGAAGUCCAAAAGUGGGCAAGAUGUCAAUUCUCUGGAUAUAGAUAUGACAUAAGGACAACAAACCCUGCCGAAUCCAUCAACUCUGCUUUGCGUUCGCCGAGAGAGUAUCCAAUCAUUCCCUUGUUGGACAGUAUCAGAGAAAUGCUGACUCGGUGGUUUUAUAACCGUAAGAAAAAGAUUUCAAAGCAUAAUCAUCCUCUUACCGAAGAUGUGGAGAAAAAGAUUGAAAGGAGAACCGAGAAAGGCAAAAGAUUUGCAGUUUACCCUGUCAGCGAUGGUCGCUUGCUUGUUAGAGGUGAUAAAAUCGACUGCUUAGUUGAUUUGGAUAGACGUACUUGCUCAUGUGGGAAGUACAACCUGAUGAAGAUACCUUGUCGGCACGCAAUUAAAGCUGGGUUUCAUGUUGGCAGACAGCCACACACAUUAACUGAUUUAUUUUACACUACAGAAGCUUGGCGAGAAGCUUAUCAUGAAAGCAUCAAUCCUAUUGCUGUUCCUGAGGAUGCUUGGUCCAUGCCAGAAGAUGUUGUCGUGGACAAUGUGCUACCACCAGAGUCAAGAAAAUCAGUUGGAAGGAAUAGAAAACGGAGAUAUGAAACUGUUGAAGAUAAACUUCGGUCAUCGCAAACAUCACAAAAGAGGCAGCCUCGCAAGUGUAGUAGAUGUGGUAUUAGUGGGCACAACAGAGCAACUUGUAAAAUACCAAUAUAGUCAGUCACAUAUGGUAAGGGUCAGCUUAUAUAGCCAGUUCGUUUAUAUGUUUUUCAAUCUCGAUUUAAUUGUGUUUCAGGUAUUUAUGUUUCUGUUACAGGUUGGUCUGUUCAAGUAUGCAAGUUGUGGUGUUUGAAAGUGCAGUAUUGCCUUGUCUCGUAUGGUUUUUUCUUCUAAAAACAAUCAACUUUGUUUAACUUUGGAUACUUUGGAUAAUUCUUGUAUGGUUAUUUUAUCAGUUUCAUUGUUAUACAUUGGUAUUAUUUUCACUUCACUUCUCUAUCUCUCUGUUUGUUUAGUUAUGUUCAGCUAUGCUUUUGAGUUCGAGUUUAAGUUUGUUUGACAAUAGCUGAUGUCUGAUUUUUCAACAAAAAAGGUGGAUUGUAAGAACAGAUCACUGAGCACAAAAUAUAAGAACCAUUUGACUGGUAAAGUCGACACAAAUAUUGUUGCAACAAAACACUUAUUGAAGCCAAUACUAAGAACCAAAUGACUGGUAAAAAUGAAAAAAACACACUAACAAGAAGAUACUUAGAACCAGUAGACUGAUUUCACUCAUUCUUGGCUUCUUAAUCUUCCAAAAAGCCAUAGAAUGCUUCCUAAGCAACCUAAUUCGAGUGAAUUUUUCUGCUUCCUAACUUCUUCUUCUAUUCUCUGUGUGAUACUACUUUUCAGAUCUUCAAUCUCUUCUACAAUUCUCCCUUGCUCAGCCUCUACCCUUCGAAUCUCAUCAAGCAAGGCGUCAUCAACCCACUUAAAUAAAUGAUUUUCCUUCUUUCGCUACAUAGAAACGAAAAUCAAAUUAGGAGAAGUAAAAUGGAAUGAAAAAACAUGAUGUUUAUCCUACACAAUCGAAAAUCGAAUCAGACAAAAAAGGAACAUAACAAAUCGGUAAUUGAAUCGAAAAACAAAUCAAGACUAUGAACCUGUGCCCCUAUUUCACAUCUAUAGAACCGUCGGUAAGGAUUGUCAUCAGUUCUCGAGUAGAAUAUCACAACCCCUUUCCCGCACCAGCACCUAGAUGGCACCCCGUAUGAAUGUCGCCUUGAAGUAUUCAUGUGUGUGAGAAACUGCUUCAGAGAGAAAAAGGAGAUUGACGAAAAAGAAGAACAGAAAAAAAUGGGAAAAGUCGGGUUUGGUUGCUGAGUUGGUGUUAUAUAUGUCGGGUUUUAGGUUUAUUGUGGAUCUAGUUCUGGUCGGGUUUGAUUGUUGAGUUGGAUCAAAAGUCUGGUUUGCAAGAAGCCAAGUUAAGUGUAUUACAUUUGAUUCGAUUUAUUUACUCCUACGGGAUGAUCUAGUAAAACAAUUAUUCUAAAUGUUCUUGUGGUCUUGUUCCGGGUUUUUGUUUCGUUUAGGGUAUGUUUAGGGUUUAGGUUAGGUUUGACUGUGGUCUUGUUAUGGGUUUUUGUUUCGUUUAGGGUAUGUUUAGGGUUUAGGUUAGGUUUGACUGUGGUCUUGUUCCGGGUUUUGUGUUUCGGUUAGGGCAUGUUUAGGGUUUAGCUUAAGGUUCUAAUUUAAAACAGUGUUAAAUUCUAGCAUUCUUCAGCUAAAAACUCUUAAUAACAAAACCACAAGAUGUACAUUUGAUUACAAGAGUCAAUCCUAAAAAUCAUAAUUAAACACUAGAAGUUAUACAAUAAACUAAGCAGUCUUGUUCCUAAAAAUGAUAAUAAAAUCUAGAAGUUAUACAUCAGAUUAAGCAAUCUUGUUCAUUACAUUAGAACUUGAAACCAAGCAGUCUCACAAAAUCUCUUCUACAGUCGAAGAGAGACACUCCGGGGAUUGAUACUUUGACAUCCUAUCAAUCAAUUCCGGAUCAUUAGCUGCUUCCCAAAGAUCCCAUAGAAUCCUGUGGCGAGCUUCGAUAAUGUUACCAUCAUGCAACAACGACAACUCCAAUCCAAGCGCAUGACACUCAAUGAACUUCACUGCAUAGACGCCACAGUCGCAUGCACUUUUAUUCAGAUUCCCAACGGGGACAUAGGAAACAGUAUAUGCACCGACUGCGAAAUCCUUCUGGUGUCUCAUAGGCUGAACUGCCUUGACAAUACGCGGAAUAAGGUUUGCGAACCCAUCCACCUCCUUGUACCUUUUCUUACCCGAGCAGUCGAACACUUCAAUGCUCCUCGUCACGAAACUGAUGCACAAGGCGAUCCAAUGAUUCCCACUGACAUGAACAGGGACAUACAGGCGAUCCACAUCUAUAUUCCAUAUCUCAUGUGUCCUGCCAUGUGGUGGAAGGACUCCUUUACCGAACUGCAGUAGCAAAUUAUGAAGCAUGUAGCUCUUUCUACCCUGAGCUUCUAAAUGACCAUACUCUUUUUUAAUCAUAUUGCUGAAGACGACAGUCAUGAAGGCGACACGAUGAGGUCUCCAUCGUUUCAAAGAUGUUCUCUCCCGGAAUACGUACAUUGCAGCGUCAAUCUCCUGCAUAUUUUGAAAAUCUUAGCACACACAAUGUAUUUAAAAGACACAUAUGGAAGCAAAUAGUCUCUAAGGUUUACCAAGCUAUUUAACCACUCAGAUUUAUCCAUAAGACGAUUAGCAAUCUCAAAAUCUAAAGUGGCAGGUCCAAUCCGUAUAGGUCUGAAACCAAAUACAAUGAUAAAAUUGUAAAACAUUCAUUAGUUUAUUUUAAAUGUAUUAAUACAUGUCAGAUGAAUGAGAAUAGAGUACUUACGUGGAGGAAGUUGACCAAGUUCUAACUUUUUCCCAAUCCUCUUCACGGAAAAACACCAACGCGGCAUCUGGCGAGUCUUCUUUGGUUCGAUCCAUUUCCUCAUCAUUCCACUGCAGUGGAGCCAUGUUAAACGGUUUCGAUUUACUUAACGUCUCAACUUUCACUUGAGACAGAUCAAAACCGUCAACAAAUGUAGCUUGGGACAGGUCCCGCAAGUCUUGUGUACUCAAUCCAAAAUCAAAAUCAUUAGUUUCUGUAGCAAUCUUUUUCCCGUCCUAUUCAUUAAAAUUUAAAACAUUGCAUAUAAGAAGAAGCCAUUUAUUCAUAACACAAACAAAGCAUUACAUUCAUAGAGUUUAAUACACAAACAUUCAAACAUAUUACACUUUAGAAACCUAUUACACAAAGUUUCACAUUCCAUAUUACAUAAUAUUACACAGUCAAUAUAAAGUUCCAUAAGCCUAGCUCCAGCACCCUAACUCAAGCAUCCUAGUUCCAGGUUCAUCAAGUUCUACACUUUCUCUUAGGUAGUACCUUUUUUGUUGGAGUAGGUUGAUCGCCUUUGCGCUUAGGUUGAGCUUGAGCGCCUUUGCUCUUAGGUGGAGCUUGAGCGCCUUUGCUCUUAGGUGGAGCUUCCUUGGCUUUGCUGUUUAGUGGAGCUUCUUCAGUUUCUUUCUUACUAGGAUAGCUUCCUUCACCAGUCAAACUGAUUGCGUCCUUGAGCUGUGAAACCUCAAUCUCCAUCUUUUCCAUCCUCUCUGUAAACACCCUCUCCAUAUUCGCCAUUUGCAUACUGAGCACAUCUCCCAAUGAAGUGACAGAUGUGCGGAUAAGACCCUCAAUGAAACUCAUAGUUUCAGGACCAAAAGUCAGAAACUUUUCUGCUGAUCGCUUACACAGCACCUUCUUCUUUCUUGUCUCUGCUCCUUCAUCAAGAAACUUUCUCUUGCCUUUUCCUGCGACCUUAACCGAAGAGUUCUCCUCGUCUGCUACAACAUCCGUAUGAUCCACGAUCUUAUCAGCUUCUGACCCUCUAUCAUGGCUGUCGGGUUCCUCCAUUUUAGACUCUUCAGGGUCUAAAACUGGCCAGUCUGUGUUGCUCCAAUCAUACUUGUUCCUGAUCCUCCCCAAAACAAGGUCCACUCGUUCAUCUUCCAUCUCACCCUCCCUUGUGUACUGAGCAUCUAGAAACACAUCACCAUUACCAGUCACUGAUAUGACCGAGAAGAAGUUAUCCUGCAAACAGUUAAAACAUGAAAAUCCAAACAAAAUAUAUACAACAACCAUAUAAAAGAAAAAAACAGAGAGAAUGUUACCUUCUUAGUUAAGGAGUCCUCGAGCUCAAUGAUGUCUUCAUAAGAAACUUUUGCAACUCCUUUCCAAUUGCCACACCUUGGACCUUUGAAGCUGUCUGAGACUCUUCUGCCUAAUAUUUCUCCAAAAUCAGGAAUUGCCUCCAUAAUCCAAAUCUGGAGAGCAUAGGAGAAACCCUCGAAAAUGUAGCUCUCCUUCUUACCCAACUUCUUCAUUGCCUUCUCAAUCGAACUCAACAGGAAAUCAUACGAGUGAAGACCCCAAUGGAACUUCCGAACCUUGUCAAAAUCCAUCACCAACUUGAUGUACAUAUGAGGGAUGGACACCUUCUCAUCUCUCCCCAUCACCACACCCACUAUUACACACAAGUAGAUCAACCUCAUCCUAUCAAGCCGCGUCCAAGUGUGAACUUCUUGUAGAUGAACCUUUCUGAUCGACUGCAAGGUGAUCUUACCACCUGUGUGCAGUAGGUUACUCCAAAAACCCCCGUCGUUUUUCCAUUUCACUACGUCACUGUUAGUUUCCCGUGUAAUCUUGAGGCCUGUCACAGCAUGGUACUCCUGAAGCGAAAACCGGAGAGGCGUCCUCGCAAAAACAAACCACUUCUCAUGCAGCUUUGAGGUAAUCAGCUGUCUACAUAUGAAGCUAUCCACUAGUUUCCCAGAGAACUUGAGAUCAUUUUCGGCAAUAGCCAUGAUAUGUGUGAAAACAUGAUCUCUCUUCACAUCAUCGUACUCUGCACACAUAGCUUUCUUCAGAUCUCUGAUAAGUUCCAUGCGGCAACUGUUGUUGAUCUUCUUAACCCGAGGUUCUGAACCCUCUGCAUAUAAUCGUUUAGGUAGCUCCAGCUCCAUAUCUACAAAAGAUAAUAAAACACAUGGUUGUUAACAGCAAUAUCAUAAACAUGCAAACGUCCGAAACAAGCGUAAGAGUGAAACUGAGCCAGAGUGAAACUGAGCCAAACACAAGAUAAUAAUCAAAAGCAAAACACCAUUGUCUAAUCAAAUUUAAAUUUAGAAACACAGUAGAUCGAUUAAUCAAAUAAGACAAGUCAAUCUCCAUCUCGCAAUCAAAUCAGCAAAUUAAGACAAUUAACAGUCAAAUACACACAAACUUUGUUCAGCGAAAUCAGUAUCGUAACACUCAUAAAGACAAACACAAACACUAACAUUGUUCACCAAAAUCGGUUCACAUAAUCAAAAAGUCAAUUCAGACAAGCAAACAAAUAUUGAUCCAAGUCAAAGUAACAAACUUAAUAAUGAAACAAAGACUAAGACAAAUCAAAGAAACAAACCGUUCACAAAUUGAGACCAGAUAGCCGGAUGAGAGAGGCGGAGAAGGGGAGAGAAGCCGAAAGGUGGAGAGAAAUGGAGAGAAGCGACGAGAAGCAGAGAGGCGGAGAGUAGCGGAGAGGUGAAGAGAAUCAGAGAGAAGCGCCGAGAAGCGGAGAGGCAGAGAGGCGGAUAAGCUCGAUUUUGCCUUUGAUUUCACUGGUUCGUCCACAAGAUCGCCAUCUUCAAAGUCUCAAUUUUUUGGCCAUCAGAGAGAGGCGGUGAAACAAAAACGAAAUUAGUUCAGAGGUGGAGGCAAACAGAGAGAAGCAGCGAGCAGCAGAGAGGCGGAGAAGCUUGAUUUCGCCGUUGAAUUCACCGGUUAUUACACAGGAUCGCCAUUUUCAAAGUCUCGAUUGUUUUUCUUGAGAGAGAGGCGGAGAAACCAACAAGAAAUUAGGGUUACGUGUUUUGUUCCCUUUUUGUUUUAACUUUUUUAAUAUAUCUUUGUAACACGUUUUUAAAAAAAAAAAAAUUACUUAGCACAUGAAACAAACACAAUUAAAUUAUGUUUAAUUAGAUUAAUUCAAGGUUAGUUUUGGAAUUUUGGAAAAUUUUAUACUAAAGGGACAAUUUAAUGAUGGAUUUAUACCAUAGGGACAACUAUGUUGUUUUCUUGUUCUCUUUUGGCAAUUUAUAUAAAUAAAUGCAAGCAGAAACUACUGCUUAGCACGGGGUGGUAAUACUAGUUCUACUAAAUAAAUGUACGUUUAGUAAUGAAAUCAAAUAUAAUCAGCUUGCCAAUAGUCUGAAACGACUCAGCUUAUAGUAUUCGUAUUCUACUCGUUCAAAAAUAUUUAUAUUUUCCAGUCGAAAAAGAGCCUAUGAUGACCAUAAGUUUAAGCUUACGAAGUGUGUAAAAUUUUAUUGAGACAAUGAGCUACAUACUCAAAGUGGAGGUGCAAAUCGAAAGAUUGCCUAUGACGUGAAAUAACUGAUUUGGACCUCCACAUAUAUUUAGCUAUAUUGAUAUACUUUACACAUAUUCUAUAAAUGCCUAGUAAAAUAAUUAGAGAUAAUAUAAUUACGAGGAAGGUCCACCGUAACCUAGCAACAUUUUAAAAUAAUCAAGAUACAUGCAUAAGCAAACUUUAUUUAAAGAGUACCAAAUAACAGAUUGCAACAGUCCAUGGUCAUAGAGUUUAAAUUAGGUAGGAAAAUGUUGCUAAGAUUGAAGUUUCAAGUUCCUGAAGAACUUGACUAGCAACUGCUUCGCUGAUUUAGGUAGAACAGGGUUGGUUAUGGCUUAACACCCAUCGAGGCCAUGCAAAUGCAUGGGCUUCAAGAAGGAGCACAAUCAUGACGGCUGCAUAGAAUAAAGUGGAGAUUUGAUGAGCUCCUUUGCACCGUGAGACAGUAAAAGGCUUCAACGGUGUGUCGGCUAAUGUAGUUGAUCAUUACCACAAAAACCCAUAACAGUUGCAUACAAUGAUGAAGGGUUAAGCGCGAGUGGGUUAGCUACUGUUAUAUUAUGUUAACCGGUAAGAGAAGAUUACAGUGGCUAAUGUAGAAUUAUUUUCUUGUGGGGCAAAUCUUACAUAAACUUAAAAAGUAUAGGUAAAAAUGUUAUUUACUAAAAGAAAAAUAAUCAAAGUUUAAACAUAUUUAACAAACUUUGAAAAUUUUGUGGGGGCACUUGCCACCUUCUUGAGCAAUGUAGAUUCGCCAAUGCAUCAAAUUCAGGGAAAUGAGAGACCUCAUUGGAGUGUAUGAUUUGUCAAAGAUGGAGUUCAAGCUUAAGGGGGAGAUUGUUGGAUUAAGCUUGAAGACAAAAGAAGCUUAGAGAUAAACAUGAGACCUAAUCCUAUUGUGAUAUGGACUUAGAAUAUAUUUAGGAGUUAUCUAAAUGUAUUGUUUAAUAGGAUUAAGAAAUAAUAAACUCUAUAUAAGGAGACGUCAAGUUGUGACAUAACGUAUAAGAGUUUAGAGAUUGAGAACUUGAGUUUUGAGAUAUUUUCUCAGGUUAUAAUAAGAGAGUCAUUCUUGUUUGCAUCUUCGAAUUCUAUAUUUGGUAUCAGAGCCUUACAAAAAUCAAUACCUACUUGAUCUACAUACGGCUUAUUGAGAAUGGGGGAUCUUUCAAUUGUGACAACACCGAAUUUGAAGGAAGGAAAUCAUUCUUCCAUCAAGUGCCCGAUGUUGAACUCGACAAACUACACUGUAUGGGCCAUACGAAUGAAGAACGUGCUGAGGGUCCAGAAGGUGUGGAGUAUCGUCGAGACAGGAACGGAUGAAAAUGAUAAGAACGAUAUGGCAAUCACUCUGUUGUUUCAGGCAAUUCAAGAGGCCUUAGUGCUACAAGUUGGGGAGUUAGAUACAACUAAGAAGGUGUGGGACGCUAUCAGGACGCGUCAUAUUGGUGCGGAGAGAGUGAAAGAGGCUAGACUGCAGACUUUAAUGACAGAAUUCGAUAGAUUGAAGAUGAAAGACAGUGAGAAGAUAGAUGACUUCAUUCGGCAAGCUAUCAGAAAUUUCUUCAAAAUCUCAUGCCUUAGGUGAAGAGAUUGAAGAAUCAAAACUUGUUAAAAAGUUUCUGAAGAGUCUUCCUCGCAGAAAAUUUAUACAUAUAGUAGCCUCUCUUGAACAAGUUCUUGACCUCAAGAACACAAGUUUCGAAGACAUUGUGGGACGUCUGAAAGCUUAUGAAGAGCGUAUCCAAGAAGAAGAAGAAAAUCAAGAGGAGCAGAGCAAACUGAUGUACUCUAAUACAGAGCAACAGUCCAAUCGUGAUUAUCAUGAGGAGUAUAAAGGAAGCAGAGGAAGAGGAGGACGGUUCAAUAGGGGCAGAGGCCGUGGUCGUGGGGGCAGAGACACGUCGAGGAUAAUGUGUUUCAGAUGCGAUAAGAUGGGCCAUUACGCCUCUACCUGUCCAGAUCGUCUUCUCAAGCUGCAAGAGGCACAAGAACAUGAUAAAGAUUCAACGCAAGAUGCAGAUGAGCUCAUGUUGAAUGAAGUGGUAUUUCUAAAUGAAGAGAAGGUGAUGCCGACCUGUGGAGAGGACAACAUGUGGUACCUUGAUAAUGGAGCUAGUAACCACAUGACAGGAGAUCGUAGGUACUUCAAAAGGAUCGAUGAAAAGAUAACAGGGAAGGUCAAGUUCGGAGAUGACUCACGCAUCGACAUUAAGGGAAAGGGCUUGAUUGAAUUUGUCGACCAAAACGGAGAAACAAGGACAAUGUGUGAUUUCUACUAUAUACCAGACCUGAGGAGCAACAUCAUUAGCCUUGGACAGGCCACUGAAGCAGGCUGCGACAUAAGAUUAAAGGGAGAAUGCUUGACAAUGCAUGACCAAGCCGAGAAACUACUUGUCAAAGCAACAAGGUCAAGGAACCGUUUGUAUAAAGUUUGGAUGGGGAUAAAAGAAACAGUGUGUCUAUUGUCCACAACGACAAGCGAUUCGAGCAGAUGGCACGCACGAUUAGGACACGUGAACAUAGAUGCAAUCAAGGUAAUGGUUCAGAAGGAUCUUGUGAUCGGAGUACCUCAAAUCAACUUUGAGAAAGGGAUAUGUGGCUCCUGUUUGCUUGGCAAGCAAACAAGACAAGUGUUUCCACAAGCAACUGCAUAUAGAGCAGACAAGGCUCUUGAGCUCGUGCACGGUGACCUGUGUGGACCAAUAUCUCCGAGCACAGCAUCUGGAAUCAGAUAUGUCUUUGUACUCAUCGACGACCAUACUCGUUACUUGUGGACGAUAUUCUUGAAAAAAAAGAGUGAUGUGUUUAAUAAAUUCAAAGUCUUUCGAGUAAUGGUGGAACAAGACACAUGACACAAGAUACAAACGCUCAGAACUGAUAGAGGAGGUGAAUUCGUUUCAACCGAAUUCAACGCAUACCGCGAACAAACAGGAAUAAGAAGGCAUCUCACAGCCCCAUACACACCGCAACAAAACGGGGUUGUAGAGAGACGCAAUAGAACGAUGAUGGAGAUGAAUAGAAGCAUAUUGAAACAUAUGCGAGUUCCUAACUACCUAUGGGGAGAGGCAGUGAGAAACACGACAUACCUUCUGAACAGAGUUGCAACCAGAGUACUUAAGGAGAAGACACCAUACGAAGCACUAAGAGGAAGAAAACCGAAUCUCAGUCACAUUCGAGUUUUUGGUUGUAUAGGCUAUGCAAAGACAGUAAAACCUCACCUGAAGAAGCUCGAAGACAGGUCUCGAAUGCUAGUCCAUCUGGGGACAGAACCAGGGUCAAAGGCAUAUCGAAUGUUUGAUCCCCAGGAUCAAAAGGUUGUGGUGAGUAGGGACGUCGUCUUUGAUGAAGCAAAAGGGUGGAAUUGGAGCCAAAACCAAACAAAUCAACACGAGGCUGGAAGUUUCAAAAUAGCUAUUGGAACUUAUGGAAACCGUGGGAUACACGGUACUGUCGAAAGCGAAGCUAAGAUUGAUGAAGAGACUGUCGGGAAUGAAGAAGCAGAGCACCAUGACAUCAUAAGAUCCACUUCUCUUGGUAAUGGAACCGACGGUGAUGAGGAAGAGAUGGAGACAGAGACCACAUUGAGAAGAUCACAGCGUCAGAUCACCAAACCGAAGUACCUUGAAGACUAUGUGCUAUAUCUCGCAGAAGAAGAAGGAGAAAUACUGCUCAUGGUCCUAAACGAUGAACCAAGGAACUUCAGUGAGGCGAAAAGAUCAAAGGAUUAGACUCUAACUUGUGAGGACGAGAUGCGUUCAAUCAUUGAGAAUGGCACUUGGACGCUCACAGAUCUUCCUCAUGGAGCAAAGGCAAUCGGCUUGAAGUGGAUCUUUAAGCUCAAGCGAAACUCAGAUGGAAGCAUUAAGAAACAUAAAGCUCGACUGGUCGCUAAAGGGUAUGUACAACAACACUGAAUAGAUUUUGAUGAAGUCUUUGCACCUGUGGCACAUAUAGAAACAAUCCGGCUUCUCUGUAACUUAGCAGCUUCAAAUGGUUGGAUCAUUCACCAUCUCGAUGUUAAGACGGCGUUCUUGCACGGGGGGUUGAAAGAGACUGUCUAUGUAAGUCAACCAGAGGGUUUCGAAGUUAAAGGUUCUGAGAGCAAGGUUUAUAGAUUAAACAAAGCUUUAUAUGGGCUAAGACAAUCCCCACGUGCAUGGAACAACAAGCUUAAUUCAAUCUUGAAUGAGCUUAAGUUCUACAAGUGCUCGAAAGAGCCUUCGGUCUACAGGAAGAAAGUGAAAGACAAGCUUUUCAUUGUUGCGGUUUAUGUCGAUGACCUGUUUGUGACAGGAUUAAACAUUGUGCUCAUCUUUUAGUUCAAAAGGGAGAUGGCGACGAAGUUUGAAAUGAGUGAUCUUGGAGAGCUGACUUAUUAUCUUGGAAUAGAGGUCACUCAACAUAAAGAAGGAAUUACCUUGAGUCAGAGAGGUUAUGCGCUGAAGAUCCUUGAGGAUGCAGGUAUGAAAGAUUGCAAUCCAGUUCAGACACCUAUGGGUUCGAAGCUGUCGAAGUCUGAAGCAGAGAAGUCUAUUGACGCAACAGAUUAUAGAAAGAAGGUUGGCUGCCUGCGUUACCUACUUCACACCCGCCCCGACCUGUCCUAUUGUGUUGGUGUGUUGUCUAGAUAUAUGCAGGACCCCAAGGAAUCACACGGAGUGGCGAUGAAGCAAUGCUUACGUUACUUGCAGGGUACGACUUCUUAUGGCUUAACGUUCAGUAGCGUUUCUGCAAGGGAACCGGUGAGACUCAUAGGCUUCAGCGACAGCAGUCACAAUGAUGAUGGCAAGAGCACUACGGGUCAUGUCUUCUACCUUGGUGAAUGUCCAAUCACGUGGUGCUCUCAAAAGCAAGAAACUGUGGCUUUAUCGUCGUGCGAGGCAGAGUUCAUGGCUGGAACAGAGGCUGCAAGACAAGCAAUAUGGCUCAGGGAUUUGCUUGAGGAGAUACACGGAGCUGAGAGUGAGAGGGUCAUCAUACGAAUAGAUAACCAGUCGGCCAUUGCUCUUACAAGGAACCCUGUUUUCCAUGGUCGCAGUAAACACAUACACACUAGAUAUCAUUUCAUCAGAGAGUGUGUUGAGAAAGGAUUGAUAGAGGUUGAACAUGUACCUGGAACUGAGCAGCGAGCUGAUAUAUUAACCAAACCUUUGGGGCGCAUCAAAUUCAGGGAAAUGAGAGACCUCAUUGGAGUGUAUGAUUUGUCAAAGAUGGAGUUCAAGCUUAAGGGGGAGAUUGUUGGAUUAAGCUUGAAGACAAAAGAAGCUUAGAGAUAAACAUGAGACCUAAUCCUAUUGUGAUAUGGACUUAGAAUAUAUUUAGGAGUUAUCUAAAUGUAUUGUUUAAUAGGAUUAGGAAAUAAUAAACUCUAUAUAAUGAGAUGUCAAGUUGUGACAUACCGUAUAAGAGUUUAGAGAUUGAGAACUUGAAUUUUGAGAUAUUUUCCCAGGUUAUAAUAAGAGAGUCAUUCUUGUUUGCAUCUUCGAAUUCUAUAAAAACUUAGCGCGUAUAAGAGAAAUUUAACAUGUACACAUAUAAUUGUUGACCCAAGCUAGCUUUAUGGUUUAAAAUUUGAGAUACAACCUAACAAUCGAUAACAACCAGCCAAUGAAAAUGAAAAUAAUACAUGGAAGCUGACUAAUCUAAACUAAAUAACUGAUGAACUAACAAACUGAAAUAUUAACGGUUUCAUAUUAUCUACACUUUUGCAUCACUGUCCUAAAGAACAAAGUCAUUUCCGCAAAUGUCGUCACCAGCAGUUGUAAGCACAUGAAAGCAAUCAACAAUACUUCAUGAAUCUAUCGUGAAGAUAAGUAGAUUUUAAAACAUAAGAGAGGAGUUGGUACAUUGUGCAGUUAACGUUCACUUGUCUGGACUUGAAGUAGUAAACCAAAGAGUUUCUUUUCAUGAGUGAGUAUUCUUUGGAAAACUAAACUGGUGUUGACUCUAGGGCUGGGCACAAGGCGGGUACUUGCUAUUUUGCGUGUACUUGCGGUUAGACUUGUCUUGUACGAGUAAUGAAAUUUUUGACUUGUACUUGAGUUGUUAAAAACGCGUACUUGCUAUUUCAAGUACUUGAUCAAAAAUAAAUUACUUGCAAGUUACUUGUCUUGCUCUAUUACUUACUAUUUACGAGUAUUUGUGAACUAUUUACGAGUACUUGUGAACUAUUUACGAGUUUUCGGAAUAUUAAAGAACUACUUUCUACUUAAAAAUGUAGUUAUAUGACUUGUUAUUACAUGUUACUUGUUUUUUUUUGUCAACUACAUGUUACUUGUUUAGAGAAGACAUUUUUGUUAUCGUGAAAAUUAUACAAUGUUUAUAUAUCGAAGUAUGCAUAUAUAUUUUUUAUUUGUCUUCUUUAUGUAAUACUUGACUAAAAGACAACGAGUAUUUAAAAAUCAAUAUGGAUACAAAACAAGUAACAAGUAUAAAGAGAGUAAUGAGUAUUCGUGUCCAAUCCUAAAUGCAAGCAAAAGAAAAGACAAAUAUAAACAAUUAAUUAAUAGAUCAUGUAACAAAUAGCAAAUAAUGGAGCAAGUAACGGAGCAAGUAACAUGACGUAACGAGACAAGUACUAAAAAUAAUAAUGAUACUUGAUACUUGACUUGGUCUUGUAAGUAAUAAAAAUUGUCGACUUGUUACUUGCCUUAACAACACCGAGUACUUGAAUUUUCAAAACGGGUACGAAUCAAGUAGCGAGUCUAAAGCGAGUAACGAGUAAUGAUGUCCAGCCCUAGUUGACUCUCAUGAAUGUAUGUUGUUACUCCAGAGAAUGUAUGUUACUUGUUCACCGAAGGGUUUUUCACCGGCGGCAAACAUUCUAGACGGAAAAUUGGGUUCCACAAUCGAUUUGUAUUAACAUAUUAAAAUGCAAAACGAAAAGAGGAAAUUGGAAGAGGAAAAUUUAGACUGAGAUUCGAAUGAGAAAGAGAAAUGUAAUAAAAAUAUAAUUAAAGAUGAAGAGGUGUAAUAGAGGUGUCAGACAGUUGCCUUUUUCCAGGAACCCAUCAGACGGCCGCAUGUUCUCGAGCUACACAAUGGACACUAAUGCUCAUCAUAUUACAUUUUAUUCCUCCCUUUGAAGUCCAAUUUCUGACAGAAAUCAGAAGUCUAAUACGUAGAAAUCGUGAGGCUAGUAGGGGUAAGUUGGGGAAGGAAAAGUAAAGGAUUUGGGUGUAGGCAUGCCGCUAAUUAGAAAUGGACUUAGAGCACUCGCAGUAAUGUUAUCAAAGAAGAGUCUUUAGAAAAAAUGUAUUUUAACUUUUUAAGUAUUAUUUUUUUUUUUCAGAUAAAAAUAUAUAUAUAUCAGUUAUAUGUCGUGGGGAUCCGUAAAUAGUGCAAAGAUUCAAUAAAAAAAAAUCUUUAUUUAAGGAUUUUAAGGAUUGAAUCCUUAACUUUUGGUAGAGUCUACUGAUUAUUUAAUUAUUUUUCUCUAAGUACUCCCACUUAAAUACUCCUAUUGCGCAUGCUCUUAGGACAUCAUUAACCCUAGCAACCUAUUAGGAGUGCUUAAAUUUUUUUAUUUUAUUUUUUGUUUGUGACUAAAAAAAAAACUAAAAAACUGAUCAAUCAUGGAUCGACACGUGUCGAUGGGGCCUGCGAACAGAACAAACAACGGACGCUUAAACAAGCUGCAGAAGCAGCGCUUCUUCUUCUUGUUCUUUUCUUUCCUUUUUUUUUAAAUUAAAAAAUUGCUAGCCACGUUUUAAGCAACUAGCGUUAAAGGUGGCCUUAGGGUCAUGUAAGCCAAUAAUCUCAAUUUUAUUUCCAUGAAACUAAAAUAUAGGAGCAAAUAACAACAAUAUAAACCACUCAGACAAAGAUCCGGCCCAAUAUUAUUAACACGGAGUUCACUCACGUUUGACCGAUAAGUGGUCGCAGUGUCGCAGGAAGGGAGGUCGACAGCUUGCAUGAAGGAAUGAAAUCGAUUUAAGAAGAAUAUUCUCCUAAAAUAUAGGAUCAAAGCUUUCAGAGCCGUUAACAUUGUGAGAAGAUCUCGCUAAUAAACAAGGAAAAGAGAGCGAUUAUAAAGGGAGAGAAGAGAAGAGAAGCGCACAUUCAAAACCUUAGAGCUUACACACAUUACCCUCGACUUCGAUCUCUCACUCUCUCAUUCUCGAUAUUUUGUUCCUAGUUCUUAGUUGCUGUAACCCGGUCUUUUUGUUAUCACUGUAUUAAUUCAAUCCUUAUCAAUAAAGUCCACUUUUGUCGAUCAGAAUCUGAUUACAUUGUUGUGUUAUGAAGAUAUCAUUGCCACAUUAUUUUAUUUCCUAAUCUCUUACGAACAUCACUAACAUCACCACCAAAUAAUACAUGGUGUGGAUUUUAUGAUCCACAAUGAUAUAUGAUUUCUCACGUGCAAUCAUCACAUGAACUUUCCAUGUAUAUUGGCUUCACUUACGCGAUAUCACGAAUCAGUUCGCUAUAGUUGACCCAUUUUUAUACUAUUUUAGCUCAAAUGCGCUUAACUUUGAAGUUUAGAACGGAUGUGUGACAAAAAAAAUACGUGCAUUUUAGUAACAUAGAUAGCAAAAUCAAUUCUAUUAAACUUUUUAUCAUAUGCCAGGAAUCGAGACGUUAGUUCCAGAAACCGGAUAAAAGUCUCGGGCCUACCAGAAGCCCCACUUAUAAAGAGCAAUCGAUGUUAGCUUUUCAAAAUGAGACCAAAGAAGCUUGUGCUUUUUUUAUAUUGUUCUAUGAAUAUAUACUCUAGAACUUAGAUUUCAAUAUGACAUUUGUGCAGCAUUAGUUUCGCUUUUUAUUUAUAAAAAGUCUUGCUUACAAAGAAUCAUAUAUGAGUUCUGAUGCGACCCAAAUCACCAGCUAUGUCUCAACGAAGAUCUUAAGGUACGAACCAGUUAAGCAACUAAUCAUAGCAUGGCUUAAUGGGCAUUUUAUAGGCCUUAUCGGUUUGAUCCAUGAAAUUCUAGAUCGAGAGAAGCUAGUGGGCCUGAUGCAAAAUGUGGAGGUCUUAUGCUCGAUAAGAAAUCAGUGUUUGGAUUUGUCCAAGAAAGGUACACCAAGAAAAUAAAAGCCCUGGUCGUAUAAUAUAUCAAUCUGACGGCAAUUCCAAGAUCUUCAACCGUGCAAAAGGACACAACCAACCGAAGAGUUCUGCGACCAAAACUUUAAAUAUUCAGUCAACAGUUUUGGUCUUUGGUCAAGUCAAUAUUCCUAGUAAAGUCUUCAUGGUUUUAAGAGCUUUGUAGUUCUAGGAUUGACUAGAAUAUUUAUUUCUUCCACAACCUAUUAUAUAAAGGCUUGCUAUUGUAUUGUUUUAAUCAUUCAACAUUUUUAAUCAAAAACCUUUCUUUAUAUUCUUGUUGAAUCCUUUGUUCUUAAUCGGACAUCGUAGCUUCUAAGUCAUCGGAGUGAGUCAUAUCUUCGGGCUUAGAAGUUCGGUAGUAUCAAGAGACUUUCCGCACCUCUUGUGUCUCCAUUCGAUCCAAGUUCCUUGAUCGUUUGUGCUUUCUAGCUCAUUCGGUGCAAGACUUAUCCAUUCUACCAACCUUAGAGUGAUCCUUCUAAUUAAGGGCGUAUCAUGUGGUAUCAGAGCCACUUUGAGGUUUAGAGUUCUUCACAACCAGCCAUUCGUAACUCUUCAUCUUCUAAGAGAUCAUCUGUGUCUUUUGGACUACUGAAGAUAAACCAUGAAGAGAAGCCAACCAUUAUUAUCUCUUCAUCUUCUAAUAGAUCACUUGUGUUUGGGCUACUGAUCAACCAUGAAGAGGAGGCAGCGCGCAAAACACAAGAAGAAAAGUUGCGAGAAUGGAGGUACAACAAACGCACAGCCGAGAUGAUAGCAGAAUAUGAGCGUGACCAAGAGAAGGAAGCCACGAAGUCACGACCUGAGAGAGACAAAUGGAAGAAACCUGUCAACAAAGAGGCCACACGAUCUUACCUUGGUUAUAGAUCAAAUGGAGUUAAACCGAGCAGUCGUAGAAGGCAGUCCAAAAGCCACAAUCAAAACCGGUUGUACAAACUCCAUCGGCCAGAACUGAAGAAAAGAGGAAUGAUGAUUUUGGGAGAUGGCUGAAGAGUUUCAAGGCUAGGAUCCAUCAAAGUAUCACAAACCACAACAAGACGUUUACUUUCCUUUUAAAACCGUGUUAGAAAAAGAACAAAUGAUUUUUGGAAAUAAGAAACAGUUUGCUUCUAAUGAGUUUGAUUUUGUGCAGAAACAAAAAAACCAAAGGAAGAAACAAAACAGUUUCGAUGAUGAUGAGAAGUGGGUCAGAAGUGGUGAUCGUCCCUUCACCAAAGCCAAGAGAAGCAACCGUGAUGUGUUUGAUUAGAAUGAGCUUCAGACUUAUGUCAGCUUGGAGAAGAUGUUGCAUAAGGCAAUUCAUGCUAUCCGGCAACUCAAAAAGAAGGGAAGCACCAACACUUCUCCUGCACCAUAACAACAAAGUAAUUUUUUUUCUCUUUCAAAUUCUGAUUUGAAAACUAAUAUGUUGUCUUCUGAUAAAAGCAAAACUGUGAAACCCACAAGCAAAGCUCAUUCUACCAGGUGCUUCAAAUGCCAUAGGAUCGGUCAUUAUGCUAACAAGUGUCAAAAGCAAAGACCGUUGGUGACUUUGGAGAAUGAGAACGUUGAAACAGAGCCAGAAAAGGAAUUCCCAUUGCCAAUUUUCGAUGACUUCACAUAUGAGCCAAUGGAGGGCUAGAUGAAGAAUAAAUUCGUGACCAUCAAGCCAACCAAGAAGAAUCAUCUUCCAUUCAAAAACGGACCAAACUCAAGGUGAGCAUUGUGCAGAUUAUGGUUCUUUUGCUUAUAAUCAUUUUCCUUUUAAUGUUUCAGAUUUGAGGACAAAUUUUUUUGAAUAGGAAGGGAAUGAUGUGCCCUGGUUCGUGGAUCAGUCCAUUGGAGCCAACCAGCAUGAAGAUCAAGACGUUCUGAAAAAUUUCACCGAGGUUCGUUCAUCCGACCGUACCGAUCAGACUGACCGAGCCGUCGCGCGUGCGUCCCGAUUGGAGCUUCGACUGGAACCACGACCAGAUGACCGAACUGACCGUACCGGAGCUCGUCUUCCCCGACCAACUCGACAUUCUAAGACCCACGGUCGAGCCAUACUUAGCUUGGGUUGUGAAAAAAUCGAAGACGGACAUGCGUUCUCAUCCGGCAGACCAUCCAGACAGUCCCGCAAGCGUCCUUAUCUUUAUCCCGUGCAUCCAUCUGGUUCAGAUGAACCUGGACAUUGUCUGAAGGGUCAUCUUUGACCAAUCUGCAUGGAAGACUGAGUCUUUGACUCACUAAUUCAGAUAUGGUCAAAUUUGUAUUUUCUAUGCAUUAUUUUCCGUGUAUUUUCUUUAUUAGUCUUUGACUACAAACACUAUAAAUAUGUAGUCUCAUUCUAUGAAUAAAAGAAGUCUAAGUUUGAGUUUAUUUUUGUUUUCUUCUUUUAUCUGAGUGAGUCAAAGACUCAGUCUUGUUGUGGUUUGUGAUUUGAGCAUAUCUGAAUUAGUGAGUCAAAGACUCAGUCUUCCAUGCAGAUUGGUCAAAGAUGACCAUUCAGACAAUGUCCAGGUUCAUCUGAACCAGAUGGAUACACGGGAUAAAGAUAAGGACGCUUGCGGGACUGUCUGGAUGGUCUGCCGGAUGAGAAUGCAUGUCCGUCUUCGAUUUUUUCACAACCCAAGCUAAGUAUGGCUUGACCGUGGGUCUUAGAAUGUCGAGUUGGUCGGGGAAGACGAGCUCCGGUACGGUCGGUUCGGUCAUCUGGUCGUGGUUCCAGUCGAAGCUCCAAUCGGGACGCACGCGCGACGGCUCGGUCAGUCUGAUCGGUACGGUCGGAUGAACGAACCUCGGUGAAAUUUUUCAGAACGUCUUGAUCUUCAUGCUGGUUGGCUCCAAUGGACUGAUCCACGAACCAGGGCACAUCAUUCCCUUCCUCUUCAAAAAAAUUUGUCCUCAAAUCUGAAACAUUAAAAGGAAAAUGAUUAUAAGCAAAAGAACCAUAAUCAGCACAAUGCUCACCUUGAGUUUGGUCCGUUUUUGAAUGGAAGAUGAUUCUUCUUGGUUGGCUUGAUGGUCACGAAUUUAUUCUUCAUCUAGCCCUCCAUUGGCUCAUAUGUGAAGUCAUCGAAAAUUGGCAAUGGGAAUUCCUUUUCUGGCUCUGUUUCAACGUUCUCAUUCUCCAAAGUCACCAACGGUCUUUGCUUUUGACACUUGUUAGCAUAAUGACCGAUCCUAUGGCAUUUGAAGCACCUGGUAGAAUGAGCUUUGCUUGUGGGUUUCACAGUUUUGCUUUUAUCAGAAGACAACAUAUUAGUUUUCAAAUCAGAAUUUGAAAGAGAAAAAAAAUUACUUUGUUGUUAUGGUGCAGGAGAAGUGUUGGUGCUUCCCUUCUUUUUGAGUUGCCGGAUAGCAUGAAUUGCCUUAUGCAACAUCUUCUCCAAGCUGACAUAAGUCUGAAGCUCAUUCUAAUCAAACACAUCACGGUUGCUUCUCUUGGCUUUGGUGAAGGGACGAUCACCACUUCUGACCCACUUCUCAUCAUCAUCGAAACUGUUUUGUUUCUUCCUUUGGUUUUUUUGUUUCUGCACAAAAUCAAACUCAUUAGAAGCAAACUGUUUCUUAUUUCCAAAAAUCAUUUGUUCUUUUUCUAACACGGUUUUAAAAGGAAAGUAAACGUCUUGUUGUGGUUUGUGAUACUUUGAUGGAUCCUAGCCUUGAAACUCUUCAGCCAUCUCCCAAAACCAUCAUUCCUCUUUUCUUCAGUUCUGGCCGAUGGAGUUUGUACAACCGGUUUUGAUUGUGGCUUUUGGACUGCCUUCUACGACUGCUCGGUUUAACUCCAUUUGAUCUAUAACCAAGGUAAGAUCGUGUGGCCUCUUUGUUGACAGGUUUCUUCCAUUUGUCUCUCUCAGGUCGUGACUUCGUGGCUUCCUUCUCUUGGUCACGCUCAUAUUCUGCUAUCAUCUCGGCUGUGCGUUUGUUGUACCUCCAUUCUCGCAACUUUUCUUCUUGUGUUUUGCGCGCUGCCUCCUCUUCAUGGUUGAUCAGUAGCCCAAACACAGGUGAUCUAUUAGAAGAUGAAGAGAUAAUAAUGGUUGGCUUCUCUUCAUGGUUUAUCUUCAGUAGUCCAAAAGACACAGAUGAUCUCUUAGAAGAUGAAGAGUUACGAAUGGCUGGUUGUGAAGAACUCUAAACCUCAAAGUGGCUCUGAUACCACAUGAUACGCCCUUAAUUAGAAGGAUCACUCUAAGGUUGGUAGAAUGGAUAAGUCUUGCACCGAAUGAGCUAGAAAGCACAAACGAUCAAGGAACUUGGAUCGAAUGGAGACACAAGAGGUGCGGAAAGUCUCUUGAUACUACCGAACUUCUAAGCCCGAAGAUAUGACUCACUCCGAUGACUUAUAAGCUACGAUGUCCGAUUAAGAACAAAGGAUUCAACAAGAAUAUAAAGAAAGGUUUUUGAUUAAAAAUGUUGAAUGAUUAAAACAAUACAAUAGCAAGCCUUUAUAUAAUAGCUUGUGGAAGAAAUAAAUAUUCUAGUCAAUCCUAGAACUACAAAGCUCUUAAAACCAUGAAAACUUUACUAGGAAUAUUGACUUGACCAAAGACCAAAACUGUUGACUGAAUAUUUAAAGUUUUGGUCGCAGAACUCUUCGGCUGGUUGUGUCCUUUUGCACGGUUGAAGAUCCUGGAAUUGCCGUCAGAUUGAUAUAUUAUACGACCAGGGCUUUUAUUUUCUUGGUGUACCUUUCUUGGACAAAUCCAAACACUGAUUUCUUAUCGAGCAUAAGACCUCCACAUUUUGCAUCAGGCCCACUAGCUUCUCUCGAUCUAGAAUUUCAUGGAUCAAACCGAUAAGGCCUAUAAAAUGCCCAUUAAGCCAUGCUAUGAUUAGUUGCUUAACUGGUUCGUACCUUAAGAUCUUCGUUGAGACAUAGCUGGUGAUUUGGGUCGCAUCAGAACUCAUAUAUGAUUCUUUGUAAGCAAGACUUUUUAUAAAUAAAAAGCGAAACUAAUGCUGCACAAAUGUCAUAUUGAAAUCUAAGUUCUAGAGUAUAUAUUCAUAGAACAAUAUAAAAAAAGCACAAGCUUCUUUGGUCUCAUUUUGAAAAGCUAACAUCGAUUGCUCUUUAUAAGUGGGGCUUCUGGUAGGCCCGAGACUUUUAUCCAAGAUCCGGAUUCGAUCCGAGAUUCUAUCCGGAUCCGAUCCGAAAAUCCGGAUAUCCGGAGGCGCCGAAUCCGGAUCCAGAUAGUAAAAUGCUGGAUCCACCAAAGCUGGAUCCAGAUCCGGAUAUCUUGAUUUUUUAGUCCGAAUAUCCGGAUCCGUAAGCUUUAUUAAUAAUUAUUUCAANNNNNNNNNNNNNNNNNNNNNNNNNNNNNNNNNNNNNNNNNNNNNNNNNNNNNNNNNNNNNNNNNNNNNNNNNNNNNNNNNNNNNNNNNNNNNNNNNNNNNNNNNNNNNNNNNNNNNNNNNNNNNNNNNNNNNNNNNNNNNNNNNNNNNNNNNNNNNNNNNNNNNNNNNNNNNNNNNNNNNNNNNNNNNNNNNNNNNNNNNNNNNNNNNNNNNNNNNNNNNNNNNNNNNNNNNNNNNNNNNNNNNNNNNNNNNNNNNNNNNNNNNNNNNNNNNNNNNNNNNNNNNNNNNNNNNNNNNNNNNNNNNNNNNNNNNNNNNNNNNNNNNNNNNNNNNNNNNNNNNNNNNNNNNNNNNNNNNNNNNNNNNNNNNNNNNNNNNNNNNNNNNNNNNNNNNNNNNNNNNNNNNNNNNNNNNNNNNNNNNNNNNNNNNNNNNNNNNNNNNNNNNNNNNNNNNNNNNNNNNNNNNNNNNNNNNNNNNNNNNNNNNNNNNNNNNNNNNNNNNNNNNNNNNNNNNNNNNNNNNNNNNNNNNNNNNNNNNNNNNNNNNNNNNNNNNNNNNNNNNNNNNNNNNNNNNNNNNNNNNNNNNNNNNNNNNNNNNNNNNNNNNNNNNNNNNNNNNNNNNNNNNNNNNNNNNNNNNNNNNNNNNNNNNNNNNNNNNNNNNNNNNNNNNNNNNNNNNNNNNNNNNNNNNNNNNNNNNNNNNNNNNNNNNNNNNNNNNNNNNNNNNNNNNNNNNNNNNNNNNNNNNNNNNNNNNNNNNNNNNNNNNNNNNNNNNNNNNNNNNNNNNNNNNNNNNNNNNNNNNNNNNNNNNNNNNNNNNNNNNNNNNNNNNNNNNNNNNNNNNNNNNNNNNNNNNNNNNNNNNNNNNNNNNNNNNNNNNNNNNNNNNNNNNNNNNNNNNNNNNNNNNNNNNNNNNNNNNNNNNNNNNNNNNNNNNNNNNNNNNNNNNNNNNNNNNNNNNNNNNNNNNNNNNNNNNNNNNNNNNNNNNNNNNNNNNNNNNNNNNNNNNNNNNNNNNNNNNNNNNNNNNNNNNNNNNNNNNNNNNNNNNNNNNNNNNNNNNNNNNNNNNNNNNNNNNNNNNNNNNNNNNNNNNNNNNNNNNNNNNNNNNNNNNNNNNNNNNNNNNNNNNNNNNNNNNNNNNNNNNNNNNNNNNNNNNNNNNNNNNNNNNNNNNNNNNNNNNNNNNNNNNNNNNNNNNNNNNNNNNNNNNNNNNNNNNNNNNNNNNNNNNNNNNNNNNNNNNNNNNNNNNNNNNNNNNNNNNNNNNNNNNNNNNNNNNNNAAGAAGUCUAAGUUUGAGUUUAUUUUUGUUUUCUUCUUUUAUCUGAGUGAGUCAAAGACUCAGUCUUGUUGUGGUUUGUGAUUUGAGCAUAUCUGAAUUAGUGAGUCAAAGACUCAGUCUUCCAUGCAGAUUGGUCAAAGAUGACCAUUCAGACAAUGUCCAGGUUCAUCUGAACCAGAUGGAUACACGGGAUAAAGAUAAGGACGCUUGCGGGACUGUCUGGAUGGUCUGCCGGAUGAGAAUGCAUGUCCGUCUUCGAUUUUUUCACAACCCAAGCUAAGUAUGGCUUGACCGUGGGUCUUAGAAUGUCGAGUUGGUCGGGGAAGACGAGCUCCGGUACGACUGUGGAUCUUAGAAUGUUGAUUUGCGUAAAUGUUUAAUUAUGAAAUCCUAAUCCAACACAAAUGUAAUGUUAUUGCCUACACAACCGUAUAGACUUCUAAAUCAGAUUAACUGACUUCAGCUUUGGUCAAUCACAACAAAAGAAACAAAUUUCAGAAACUGAGAGACUCAAUGGCAAAUCCAAUCAGACAUUGGAAAGUCGGACAAAGCAUCUAUUGAAUCAAAAGCAAAAGCCCUAAAACAAAGAAACUUGCAUACCUUUGGACGGCCUGGCGACUCGAGAGAGAGAGAGAAGAAGAAGAGAGUUCGACAGGAGAAUAUGAAUUAGAGAUCGAGGCUAUUACAUACAGCCUCAGAAGACCUUCAAAAUUGAUUUUAUACCUUCAAAAAUUGUUUUCGUAGGUUGAGGAAAAGGAAGAAUCCGUUUGGGCAUCUGCUCUCAGCUGCUUGUUUGUCGGUGAUAGAGGGAAAAUAAGGAGAAAGCAGCUAAGUGGUCUUGACAUAAGGGUAUGUUUGGCCUAUGCGGCUGAAUAUUAUAUUUUCCUUCUGCUGUCAUUGCCUUCAUACUCUCAUUUGGAUCUCUCAUUUUAUUUGUUUCUUAGACAUUUUUUAUUUCUCUUUUCCGCGGUAUGCUACCUUUAAAUUGGCUCUCUUGCUAAGCUGUACUUUCUGACGAGCCAGUUACUUUGAACUAGCAAAAGGAAUUCUUGGUCAGAAGUUGUUCAUUCCAAGCUUAUUUGUAUCAUGACAAAUAUGAUUUACCGAUCUCUAGAGCUAGAUGGUUCUAUCAAGGCAACGUCAAGUGCCUCAAGUUUUCUUAUAGAACAGGUCGAUCUGAUUGGUGGCGUGGAGUUCAUUCUCUAUAAGGUACUGCGAAUAUAUUCUUGUUAAACUGAUGAUCUUUCUCAGAAACAAUUCAAAUAGAUACUUUGAGCCCCAAUUAUUUUCUGAUAGAUUAAGGGACUCAUCUUAUUGAUACAGUACUCUUUGGCAACCACUAGAGAGGAAAGAAGAAAUCUCUACUCGGUUUUAUUUGACUAUGUUCUGCAUCAAAUUAAUGAGGCUUGCGCAGCUGCUGGUCUUUCUGAGUACACUGAUGAUGAGAUUCAACCAUUGGCUGUUCGGCUUGCUCUUGCUGAUGCACCUGAAGCUUUCUACAUUUCUGUUAAGCUUGGUGUUGAAGGCAUAGGGAAAAUCCUGCGAAGAUCAAUUGCUGCUUCAUUGUCUGGGUUUAGCAAUAGCGAACGUCUAAACCAGGUAAGUUUGUUCUUGUUGGAGUAUGUUGCAAUAUUUUUCUUAGGGUCUGACAAAGAGUUGUGGUUUAUAUUGUUUACCAGUCACCGCUCUUUUUUUCUAACUCCCUUUUUUCUUCCUACUUGCAGCUUUUGGCAAAUAUAACAGAAAAAUUUGACACGAUAGUAGCUUCGUUUACUCACUUGGACAAAGAGUUUCUGCAUCUCAGACAGAUAACCAAGUCGUCCAAGUACAUGGAAACCAUUCAAGAGUUAAGAAAUGAUAUAAGCAUGUCAGUGAAUCUAGCUUGGGCCACUUUGCACUCUCUUCUUCAUUCAGAAAGAGCCACAAAUCGUCAAAAUGGAUAUAUCUAAAAGAUUUAUAGAGAGAGUUAGAGUGAUUUAGAGAAUAAGAGAAUGGGAUUGGAUUAUAAAGAGAUUAGUGAAGAAUCAUGAUGAACACUCAAGAACAAGAAAGAGAGAAUGACUCAAACUGUGUAAUCUUUUAUUAAUGACAUGAGUUGAUAUAUAUACAAGGAGAGAGAGCUCGGGUUUGCGAGAAUCAGAUAGGCUUAAGCAUGUGUAGUCAAGGGGAAGAGGAGCGCCCAUUUCAAACUGUCCAAUGGGAGGCUUUACACGCUUUUGGCAUCAAGGCAUCUUGGACAAGAUCCUUUCUUCUUUACAGCUGUGCCAGCCUGUCUUGGACUUCAUUUUCUUCCUGUUCAACGGUCUGAUCCAUAGGUGCAAGCUCAGGUAACUUCUCUUUCACUUUCCUUUUACCCGGGUGAUCAUAAGUUACAUUUGGUCGAGUUAAAGUCGACCACGGUCUGUCCAGACUGUACGGCCUGUCCGGCCAUGUACGGUCUUGUACGGCCUGGUCGAUCUUCACUCCCAAAACUCACCCAAGCUGAACCUUCUCUCAUGUUCUCCAACUCCUCCUCUCUUCUCUUCUUAUACUCAGCUCAUUUCAACAAUAUCUGGUUGGGGGAUCUUCUGAUUUCGGAAGUUAGUGAAGAGAGUGGUGGAAGUAUAUGGCUGAGCAUAAAAGACCUGCAGCAAAAGAUUGCCAAUUGUGGUGCCUCCGACUCUCUAAUUACUUCUGAUAUACCUAUUUCCGUACAUCUUCUGUGUGGACUCUUGAAGUCAAAGAACAGUGUUAUCAGAUGGGGUUUUCUGUUCAUACUGGAGAGGCUUCUUAUGCGUUCCAAGUUCUUACUAGAUGAGAAUGAGACACAGCGAUCAACUGUUGGAAGUGCUAGUCAGGAUCAGAAAGACACGCGACUAGAGAAAGCAAAUGCUGUUAUAGACAUAAUGUGCAGCGCUUUGUCUUUGAUGGCACAAAUAAAUGAAACUGACCGGCUUAAUAUCUUAAAGGUACAUAUUCUUUGAAUCCUUUUGUUUGCUCUUUUCCUUUGCUUUGUCAAAUUUCCUAUCAAAGGCCACUCUAAAGCUUGCUGAUAUCUAUCUUAAAUAUAUAUUCCGUAACUGGCAUGAAAGAGUACAUCUAUUUGGAAUUUUUACCCUGAUGAAGUUUUAAUGCUGACACCACUUCUCUCUGUUGUUUUCAAGCAGAUGUGUGACAUUCUUUUCUCGCAAUUGUGCUUGAAAGUUUUGUCUACUGAUGAGGAAGCAGUCCCCAGUUCUGCUGAGAGGAAUAACAAAUUUGAUACAUCCCAUCGUAACAGCUAUAAAGAGAGUAUGGAUGAUGCUGACAUCAGGCCUCGGUACAACAAUGUCUCUGUUUCAACGUGCGAGACAGCGUCAAUGGCAGCAAUGCUUCUUCGUGGAUAAGCCAUCGUCCCUAUGCAGCUGGUUGCGCGUGUUCCAGCGGCUUUGUUUUAUUGGCCCUUGAUUCAACUAGCAGGUGCAGCAACUGACAACAUUGCACUUGGUGUCGCAGUUGGAAGCAAAGGAAGAGGGAAUAUCCCAGGGGCAACCUCUGAUAUUCGAGCCACCCUGCUAUUACUUCUGAUCGGUAAAUGCACGGCAGAUACAGUUGCUUUUCAAGAAGUUGGUGGAGAGGAGUUCUUCAGGUGAUUCAGUUGACUCUUCCAUACUUCCAGUCCAAGUUGAUUUAUCUGUGCAUGUUUCAGAGCAUUUACAAACUAAUGUUUAUCUGUAUAGGGAACUCCUGGAUGAUACUGACUCAAGGGUGGCUUAUUACUCUUCAGCAUUUCUCCUAAAGGCAAGAAAAGUUCUCAAAUUCAUCAUUUUGAUUUUGAAAAACAUACAUAUAAAUUGGAAGACAAGUAAGGUUUCAACUCGUUCGUGUUUUUUUUUUGCUCACUGGUUAAAGUUUCGGUUAUUUCAGAGGAUGAUGACGGAGGAACCAGAGAAAUACCAAAACAUGCUUCAGAAUCUUGUCUUUAAGGCUCAGCAGGUAAAUGCUAUCGUAAUAAUUUAAGAGUGUGGAGUCAUAGAACCUCAAAUAUCGAUGAGUUUUUUCUUUUGUAUUGUAUCACUUAUAAUAGCAUUCUUGUUUUGUGCAGAGUAAUAAUGAGAAACUGCUAGAGAAUCCAUACCUGCAGAUGUGUGGUAUACUCCAGCUAUCAAACGAGCUUUAAACUAAGGGCGCACGCAAGUCUCCAGUUAUACAUGGCUUCUGUAAGUUCCUCGGUUUAAAACAAAAAUCUUAGAGAGUUACUUUAGCACCACCCUGCCGCUAAAAAGAAGAAAAUUGAGUGAAAGUAAAAGACAUUUCAUAGAUACUGGACUCGUCGGUGAAGGUAGCAAGUGGGAUUUGCAAGUGAAAUCAGAUUAUGGCUUCUAUAUGUGGCAGAUAGUUUGGUGAGUUUAUCUGACAUCACUUUGGCUGAGACUGGUUUUGGUUAAGAUCUGAAGAAAGCUGUUUUGGCUGAACAGAGAUCAACUGGAAUGUGAUCAAAUGAUUCAUCUGCCUUCUCCUUUUUCUGCGGGAAUGGCGAACCUACAGAGACACUGAGCUCUGAUAACUGCAGCCAUGUCAUUUUUGGCCUAACAAACUGAAGGUGUUUUUUUUCUCUUAUCUUCUUGUCUGUAAAAUUAACAAAAUCAUGAACAGAGUCUGCAGCUCCAGAAAUUUUUGUUUUCUUGGAGCUGCUUUUGUAUAGUCAGGAACAGAACCAGUUAUGUGAUUGUGUUGUGUAGAGAACUAGAGAUAGAUAGGCUUAUUGGCCUUUUGGGUGUCGAAUGUUUUGCCUUUAAAAUUAUUAUGUGAAAAAUGUGAACCUAAGCAGUGAGUGCCUUUUAUAAUUUUUAUGAUUUUUGGCUGCCAUUAUUUCCUUAACAGAUCUAUAGAAACUAACCAUGUUUAUGCUUUGUCUGUACAAAAAGCCUUUUAUGAUUUGUCUGUACAAAAAGCCUGAACCUUCAGCUUCAAGCUAUUGAAGAGAUCCCUAAACACCAAAACAAAAGUCUGACACAUCUGUUCCAGAAUUGAGAUUUUUUUACCAUUUGAAAAUUGAAAUUGAAAUAACAGUUCUGUAGCGUGUUCAUAUGUAGAGCAACCAUGCGUUCCUACAAAACGCUGCGCAGCUUCCGCAAUUGAUAAUUAAGUUUGUAAGCCUGGCCCAUUUUAAUUAUUUAAUUCAGGCUGAAACCAAAUGUCACAUAACUAAAAUAGCCCCGGUCGGUUUAUCUCGUGAAAAGUAAUUUACUUACCAAUUUAAUCCAUAAAGUAAUUGUGAAAAUUAAGUAAUGGGCCAGGCUUAUCUCGUGAAAAGUAAGUAAAGAAACCCUCAGACAUCAUCGAGACCCUGAGAGGGAUCCAAUACUUGUUCUGUUCUGCGCUUCAAGUUCCCGAAGAUCUGAUCCGUCUCCACCGAUUCCGUCCCGAUAAAACGGUAAAAUUUCUGCUCAAUUUUAAUAUCUACCCGUUCUUCCUUGAAAGAUCUGAUUUCACCAACUGUGUUUGAUUUCUGAUCUGCUCUGAAACACCCGCCCCUUCCCCAUUUCCAACCGGGGUUCCGGGGCGCGGGGUUUAUGACACACAUGUCUACUUUCCCGACAUCUCUGUGUAUCCCGUUUCUGGUCCCAUGAGUUUCAGGUGCAUUUCCUUCCUUACCGGUGACAUUUCCACUUAUAGUUCUGCAAAAAUUGGAGAUGGAAAAGAGGGGUGAGUAUUAAUACUCAGUGAAGUGAUUCUAGACCAGUCUCCCCCAUGAGCCUCUAUACGGCUCAAUGCAAAACGAGAACCGUCUAGUCACUACACUCAGUUCGAUGCAACCUAUUAGCUAGUUACUCAUGUUUCAUUUCACAAAUCAGGCACUGUAAUGAACUCAGUCAUAACUCAAUUCAUAGAAUUCGGUUUAUUAUUUAAGACUCCCCAUCAUCCUAGGACUUUAGGACCUACACAGCUCAAGCGGACCAUUACUCCCCUUUUCUUGCUGCUUCCUGUGAAGUCGCCUGCCCUGGUAGGCCCGUCACCCAGUUCCUCGGGUACGGACAGUUGUGAAAAAAUCGAAGACGGACAUGCAUUCUCAUCCGGCAGACCAUCCAGACAGUCCCGCAAGCGUCCUUAUCUUUAUCCCGUGUAUCCAUCUGGUUCAGAUGAACCUGGACAUUGUCUGAAUGGUCAUCUUUGACCAAUCUGCAUGGAAGACUGAGUCUUUGACUCACUAAUUCAGAUAUGCUCAAAUCACAAACCACAACAAGACUGAGUCUUUGACUCACUCAGAUAAAAGAAGAAAACAAAAAUAAACUCAAACUUAGACUUCUUUUAUUCAUAGAAUGAGACUACAUAUUUAUAGUGUUUGUAGUCAAAGACUAAUAAAGAAAAUACACGGAAAAUAAUGCAUAGAAAAUACAAAUUUGACCAUAUCUGAAUUAGUGAGUCAAAGACUCAGUCUUCCAUGCAGAUUGGUCAAAGAUGACCCUUCAGACAAUGUCCAGGUUCAUCUGAACCAGAUGGAUACACGGGAUAAAGAUAAGGACGCUUGCGGGACUGUCUGGAUGGUCUGCCGGAUGAGAAUGCAUGUCCGUCUUCGAUUUUUUCACAACCCAAGCUAAGUAUGGCUUGACCGUGGGUCUUAGAAUGUCGAGUUGGUCGGGGAAGACGAGCUCCGGUACGACUGUGGAUCUUAGAAUGUUGAUUUGCGUAAAUGUUUAAUUAUGAAAUCCUAAUCCAACACAAAUGUAAUGUUAUUGCCUACACAACCGUAUAGACUUCUAAAUCAGAUUAACUGACUUCAGCUUUGGUCAAUCACAACAAAAGAAACAAAUUUCAGAAACUGAGAGACUCAAUGGCAAAUCCAAUCAGACAUUGGAAAGUCGGACAAAGCAUCUAUUGAAUCAAAAGCAAAAGCCCUAAAACAAAGAAACUUGCAUACCUUUGGACGGCCUGGCGACUCGAGAGAGAGAGAGAAGAAGAAGAGAGUUCGACAGGAGAAUAUGAAUUAGAGAUCGAGGCUAUUACAUACAGCCUCAGAAGACCUUCAAAAUUGAUUUUAUACCUUCAAAAAUUGUUUUCGUAGGUUGAGGAAAAGGAAGAAUCCGUUUGGGCAUCUGCUCUCAGCUGCUUGUUUGUCGGUGAUAGAGGGAAAAUAAGGAGAAAGCAGCUAAGUGGUCUUGACAUAAGGGUAUGUUUGGCCUAUGCGGCUGAAUAUUAUAUUUUCCUUCUGCUGUCAUUGCCUUCAUACUCUCAUUUGGAUCUCUCAUUUUAUUUGUUUCUUAGACAUUUUUUAUUUCUCUUUUCCGCGGUAUGCUACCUUUAAAUUGGCUCUCUUGCUAAGCUGUACUUUCUGACGAGCCAGUUACUUUGAACUAGCAAAAGGAAUUCUUGGUCAGAAGUUGUUCAUUCCAAGCUUAUUUGUAUCAUGACAAAUAUGAUUUACCGAUCUCUAGAGCUAGAUGGUUCUAUCAAGGCAACGUCAAGUGCCUCAAGUUUUCUUAUAGAACAGGUCGAUCUGAUUGGUGGCGUGGAGUUCAUUCUCUAUAAGGUACUGCGAAUAUAUUCUUGUUAAACUGAUGAUCUUUCUCAGAAACAAUUCAAAUAGAUACUUUGAGCCCCAAUUAUUUUCUGAUAGAUUAAGGGACUCAUCUUAUUGAUACAGUACUCUUUGGCAACCACUAGAGAGGAAAGAAGAAAUCUCUACUCGGUUUUAUUUGACUAUGUUCUGCAUCAAAUUAAUGAGGCUUGCGCAGCUGCUGGUCUUUCUGAGUACACUGAUGAUGAGAUUCAACCAUUGGCUGUUCAGCUUGCUCUUGCUGAUGCACCUGAAGCUUUCUACAUUUCUGUUAAGCUUGGUGUUGAAGGCAUAGGGAAAAUCCUGCGAAGAUCAAUUGCUGCUUCAUUGUCUGGGUUUAGCAAUAGCGAACGUCUAAACCAGGUAAGUUUGUUCUUGUUGGAGUAUGUUGCAAUAUUUUUCUUAGGGUCUGACAAAGAGUUGUGGUUUAUAUUGUUUACCAGUCACCGCUCUUUUUUUCUAACUCCCUUUUUUCUUCCUACUUGCAGCUUUUGGCAAAUAUAACAGAAAAAUUUGACACGAUAGUAGCUUCGUUUACUCACUUGGACAAAGAGUUUCUGCAUCUCAGACAGAUAACCAAGUCGUCCAAGUACAUGGAAACCAUUCAAGAGUUAAGAAAUGAUAUAAGCAUGUCAGUGAAUCUAGCUUGGGCUACUUUGCACUCUCUUCUUCAUUCAGAAAGAGCCACAAAUCGUCAAAAUGGAUAUAUCUGGUUGGGGGAUCUUCUGAUUGCGGAAGUUAGUGAAGAGAGUGGUGGAAGUAUAUGGCUGAGCAUAAAAGACCUGCAGCAAAAGAUUGCCAAUUGUGGUGCCUCCGACUCUCUAAUUACUUCUGAUAUACCUAUUUCCGUACAUCUUCUGUGUGGACUCUUGAAGUCAAAGAACAGUGUUAUCAGAUGGGGUUUUCUGUUCAUACUGGAGAGACUUCUUAUGCGUUCCAAGUUCUUACUAGAUGAGAAUGAGACACAGCGAUCAACUGUUGGAAGUGCUAGUCAGGAUCAGAAAGACACACGACUAGAGAAAGCAAAUGCUGUUAUAGACAUAAUGAGCAGCGCUUUGUCUUUGAUGGCACAAAUAAAUGAAACUGACCGGCUUAAUAUCUUAAAGGUACAUAUUCUUUGAAUCCUUUUGUUUGCUCUUUUCCUUUGCUUUGUCAAAUUUCCUAUCAAAGGCCACUCUAAAGCUUGCUGAUAUCUAUCUUAAAUACAUAUUCCGUAACUGGCAUGAAAGAGUACGUCUAUUUGGAAUUUUUACCCUGAUGAAGUUUUAAUGCUGACACCACUUCUCUCUGUUGUUUUCAAGCAGAUGUGUGACAUUCUUUUCUCGCAAUUGUGCUUGAAAGUUUUGUCUACUGAUGAGGAAGCAGUCCCCAGUUCUGCUGAGAGGAAUAACAAAUUUGAUACAUCCCAUCGUAACAGCUAUAAAGAGAGUAUGGAUGAUGCUGACACCAGGCCUCGGUACAACAAUGUCUCUGUUUCAACGUGCGAGACAGCGUCAAUGGCAGCAAUGCUUCUUCGUGGAUAAGCCAUCGUCCCUAUGCAGCUGGUUGCGCGUGUUCCAGCGGCUUUGUUUUAUUGGCCCUUGAUUCAACUAGCAGGUGCAGCAACUGACAACAUUGCACUUGGUGUCGCAGUUGGAAGCAAAGGAAGAGGGAAUAUCCCAGGGGCAACCUCUGAUAUUCGAGCCACCCUGCUAUUACUUCUGAUCGGUAAAUGCACGGCAGAUACAGUUGCUUUUCAAGAAGUUGGUGGAGAGGAGUUCUUCAGGUGAUUCAGUUGACUCUUCCAUACUUCCAGUCCAAGUUGAUUUAUCUGUGCAUGUUUCAUAGCAUUUACAAACUAAUGUUUAUCUGUAUAGGGAACUCCUGGAUGAUACUGACUCAAGGGUGGCUUAUUACUCUUCAGCAUUUCUCCUAAAGGCAAGAAAAGUUCUCAAAUUCAUCAUUUUGAUUUUGAAAAACAUACAUAUAAAUUGGAAGACAAGUAAGGUUUCAACUCGUUCGUGUUUUUUUUUUGCUCACUGGUUAAAGUUUCGGUUAUUUCAGAGGAUGAUGACGGAGGAACCAGAGAAAUACCAAAACAUGCUUCAGAAGCUUGUCUUUAAGGCUCAGCAGGUAAAUGCUAUCGUAAUAAUUUAAGAGUGUGGAGUCAUAGAACCUCAAAUAUCGAUGAGUUUUUUCUUUUGUAUUGUAUCACUUAUAAUAGCAUUCUUGUUUUGUGCAGAGUAAUAAUGAGAAACUGCUAGAGAAUCCAUACCUGCAGAUGUGUGGUAUACUCCAGCUAUCAAACGAGCUUUAAACUAAGGGCGCACGCAAGUCUCCAGUUAUACAUGGCUUCUGUAAGUUCCUCGGUUUAAAACAAAAAUCUUAGAGAGUUACUUUAGCACCACCCUGCCGCUAAAAAGAAGAAAAUUGAGUGAAAGUAAAAGACAUUUCAUAGAUACUGGACUCGUCGGUGAAGGUAGCAAGUGGGAUUUGCAAGUGAAAUCAGAUUAUGGCUUCUAUAUGUGGCAGAUAGUUUGGUGAGUUUAUCUGACAUCACUUUGGCUGAGACUGGUUUUGGUUAAGAUCUGAAGAAAGCUGUUUUGGCUGAACAGAGAUCAACUGGAAUGUGAUCAAAUGAUUCAUCUGCCUUCUCCUUUUUCUGCGGGAAUGGCGAACCUACAGAGACACUGAGCUCUGAUAACUGCAGCCAUGUCAUUUUUGGCCUAACAAACUGAAGGUUUUUUUUCUUCUCUUAUCUUCUUGUCUGUAAAAUUAACAAAAUCAUGAACAGAGGCUGCAGCUCCAGAAAUUUUUGUUUUCUUGGAGCUCUGCUUUUGUAUAGCCAGGAACAAAACCAGUUAGGUGAUUGUGUUGUGUAGAGAACUAGAGAUAGAUAGGCUUAUUGGCCUGUGGGUGUGGGUCUUGCGNNNNNNNNNNNNNNNNNNNNNNNNNNNNNNNNNNNNNNNNNNNNNNNNNNNNNNNNNNNNNNNNNNNNNNNNNNNNNNNNNNNNNNNNNNNNNNNNNNNNNNNNNNNNNNNNNNNNNNNNNNNNNNNNNNNNNNNNNNNNNNNNNNNNNNNNNNNNNNNNNNNNNNNNNNNNNNNNNNNNNNNNNNNNNNNNNNNNNNNNNNNNNNNNNNNNNNNNNNNNNNNNNNNNNNNNNNNNNNNNNNNNNNNNNNNNNNNNNNNNNNNNNNNNNNNNNNNNNNNNNNNNNNNNNNNNNNNNNNNNNNNNNNNNNNNNNNNNNNNNNNNNNNNNNNNNNNNNNNNNNNNNNNNNNNNNNNNNNNNNNNNNNNNNNNNNNNNNNNNNNNNNNNNNNNNNNNNNNNNNNNNNNNNNNNNNNNUUUCCUUUUUCCUUAAACCCUUAGACUCUUUCUUACUUUCCUUUUUAGACGCCACCCGUUCUCGGUGUCACACUCAAUCCAUUUAACAAUCAUUCAUAGAUAUCCUAUCAUUCAUCUAACUAGACCGGUUAACAUUUCUCUUAUGAUCCUACGUUCAUUUCUUUCUAACCAUCCUAGCUCUCAAUCACAAACCACAGAUCUUCAACCAAUCAAACAAUCAGUCAAUCAUCAAUCAUCAAUCAUCAUUAAACUCGUCCGUGUAAAGUUCUUAAUCAGUAUGAGAGUCCUGAUGCAAUAUGAUUUAUCAUCCUAACAACAAACAGGAUCUAAUCAAUCCUAGCAACCAAUUCAACAAUAUAAAAGAGCAUGAAAGAGAUCUGGGUAGAACACCUCACCUUAGCCUAGAUCUAGAUCUGGAUCUGAAAAUAGGGGGUAAGAGAAACGUGAUCUGAGAUCUACGACACCACGUGGCCACCACCACCACUCGUGGCUGCUAACGGCAAGGAGAGAGAGAGAGAGUCGGUCGGGAGAGAGAUCAUGAGGAGAGAGAGAGAGGAGAGAGACGCGACGAGGAGGGAGAAAAGAAAGAGAGGCAGCGCAGGGAGAGAGAAAGAUCUUCGACGACUAGGGCUUCCGGUCUCCGGGAUUUCUCUGCAGAGCUUCGCUUCAAAGUUUCUGAUGGGAGACUAAGGGGUGGAGGCUUUGUAUUUAUAGGAGAAGGCAAGGAAACCCUAGGGUUUUAAUCUUAAUGGGCUGCAGAGCGGGCCUUUCCUUUUAAACCACAAAAACUUUUUGGGUUUGAGUUUUGGGGUGUUACAAUUCUCCCCCUAUUAAUCGGAAUUCGCCCGGAAUUCCAAUCUUCAGGCUUUGAACACUAACAUCCCAAAACCCGAGGUGAGUUCAAACACAUUCAAGGGAAGCACACAAUAUUUUCUUAAGGAUCUUCUUUCGAAAACUUCCAAGUAAAUAAGGAAGAACAUAAUUCCUACUCGUACGGGAUGUUCCCAAAAUCUUAUCUAAUCUCUACAAAGUAGAGAAGCGUGUUUCUGCCUCGAGUAAUAACCAAACACUCGGACACCUCUAGCUGACGGUUCCAGAUAAUCCUCCUAUUGUUAAUCUUCCGAUGGAUUCUCUUUCUGUUCAGUACUUGUGACAUAAAUAACAUGUUUAACAACCACGCCUUUGCUGCCAACGCCUUCCCUGCCAUCCUCACCACUAAGGCAAAUUCCAUAGAUUCCAUGGCUCCAUUCAACUCUCCUCGAAUGUCCCUACGGAGUCUCGCCUUAUAACACCGGCACCACCCCUCCGCAGGCUUCGACUUGCAUUUCUCGGCCAUGUCUAAGAACUCCUUAGUGUACUCUUGGACCAGGCGAGGCCUACACACUAUCUCAACAAGGAUCUCACACUUACACGGCUCGGUACAUCCUCCAGAGGUUCUUUCAUCCAUAAUCGAUGUCUUCCGCAAUCCUCUUCCACUUCCACUUAUCCCUUAGAUCUCUAGAUAGCGACGACCUGACAGUAAUUGCUCGCUCUGCCUCCAUCGCUUGACCGACCAUCCGGUUCUCCAGAGCGAAUUCCCAUGGUUCUAACACACCCAUCAGCUUGCCCUGAAUUUUCCCACAGAGCCCUGCCUUAUACCAUCGGUACCAAUCCUUCACUGCCUUUGGCUUGCAUCUUUUGGCUGUCUCCCGGAAUUCCUCAGUGUACUCCCGGACUGAGCGUGGUUCUUGCUUGGCAUGCAUCAGUGUCCCACACUGGCAUACUCCGGUUAUGCUCCUCAGACGGUCCGCAUCAAUGCUAGGAAUUUUCCUUGGUCGUCCAUUCUUCCUCGUUGGCACACUGACCUCCAUCCUAAACGGUCCAAGACCUUCCCCGGUCAAUCCUGACUUCCUUGGGUGCCCACGGCCCAUCUUGGCUGGUGUCAUUUCGAUUUCAGGCGCGAACUGGAUAGUCCCAUGGCCUUGGUACAUCCGCCUAUACUCUGCCGCCCUCUGGAAAUGGGGCAUCAGCACCUGACGCCUCAUGGUUGUCUCCCAGAUGUGGGCGUUCGGCUGCUCCACGAAUUCUAUUUCCUUCUCAUCCGGGAAGAGGGCAUGUACCAUGUUACCCACUGCGUCAUAGUGGGGUUUACGGCUUUGUCCCCUUUAGUCCAUAGCGCAUGUGUCUUUCUCGAACUCGUGAUGCACUAGUGAAGACCUCCUUACGAAGAUCCACUAUCCUUAUUAGUAUCCUUCGUUUCCCAAAAAUUGAUCAUCCAUCGUCCUUAUCUCCAUCAAAGAUUUUGCCAUAAGACGAUACUUAGUUUACUCCCUGUAAACCGGAGUUGGUCAUCCUCAUUGCGACUUCGAGAAGCUCCUUCCUUUAGCUACUUCGUCUUUAGUCCUUGUGUAGUUUAUUACCAACAAAGCUCUCACCAUGGCUAUCCUUAAGGACUUGAAUCCUUGACAUUGAGUUGAGACCUUUUGUUUCCCCUUAUAUUUUUCAUCUGCUUAGCCAAUUACUCUAGGGUAAUUUUUCCAAAUCGAAGUGCUACUCCCUGUCGUGUCCGCUCCUUUUUCCCAGCCUCCAUGUCGCCUUUGGUUUCGACCUUGCUGAUGUUGGAAGAGUCCGUUCUAGCAUUUCCCCCUUGCUCAGUGCUUGGCACCUUUUUCCAUUUUUUUUUAUAUAUAGGAAACGAGCUUGACUGUAAUAUCAGAACGAUGCAUCGCUAUUUCCUGUAGAGAUGUCUCUUCCGUGAAGCGGCGCAUGCCUCGACCUUGUGUCUGAUAAUCGUCCCCUAACCUUCACGGGCCGGCGUGGGGUGGUGAAGUCGGCGAGACGUAUCAUCUCAAGCUAGUAUGUCCGAUCUUCCGUUUCUCCUUAGCCUGUCGUGCUAGGCAACUGAUCCCUCUGUGCACUUGUCUUAGAACUCCUUGUUAAUCCCUUCCUGGGCCUCUAAAAUUCCUCCACACCGCGGUUCGAGGACCUUUUGUUGUUCUGAUCUCGACCGAAGACUCUGAGCUGUUCGAAUUCUCUUUCAACAUUGACUACAACGGGUCCAACAGAACCAUAAGGGAAGAAUGAACGAUGGCGGAAACGCUGAUCCCUUAAGUUAAUAUUAAGGGACCUUAACCUGGCUCUGAUACCAAUUGAAACACCCGCCCCUUCCCCAUUUCCAACCGGGGUUCCGGGGCGCGGGGUUUAGGACACACAUGUCUACUUUCCCGACAUCUCCGUGUGUCCCGUUUCUGGUCCCAUGAGUUUAAGGUGCGUAUCCUUUCUUACCAUUGACAUUUCCACUUAUAGUUCUGCAAAAAAGGGAGAGGGAAAAAGAGGGGUGAGUAUGAAUACUCAGUGAAGCGAUUCUAGACCAGUCUCCCCCAUGAGCUUUUAUACUGCUCAAUCCGAAAUGAGAACCGACUAGUCACUACACCCAUUUCUUGACUAGCUAUUAAGGUUUCAUUUCACGAAAACAAGCAAUGCAAUGAACUCAGUCAUCACUCAAUUCACACAAUUCAGUUUAUUAUUUAAGACUCCAGUCAUCCUAGAACUCUAGGACCUACACAGCUCAAGCGGACCAACCCUCCCCUUUUCUUGCUGUGUUCCUGUGGAGCCGCCUGCCCUGGUACACUCGGCAUCUGGUUCCCUUGGAUGUAGUCUAUACCCUUUGCAGUGUAUUACGGCCCCUUCCCGCCAAGACUCGGCGUGACUCAAUCUUACCGGCGCCUCUAUUCUUAACCUGCCGUUUUUGAACGCUACGGCCGCCGCGUUUUCCCAUACUCCCCACCAGUCCCUCGGUGGUUCGUAUUCCAUUUCUAUUCAUUUCCCAUACUCCCCACCAGUUCCUCGGUGGUUCGUAUUUCAAUCAUUUAACUUGUCCUUUUUCAUUUAUUUCCUUUUUCCUUAAACCCUUAGACUCUUUCUUACUUUCCUUUUUAGACGCCACCCGUUCUCGGUGUCACAUUCAAUCCAUUUAACAAUCAUUCAUAGAUAUCCUAUCAUUCAUCUAACUAGACCAGUUAACAUUUCUCUUAUGAUCCUACGUUCAUUUCUUUCUAACCAUCCUAGCUCUCAAUCACAAACCACAGAUCUUCAACCAAUCAAACAAUCAGUCAAUCAUCAAUCAUCAUUAAACCCGUCCGUGUAAAGUUCUUAAUCAGUAUGAGAGUCCUGAUGCAAUAUGAUUUAUCAUCCUAACAACAAACAGGAUCUAAUCAAUCCUAGCAACUCAUUCAACAAUAUAAAAGAGCAUGAAAGAGAUCUGGGUAGAACACCUCACCUUAGCCUAGAUCUGGAUCUGAAAAUAGGGGGUAAGAGAAACGUGAUCUGAGAUCUACGACACCACGUGGCCACCACCACCACUCGUGGCUGCUAACGGCAAGGAGAGAGAGAGAGAGUCGGUCGGGAGAGAGAUCAUGAGGAGAGAGAGAGAGGAGAGAGACGCGGCGAGGAGGGAGAAAAGAAAGAGAGGCAGCGCAGGGAGAGAGAAAGAUCUUCGACGGCUAGGGCUUCCGGUCUCCGGGAUUUCUCUGCAGAGCUUCGCUUCAAAGUUUCUGAUGGGAGACUAAGGGGUGGAGGCUUUGUAUUUAUAGGAGAAGGCAAGGAAACCCUAGGGUUUUAAUCUUAAUGGGCUGCAGAGCGGGUCUUUCCUUUUAAACCACAAAAACUUUUUGGGUUUGAGUUUUGGGGUGUUACAUGCUCAGUCUGAGAUUGUGUGUUUCUAGCUACAGAAGAUUUUCUCUGGGCGCCAUCUAUGCGUGUGGUGGUCCUUUGAACCGUCUCUUGUCGGAUUGUGUCACGUUUUGGGUUAUUGAUGCUUUGAGUCUCAACUUCUUCUCCAAUGUGAUCCCCCACUAUAAUUUAUGAAUUUUGUUUAGAAAAAUAAUACUUCAAAGAUAUACGUAUAACACAUGAUGACUUUGGAAGUUUCAAAACACAAUAACACGUAAUCUUGAAUAACAAUGAACUUUAUGAGAAAUUAUAAAUCAGAAUUAAUAAAGAACUAGAUCUUGAGAUGUUUGUUUUCAUUUUUAUAUACAUAAAUAUUUGUUUUAGAUCAUUAAUGGUAUAUACUUUAACGUUAAUCAUAUACUUAAAUAUUUAUAUAACUAUUUCAAGUAUAAUAAUUUUAUAAUUUACACAUUAUAAUUAAUAAAUUGUUUAAAACCGUCACAUGUAUUUGUUACUUCUUAUUAUAUAUUUAUCUUAUUGUAGUUGUAUUUAGUUAUUAAACACAUUAAUAUAUUCAUGAGAAAACUUAUUUGAAAAUUAUUUUAUAUUUAAUUUAUGCUAAAUUCUGAUCCUCCCUUUCAAAGCUGGAUUUUCUUUUAUCAAUAUCUUUUAUGCUUAUUCAUUUUAGAUAAAAUAUUAUUAUAUAUAUAAGUCUAAGAUAUGUUAAUUUUUAGACACGUUUUAUAUUUUUAACAUAGAUAGUUUAGAUUAAUGAAAAUAAAAUUUAUCAAUUUUAUAUACUUUUAUCAUAUUUAGUUAAAUAUGAUAAUUGUAUUUUAACAUUAUAAUUAUAAAAUAGAUAAAAUAGGAUAGAAUUUUAAUUUUUAAUUUUAUAAAGGAUAAAUGAAUAUAUUAAUGUUUAAUAAUAUUUCAAAAAUAAUUUCUACGUUAGUGGAAAUAUUUAACUAUAAUUUUUGAAAAUUAAGAUCUUGUUAAAAUCUUCCUAAAAAGAUUUGUUAAAAAAAAUUAAAAAAAAUAUUUAUAUUUAAAAUGAAAAGAUAUCAAAAGAUAUUAUGAUUAAAGUAGUUCAAAGAUUCUAUAUAUUAGUAGUCUCAAUAUAAUAAUUUUCUUUUAAUAUGAUUAAUUAUUAAUAAUCUCAAUAUAAUAAGAUUCUAAAAAUAGGAUAUAAUUUUUAUUUAUAAACGUUAACUGAAUAUAUUAAUGUUUAAUAAUAUUUCAAAAAUAAUUUCGAAGUUAGUGGAAAUAUUUAACUAUAAUUUUUGAAAAUUAAGAUCUUGUUGAAAUCUUCGUAAACCGAUUUGUUAAAAAAACUUAAAUAAAUAUAUUUAUAUUUAAAAUGAAAAGAUAUCGAAAGAUAUUAUAAUUAAAGUAGUUCAAAGAUUUUUUAGGCUUCUAUAAUGUUGUAAAUGUCUAUUCUUUACCAAGAUCAAUAAAUUUCACAUUUCAUCAAAAAAAAGUAGUUCAAAGAUUCUAUAUAUUAUUACUUUUAAUAUAAUAAUAAAUAAAAAUUUUAAAUGAAGGUCUAAAUUAAAAAACAAACAUGAAAUAAGGCAUAAUUUUUAUUUUAAUAGAUAAACAACAAUAUAAUAUGAAAAUAUUAACGCAAUACAAUUUUCAGAAAAUCCAUUAGAGAAGAAAAGGAAACCGGGUUUUAUUGAUGGGUCAAUGAACGAAUCGAAGAUUGCGUUUUAGACUGUAAACGGGGGAUCGGAUAUGUGGAAUAACCGGUCGAGUCCGGUUUUGACAACACUGUCCGGUUCAUAAACUUCUCCAGCCGCCUUGAUCUCUCUGUUUUGCGAUCGUGACUCUCAGGUCUUCUGAGGCUGUAUGUAAUAGCCUCGAUCUCUAAUUCAUAUUCUCCUGUCGAACUCUCUUCUUCUUCUCUCUCUCUCGAGUCGCCAGGCCGUCCAAAGGUAUGCAAGUUUCUUUGUUUUAGGGCUUUUGCUUUUGAUUCAAUAGAUGCUUUGUCCGACUUUCCAAUGUCUGAUUGGAUUUGCCAUUGAGUCUCUCAGUUUCUGAAAUUUGUUUCUUUUGUUGUGAUUGACCAAAGCUGAAGUCAGUUAAUCUGAUUUAGAAGUCUAUACGGUUGUGUAGGCAAUAACAUUACAUUUGUGUUGGAUUAGGAUUUCAUAAUUAAACAUUUACGCAAAUCAACACAAGUAUAUUUUAUCUCCGCUCAAUGCAUACUCUUUAUUAUUGUUAUUAUUAUGUUGUGUUAUGUCUUAAACUCUUUGAGUUUCCCUUGCAGUCGUUUUCUUUGAGGCUAUACAAAGAUGACAACAAUUGAAACAGGUCCAAAAACUACUCAAAAGCCAUCUCCUCCUUCUACUCUCAAGCAGCCAUCGUUUAAAAGGUGGGGAAGGAGACACCCUUUUGUACGAUACGGACUUCCCAUGAUCUCUCUCACUGUUUUUGGAGCCCUUGGACUCAGCCAACUCCUCCAAGGCAGGUCAGUUUUGUCUUCUUUUUUCAUGACUAAGCUAAUCUCUCUGAAACCAAAGAAUUCUCCACAUAAUUGGUUUUUUUUUUGCUUAGUUCAGUAAGGACAUCGCAAAGGUGAAAGACGACCAGGAAUGGGAGAUUAUUGAGACCAGAAAGGCUCUUUCUAGAACAGGGCCUGUCGAUGCUUACAAACCUAAAAACACUUCCAUCGAAGACGAGCUCAAGGUUGGUUACUUUUUGAUUUAACGCAUAAAAGAAAAAAAAAGCUUUGAUGAAGAACACUUUAAAUCUUGACAGGCGUUUUGUUUACUCACCGUGCAGGCUAUGCAAGGGAAGGUGGACAUAAACUCGUACGAGUACAAGAAAAUUCCAAAGCUAAACGAAGGCAAGUCCAGUUAAGUUGAAGUCUUUGCUUAGAUGUGUUUCUGUUUUAGCUUUUUAAAGAACUCUUCACAUAAACUCUCUGUUAGUUUUGACCUUGCCUAAACCUUUAACAGAGAUGGAUUGAUAAUAAUACUUGGUUGGGUUCAUCUACAACGUCUGGAUAACUAUUACUUCUCUGCAUAUAUUCUUUUUAUAUACAAACUGCUUCAUCUCUAACACUUGGUUUUGAAUUCAUAUUGGUUUAGGGUAUUGUAUAAGCUCGUGCUACUUCAUAAUGAAUAUAUCAAAGAAGACUAAUUUUUUUUAUAGUAUUUGACAUGUUGAGUGCAUUUCUAACACCAUGAUACGAUAUGAUAUGUUAUGUCAUGAACCAUGAUAACAUAUUAUUUGUGUUAGUAAUGUAAUUUUUCUAAACCAAGAUGUAAAGGGAUCGUCUUAACUCUUAAACCUCAAACUGUCCCGUCUUCAAUCUUAUAGCCAUUUCUUCUUCUUAAAAGUAUUCAUGCGCCUACCAGUAAGUAAGCAUCAUAUCAUUAAUCUUAUAUACGACAAUUUUUUUGAUACAGAACAUAAAAUGUUUAAAAAAUACAAUUGAAGAUAAAGAUGAGAGAAAUUCUUUAUGAUAGAGCACUAGAGAAAAAUGACCAAAUUUUUUUUUAUUAAAAAUUAAAAAUACAUUUAUAUUCUAGGGUUAACUAAUCUAAACUUAGGGUUUAGAGUCAAAUGGUAGAGUUUUGAUGAUAGAGUUUCAAAUUUUAAAAGAUAAAUAUUAAAAUUUUCGAAACAAAUAAAAAAGAUAUUUUGAUCAUUUUCUUUAUUAAAAGCUAUUUUGUGACAAAAACUUAAAAGAAAAACUAUUCGAGAUAAUGGUCCUAAAAAUUAUGUAGUUCAAAAUCAACGCUUCAGAUCAUUGUCUUUAUUUUCAUUUUCAUUUUAACUCCAUAAACACACAUUUACCUCUAAAUAUGUCGUUAGUAGAAAGAUCUUCACAUCCGAGGCUCUGGAGUUUAUUUUCAUUCAACCGAUCACUUCUAGAACUUGAUACGUCCUAUAUUGAAGGAUCAUUUUAGUUGGGUGUUGGAUAUGAUCUGAGAAUGCAAAUGACACUUUUGGAACUGAGAUUGAUUGAAAUGAUCGCCAAGAGAUGCGGAAUGACUCUUGAUAUACCCACGAUCUAAGGCUAACCACCUAAAAAAGAAUGUAGUGCGUUGGCUAACCACCAAACAACACACAAAGAUGAAUUGGCUGACCACCAAAUCAACAAACCGGUUCACACCAAUGAACUAACUAAAGAACUUUCUCUCACUCAGAUAAAAGAAGAAAACAAAAAUAAACUCAAACUUAGACUUCUUUUAUUCAUAGAAUGAGACUACAUAUUUAUAGUGUUUGUAGUCAAAGACUAAUAAAGAAAAUACACGGAAAAUAAUGCAUAGAAAAUACAAAUUUGACCAUAUCUGAAUUAGUGAGUCAAAGACUCAGUCUUCCAUGCAGAUUGGUCAAAGAUGACCCUUCAGACAAUGUCCAGGUUCAUCUGAACCAGAUGGAUGCACGGGAUAAAGAUAAGGACGCUUGCGGGACUGUCUGGAUGGUCUGCCGGAUGAGAACGCAUGUCCGUCUUCGAUUUUUUCACAACCCAAGCUAAGUAUGGCUCGACCGUGGGUCUUAGAAUGUCGAGUUGGUCGGGGAAGACGAGCUCCGGUACGGUCAGUUCGGUCAUCUGGUCGUGGUUCCAGUCGAAGCUCCAAUCGGGACGCACGCGCGACGGCUCGGUCAGUCUGAUCGGUACGGUCGGAUGAACGAACCUCGGUGAAAUUUUUCAGAACGUCUUGAUCUUCAUGCUGGUUGGCUCCAAUGGACUGAUCCACGAACCAGGGCACAUCAUUCCCUUCCUCUUCAAAAAAAUUUGUCCUCAAAUCUGAAACAUUAAAAGGAAAAUGAUUAUAAGCAAAAGAACCAUAAUCAGCACAAUGCUCACCUUGAGUUUGGUCCGUUUUUGAAUGGAAGAUGAUUCUUCUUGGUUGGCUUGAUGGUCACGAAUUUAUUCUUCAUCUAGCCCUCCAUUGGCUCAUAUGUGAAGUCAUCGAAAAUUGGCAAUGGGAAUUCCUUUUCUGGCUCUGUUUCAACGUUCUCAUUCUCCAAAGUCACCAACGGUCUUUGCUUUUGACACUUGUUAGCAUAAUGACCGAUCCUAUGGCAUUUGAAGCACCUGGUAGAAUGAGCUUUGCUUGUGGGUUUCACAGUUUUGCUUUUAUCAGAAGACAACAUAUUAGUUUUCAAAUCAGAAUUUGAAAGAGAAAAAAAAUUACUUUGUUGUUAUGGUGCAGGAGAAGUGUUGGUGCUUCCCUUCUUUUUGAGUUGCCGGAUAGCAUGAAUUGCCUUAUGCAACAUCUUCUCCAAGCUGACAUAAGUCUGAAGCUCAUUCUAAUCAAACACAUCACGGUUGCUUCUCUUGGCUUUGGUGAAGGGACGAUCACCACUUCUGACCCACUUCUCAUCAUCAUCGAAACUGUUUUGUUUCUUCCUUUGGUUUUUUUGUUUCUGCACAAAAUCAAACUCAUUAGAAGCAAACUGUUUCUUAUUUCCAAAAAUCAUUUGUUCUUUUUCUAACACGGUUUUAAAAGGAAAGUAAACGUCUUGUUGUGGUUUGUGAUACUUUGAUGGAUCCUAGCCUUGAAACUCUUCAGCCAUCUCCCAAAACCAUCAUUCCUCUUUUCUUCAGUUCUGGCCGAUGGAGUUUGUACAACCGGUUUUGAUUGUGGCUUUUGGACUGCCUUCUACGACUGCUCGGUUUAACUCCAUUUGAUCUAUAACCAAGGUAAGAUCGUGUGGCCUCUUUGUUGACAGGUUUCUUCCAUUUGUCUCUCUCAGGUCGUGACUUCGUGGCUUCCUUCUCUUGGUCACGCUCAUAUUCUGCUAUCAUCUCGGCUGUGCGUUUGUUGUACCUCCAUUCUCGCAACUUUUCUUCUUGUGUUUUGCGCGCUGCCUCCUCUUCAUGGUUGAUCAGUAGCCCAAACACAGGUGAUCUAUUAGAAGAUGAAGAGAUAAUAAUGGUUGGCUUCUCUUCAUGGUUUAUCUUCAGUAGUCCAAAAGACACAGAUGAUCUCUUAGAAGAUGAAGAGUUACGAAUGGCUGGUUGUGAAGAACUCUAAACCUCAAAGUGGCUCUGAUACCACAUGAUACGCCCUUAAUUAGAAGGAUCACUCUAAGGUUGGUAGAAUGGAUAAGUCUUGCACCGAAUGAGCUAGAAAGCACAAACGAUCAAGGAACUUGGAUCGAAUGGAGACACAAGAGGUGCGGAAAGUCUCUUGAUACUACCGAACUUCUAAGCCCGAAGAUAUGACUCACUCCGAUGACUUAUAAGCUACGAUGUCCGAUUAAGAACAAAGGAUUCAACAAGAAUAUAAAGAAAGGUUUUUGAUUAAAAAUGUUGAAUGAUUAAAACAAUACAAUAGCAAGCCUUUAUAUAAUAGCUUGUGGAAGAAAUAAAUAUUCUAGUCAAUCCUAGAACUACAAAGCUCUUAAAACCAUGAAAACUUUACUAGGAAUAUUGACUUGACCAAAGACCAAAACUGUUGACUGAAUAUUUAAAGUUUUGGUCGCAGAACUCUUCGGCUGGUUGUGUCCUUUUGCACGGUUGAAGAUCCUGGAAUUGCCGUCAGAUUGAUAUAUUAUACGACCAGGGCUUUUAUUUUCUUGGUGUACCUUUCUUGGACAAAUCCAAACACUGAUUUCUUAUCGAGCAUAAGACCUCCACAUUUUGCAUCAGGCCCACUAGCUUCUCUCGAUCUAGAAUUUCAUGGAUCAAACCGAUAAGGCCUAUAAAAUGCCCAUUAAGCCAUGCUAUGAUUAGUUGCUUAACUGGUUCGUACCUUAAGAUCUUCGUUGAGACAUAGCUGGUGAUUUGGGUCGCAUCAGAACUCAUAUAUGAUUCUUUGUAAGCAAGACUUUUUAUAAAUAAAAAGCGAAACUAAUGCUGCACAAAUGUCAUAUUGAAAUCUAAGUUCUAGAGUAUAUAUUCAUAGAACAAUAUAAAAAAAGCACAAGCUUCUUUGGUCUCAUUUUGAAAAGCUAACAUCGAUUGCUCUUUAUAAGUGGGGCUUCUGGUAGGCCCGAGACUUUUAUCCAAGAUCCGGAUUCGAUCCGAGAUUCUAUCCGGAUCCGAUCCGAAAAUCCGGAUAUCCGGAGGCGCCGAAUCCGGAUCCAGAUAGUAAAAUGCUGGAUCCACCAAAGCUGGAUCCAGAUCCGGAUAUCUUGAUUUUUUAGUCCGAAUAUCCGGAUCCGUAAGCUUUAUUAAUAAUUAUUUCAAAAAUAGUAAUAUAUAUAUAUAAAAACUAAUUUUGUUUGAUAUAUUUUCAUUUUUAUAAUAGUAUAUGUAAAUUUUGUAAUUUUAUACAUAGAAAUAAUUCAAAACAUUAUAUAUUUUUUGUUUUAAAUUAUUGUUAAUAUUUUAUAUAUAAUAAUAUUAUUUAUUUAUUUAUUUUAAGAAUCCAAAUCCGGAUCCGGAUAUCCACCGGAUAUUACAAUUUUUAGAAGGAUAUCCGACACCCGGAUAUCCGAGAACUCCAGAUCCGGAUAAGGAUAAUAAAAUUAUGGAUCCGCCGGAUAAGGAUCCGGAUACCUUAAAAUUGCCCGGAUACCCGAUCUGUCCCAGGCUAGUUUCUGGAACUAACGUCCCGAUUCCUGGCAUAUGAUAAAAAGUUUAAUAGAAUUGAUUUUGCUAUCUAUGUUACUAAAAUGCACGUAUUUUUUUUGUCACACAUCCGUUCUAAACUUCAAAGUUAAGCGCAUUUGAGCUAAAAUAGUAUAAAAAUGGAUCAACUAUAGCGAACUGAUUCGUGAUAUCGCGUAAGUGAAGCCAAUAUACAUGGAAAGUUCAUGUGAUGAUUGCACGUGAGAAAUCAUAUAUCAUUGUGGAUCAUAAAAUCCACACCAUGUAUUAUUUGGUAGUGAUGUUAGUGAUGUUCGUAAGAGAUUAGGAAAUAAAAUAAUGUGGCAAUGAUAUCUUCAUAACACAACAAUGUAAUCAGAUUCUGAUCGACAAAAGUGGACUUUAUUGAUAAGGAUUGAAUUAAUACAGUGAUAACAAAAAGACCGGGUUACAGCAACUAAGAACUAGGAACAAAAUAUCGAGAAUGAGAGAGUGAGAGAUCGAAGUCGAGGGUAAUGUGUGUAAGCUCUAAGGUUUUGAAUGUGCGCUUCUCUUCUCUUCUCUCCUUUUAUAAUCGCUCUCUUUUCCUUGUUUAUUAGCGAGAUCUUCUCACGAUGUUAACGGCUCUGAAAGCUUUGAUCCUAUAUUUUAGGAGAAUAUUCUUCUUAAAUCGAUUUCAUUCCUUCAUGCAAGCUGUCGACCUCCCUUCCUGCGACACUGCGACCACUUAUCGGUCAAACGUGAGUGAACUCCGUGUUAAUAAUAUUGGGCCGGAUCUUUGUCUGAGUGGUUUAUAUUGUUGUUAUUUGCUCCUAUAUUAAAGUUUCAUGGAAAUAAAAUUGAGAUUAUUGGCUUACAUGACCCUAAGGCCACCUUUAACGCUAGUUGCUUAAAACGUGGCUAGCAAUUUUUUAAUUUAAAAAAAAAGGAAAGAAAAGAACAAGAAGA